CGGUGCACUAACCACGCUGCGUGCUCCGGCAACCCGGAGACGGUGAUCAUCACCGACAUGAACUACUACCCGGUCGCCAAGUACCACUUCGACCUCAGCGGCACGGCCUUCGGCGCCAUGGCCAAGCCCGGCCGCAGCGACGAGCUCCUCCAUGCCGGCAUCAUCGACAUCCAGUUCAAGAGGUGGGUACCAUGCAUUGCAAUGCUCGUUUGCACAGAGCCGCGGAGCAUAAUCAUUAGCUCGACCGUCGAGCUUGCCUGUUUCUGUGGAGCCUUGUACUUUAUUUGCUCAACCGAUUUUAACGACUAUAGCCGGUUUUAAAUGGGGCUGGGGCCCACAUAGAUUCGCAGACAUACUGUAUUAUUCUAGUACUUCCAAUCCACUCCUAAUUUGGCGUCUGCAUGCACUGUGGAUCGACAAAGGUCUUCUGAUUUCUAAAGCCUAAUCCAAACGUCUCACAUGGCUUGUUCCUGCUGCAGGGUGCCCUGCAACUACCCCGGGCAGAAGGUGACGUUCCACGUCGAGGAGGGCUCGAACGCCGUCUACCUGGCGGUGCUCGUCGAGUUCGAGGACGGCGAUGGCGACGUGGUGCAGGUGGACCUGAUGGAGGCCAACUCCGGGUCGUGGGCGCCGAUGCGCGAGUCCUGGGGAUCCAUCUGGAGGAUGGACUCCAACCACCGGCUGCAGGCGCCCUUCUCGCUGCGCAUCACCAACGAGUCCGGCAAGCAGCUGGUGGCCAGCAACGUCAUCCCGGCCGACUGGGUGCCCAACACCUACUACCGCUCCAUCAUCCAGUACUAGCGGCCCAUGCCCAUCACCUGGUGCUGCAUGCCCACAAUAAUUCGCUCAUUGAUUUUUGAUUAUUCGUCUGGUGCUGUUUCGUUGUUGCAUUGGAUUGAGGUGCCUUAAUUAACUAGUUCGUAGGUGAGAUAUCAGGUGUCCGGCUGUGCUGGCACUGGCAGUAGUAGGAGUUGUCUGUGUCUGUAAGAGAUUGACGAGUGGGAAAUAGAGGAGGCAAGCUUGUAAUUGUGCUUUCCCGCCCACUGGUAACGGUGUGAGAUCAAGGAUUUAAGAUAUAUAAACACUGUUUUUGUGUACCAAAAAGCAAUCACACCUCCGGGACUUCGUUCAGUUGUAUGAAACCGCUAGACCUCGCUGGCGAUGGCCAUUGCAGCACGAAGAGUUUUGUUCGUCGUUGAGAUUCUUGUUCCUCCUCGGAUGUUCCUGAAUCCUGCUGUCAUCACUGGGAGGUGGUGGCCAGCUGCCCAGCGCUUAAGGCUGCUGGGAUGUUGAGGCAGGGCAUCGCCGGCGAAGCCUGGCCGAAGAUGCAUGAUCAGCAGGCGGAGCUGACAGUGGCAAGAAAAUGCAUGCCAUGGCAAGGCCUGGUUGACACGGCAGGGGCUGGCGAGACGGGAGGAGGCUGUGCAGCGUGGCGGGUGAGCGCCGAGAUGAAGAUAAUAACAUGGGACAGGGUGAAGACAGGCAGACAGCUAGAGGCGGAAGAUGAUCUCAGAACACUUGGAUUGAGAUCCGCUGGUGGAGAAGCACCGACUAUGUAAAAGUCAAUUUUCAAGCGCUUGGUCAUUAGCAUUAUGUCCCUUAACUAAUUAUUCUCUUGGUUCUGUAGUGAUUAUACAUCCGGACUGUAGAACUUUACCAGUUAUACUUAUAUAAUCCCUCCAGUCGCAAAUAAUCGACCCGUUUUGGACGUAGGUAUGGUCCCCAAAACAUAAAUUUGAUUGGUACUUUUCGACGUUGUGUAUUUAUGAAACAUAGCUAAAGUAAUGCUUUUGUGAAACUAAUUUUCAAGACAAAUCGACACUAUUACUUUAAAAUAUCUGUACUCAACACAACGAAAUUAGCAUGUAAAUAGAGUUUGAAAUGGCUGAGUGCAUGCCGUCUAAAAUAUCGUGUAUUAUUCGCGACUGGAUGUAAGUGUACUAUCAUUGAUAUCCAAGUCCCUAUUUGAAACGUGAGAACCAUCUUGAUUCCUAAGGAAACUGAAAUUUGUUUUCUGCGAAAUUCUUUUGUCCCGAAUAAUCCUCACAGGAUUGGUCUGUGGGUCCUGCGAAACUCUCAUAUCCCAAAUAGGUUUCUUUUUUCCUUUGCAUUUCUUGGAUCUUCCAUUAUUCAGUCCAAUCCCGAAGAAUGCGCUAGAGGAAUCUGAUUCUGACUUUGCAACCAGCAGCAAUUUUGCUUUGGAAAGAUUUCAGGGUCAGAAGAUAAACAAGAUUUGGAUGUUCAGGAGGGGCAGCGUUUUAGUGCAGACGUUCCGCCUUUCUGAAUUGUAAAGCGAAAAGAACACUUGGAGCGACAAUCUGAUGGCUGCGAGCGCAUAGCAAAGGUUUCUUUCCUGUCUCCUGCCUGAUGAGGCCUUUUGCUUAUGGUACUCCAUCCAUUCCAACAAGAUACGGCGAUCCUGGAAAGGAACGGCAUCAUUAUUCAGGCGCCGGCCAAACUGCCAAAGCAAGCAGUACAACGAACGAGGUAUGAGUACUUAACGACCAGUGCGUUGGUUCAACGCAAAGGACGCUCAUUCUAAAACGAGGUAUGAGUAUCAGAGAAUCAUCACUCGUCGCUUUUCACCACUGUGGGAGCCGGCCAAGUCAACCUUUAGAGUGAGCUAGACUGAAUUGUCGCCGUAAUUACUGGCGUCAAACUCUCACCUCAGUCACUUGCAAUGACCGCACUAAAUCAAGGAGAGCUACAGGGCUACAUGAGCUUCAUUCUAACUAGUAGUGGGUGUUUGACAAGAUUGCCCUGCUGAAUUGUGGCAUCAGCAACUAGGUUUCCUGAAAAAAAGGGCCGACUAAUGCUGCUCGAGCUGCUGAUAAGUGAUAAGCAUCAUGGCGCUUGGUGGACGACAGAAACAGUGUCGCUCUGUGUCUUCCAGCGGUUCAGCCGUCGACAGCAUGCAUUUCUUUUUCCGAUGCAUAAAGAGAAGACCGGACCGAGAGAUCGAGAAGGGAGCGCCUCGAACCAUCCGUUUUAUGUUCGGCCGUCCAAACAGUAUCUCCGGAACGGAAAGAGACGAGGUAACUGACGCACGGCGAAUUUCCAGCGCGCAUGUGCGCGCGCGGGGAAUCGGAUGCCGACGGGCCGACGGCUCCGCUGCAUGCUUGCUCGCAUGUGAGGUGCGGGCCGCCGCCCGGGCCCGUGUGCCGUCGUCCAACGAACCAGCGGCCGGCAAGCGGAACGCAGCGAUCACCACUAGUUCCACUACCCGCACCAGAUUUCCGGAGCCCGCGCCGUCGCCACGCCACGCCUACCGUUGCCGCGCGCGCGGCCGGGUCGCGUGCUGCUCCGAGCCCUGAGGUUCUGAGCUCUCGCUUUCGGGUUUCAGCGCUCACCGUCUCCCCCGCGCGGCCCGGCCGGUCCCCCGGGGUCUCGUCGGCUCCGUGGCCACUGGCCCGUGGCGUCUCGCAGUUGCGGGCGGACGGGCGACUUCUGGAGCCGCGGCCCUGCGGGGAUGUCUUCGGUUGCGCGCGCACGGCGGCAUGGGUUCCUCGUCAUCAUCCUGCGUACGCUUCACGACUCACGAGAGUGUUCCGCGGCGACGCUAUCGCGCACGUAUCAUAAGCAGCGCAGCCCUGCUCCGUACUUCGUCUACGAUUGAUGGGAGAUUGUAGUGUGCGCGCGGUCAGCAGGAACGGUUCUGAAUUUCAGGUUUCGACCAGCUUCCUGACAUGCUGUAGCCUUGUACUAGCUAGGUACCCGCAGAGAUGGAUGAGUUAAUUACCCGUCACAACUCAACGUGCAAACAGCCCAGAUUGCUGCCUAUUUUUCAGAGGGAAAAAUCUGGUUUACACUCUUUCAACUAUCGAAACCGGAUAAGAGAGGUCGUACAACUAUUAAAACUGGACAAAUUUGAUCCUUAGGAGGGUUUAGAAAGUGGCUUUGUAUUUUUUAAAAAAAUAAAAAAAAUUCUAAUUAGAUCUAAAAACUCAAAACUAAUUCAUUUUAAAUAAAAAAUAUAAAACUAGUAAAUUUUUUUUAAAAAAUAUAACUUAUCUAUUAUUGCUCUAUUUCUCUAUUUGAAUCUUAUUUAUUCAAAAAUAAUAACUACAAGCAACCAAAUACUAUGAAUAUAAAAAAAUAGAUCGAUAAGUAUAGUGCCAAUAGAUAGGUUACAUUUUUAGAAAAAUUUUAACACCCAUUUCGUAUUUUUUGAUUUAAAAUGAAUUAUUUAUGAAUUUUUUAGUUUAAAUUUAAAUAUUUUUAACUUUCACAAAAUGGAAACUAUCUUCGAAACCGCCAUAAGGGCCAAAUUUACUCGGAUUUCGACAGUUGGAUGGCCUCUUUUAUCCAAUUUUAUAGUUUAAAAUUAAAAAUCGGAUUUUUACGAUAGUUUAAUAGUCUAAACCGGACUAGGCUGAUUCCAGGGACACUCGCCGCUUUCGGCUUUCUUGCGUCCGCAGGUGGACGAAAUGUUUGAACAGCCUAGUAAACGCGCGAGCGAAACCGGUUGGGCGCGCGUGCUAGGCUCACAGUACCAGGCCACUUGCUCAAUGAUCUUCGAUCAGGAAACGCGCGCCACGCACGCGAGGCCGCAUAUGUCACGCGUGAGCGAAAAGGAACCAACACCAAGUUGCGCAAGUUCGAUCCUGCACGCAGCAUCACAUGCCGGUUUGGACUUUGGAAGUGGCGGAAGAUCGUGCCAGAGAGUAGCCCAGUACAACACGGUAUGGACCAUCAACCUGUGACUUUGCACCGCUAGCAAUUUUGAGAGUCGUAAGUCUAUAAAUUCACAGAUGAAAUAGCUACUAGCGCCCCAACUGAUCAAUCAAAUCCCUUCCUAGCUCACUUUUUUUUAUUUUCUAACACAAUACGCGUAAACAUUAAAAUAUAUAUGUUACAAUAUUUAUGUCGAAAUGUAAUAUAUAUUCAUAAACAUUAAAUGUAUUGCUGUUAUAACUUCUAUUUGACUCAUUAAUGGAACACUUUUUCAUGAAUUCCAUCAAACUGAUAACCUCGCUACAUAUUAUAUGCAUUUCUAGUUUGCAUGGUGGCGCAUGUACUUUGCAUAUGCUUUUCAUAAUUUUCUAGAAAAAGGAAAUAUCUCCGACCUUUGCAACCAGACUCAACCAAGUUUUACAUCAUUCUCAGCAUAUAAGUUGAUCAUAAAUAAUAUGGAAAUGACUACACAAAAUGAAAGCUUUCAUAUAUAUUAGUAAUAACAUAAGUAUGCACACAAUUUGGCUGCAAAAUCAGGUUACUUUUUAAUGAAAAUAGGGGUAAUUUAACUGCAGAGUUUUAUUUUCCACAUUUUUCUAUUUUUAGAAAGUUAUAAAGAAAAUCUGAGCAGAAAUACCUUGAGUAUCACUAAAAGAAAAAAAUAGAUGUGAACACGCAUGCUAAGUUAGACUCAAACAAGAGUGGAUAGGUUUUGCCACAAGAAAAGAGAAAGUCUCAUGGUGCUAUUGAAAAGAUCAUAACACCUUUCAAACAUUUUCUAAUUUUUUAAAUGCAAAAACUCUUUUAGCCUUGGCGACAUUACCAUAUCAGUGCCAUGUCCCCCAAACCACUCUAGAUUUGAGCCAGGGUUGAAAAGUGAAUGGCUUUAAUAGUUUAGGGCUGAAAAGUAAAUGAUUUUAUAGUUGAAGCGAGGUUGUAGAACAAAUUGAUUAUUUGGUUCACAUGUCCUACAAAUCUUAGGGCGGUUUCUCCACUCACUUCACAAGGUAUCUCAACUACCAACGAUAUCCUAAGCAUCGAUAUUAUACUCACCAUAUCGUUGUAACUUGACUAUAUCUCAUCAACAUGGCAUAUAGUAUCACUUUGCUUACAGGGAACUAAAACGGAUUAGGUACCUAUCUUCCAGCGCAGCUUCCUACGAUUAACCGAUUCUGUACACAGAAGAAUCGUUACAAAUUAAUGAUGGCGUUGGUAGAGAACUGCGCAUUUCUAAAUCUGAAGAGAAAAGAGUAUCAAAAUUUCACAAGAAACACAGGUACGUAGGUCCUUUUCAUACUUACUGUACGUAACAUGCGACUAUGAGAUAACUGCCAAGGAGCCGUUGCUUUUUUAAAAUAGUGCAGGCACGACCCGUGUAGCCUCCAUUCCUCCCAUGAUUUGCUCCGGAGCCAUGUGACCCCUACCAAAGGGCGUCGGGUGCAACGACCGUUGAUGGCGAUCGCCGCAGGCGCGCUGCUGCGUUUGCUUCGAUUCUUUUACUUUCCCGCCUAUAAAUACCCCGGCAAGCAUGGUGCUCCUCAUCCCCGACCAUCGAAACACAGAGCUUCUUGUCUGACCAGCGCUAGCAACUAAUUACGAGCUAGUAGCUAGUAAGACAACGACGAUGGCGUCCAUGAUCGCCGGCUCGUCCAAGGUGGUGGUUGCACUGAUCUUCUCCCUCCUUGUCUCGUAUGGCUCGUGCGCUAGGCCGCCGCCGGUGAACCUUAACGCCUCUGCCUUCACCGCCGACUCCAACUGGGAGGCUGCCAGGGCCACCUGGUACGGCGCGCCCACCGGCGCCGGCCCCGACGACGAUGGUACGCGUAUACAUGUAUAUGGAUCACCGAUGGUCGCCGGCGCCUGGCGCCUGGCGAUCUUGCCGUGUUUAUGAACGACCUAUAAACUUAAGCUUGCAUCCAUUCGCUGUGCGUGCAGGUGGCGCCUGCGGGUUCAAGAACGUCAACCUGCCGCCGUUCUCGUCCAUGACGUCGUGCGGCAACGAGCCCCUGUUCAAGGACGGCAAGGGCUGCGGCUCCUGCUACCAGGUACUCCUAUAUAUAUUAUGACUUGGUCAGAGAUACUAUUUCCAGGACGGCACGUUUGUGCUGUCGUCGUCUGCCCUCGUGGAAACGGAAAUGGAGAUUAGACUGAGAGAAAAACUAGAAUUAGGCACAGUUUUGCCGCACCCUCCAUUUGCUGCUGACCUUUAAUUUUCCAGAUUCGAUGCACUAACCACGCUGCGUGCUCCGGCAACCCGGAGACGGUGAUCAUCACCGACAUGAACUACUACCCGGUGUCCAAGUACCACUUCGACCUCAGCGGCACGGCGUUCGGCGCCAUGGCCAAGCCCGGCCGCAACGACGAGCUCCGCCACGCCGGCAUCAUCGACAUCCAGUUCAAGAGGUCGGUAACACACGCAGCGCUUAUUUCAUGGAAUCACAGACCGACCAAAUAAUCUGUAGUAGGCCCUGCACGAACAGAAUCAUAUCUUGACCGUCUAGCUACUACUUUGCCGUGGAGCCCUUGUACUUUUGCCCAACCAAGUUUGACGACAACGAUCGGUUCAAGCAGAUUCGCACAAAUAGUAGUACUACUUCCACUUCACAAUCAAUUUGGCGUUUGUGCAUCAUGCCUGUUGAUCACAAGUUAAGCAUAAUCCAAAUCCAAACGUAUCACAUGGCUAAUGGCUUGUUCCUGCUGCAGGGUGCCCUGCGACUACCCCGGGCAGAAGGUGACCUUCCACGUGGAGGAGGGCUCGAACCCUGUCUACUUCGCGGUGCUCGUCGAGUUCGAGGACGGCGACGGCGACGCUGUGCAGGUGGACCUCAUGGAGGCCAGCUCCGGGUCGUGGACGCCGAUGCGCGAGUCCUGGGGAUCCAUCUGGAGGCUGGACUCGAACCACCGGCUGCAGGCGCCCUUCUCGCUGCGCAUCACCAACGAGUCCGGCAAGCAGCUGGUGGCCAGCAACGUCAUCCCGGCCAACUGGGUGCCCAACACCUACUACCGCUCCAUCGUCCAGUACUAGCAACCAAUGGCGAUCGUCUCUGCUGCUGCUGCUGGGCACGGCAAUGGAUACGAUGGUUCGGCAUCAUUAUUGGCUCGAUUAGCUUGGUACUGUAUCGUUUACAUGGGAUUGAUGUGCCUUAGUUAUUGAUUAAUUAGGUGGUGUUGUGUGCGUGAGUGUGCCGGAGAUUUGACGACUGGGAAAUGGAGGAUGGAGGCAAAGUUUGCAUGUGCUUUCCCGCCCAUUGUCAAUGCUUGUACCAGUGUGAUCAAGAUUAUAAAUUAUUAACAGUAUUUUGAAUGUUAUAUAGUAUAAGUAUACGCAUGCUUUUAUCUUGUUUCCAGUACCACUUUCUCAGCAUAACUAUUAACACUGUUUUGUGUGCAAUUUGGUACUGUAUAGUUGUUCAGCCAAAGGCUGGGGAGUUUAUCAUAUUUUCUGUGAAUUUCUAAAGGCCCUAUUUAAACGUGAUAGUUGUCUCGACACCUGAGGGAAUCAAAAUAUUUCUUAUGAAAUUCAUGAAUAACAUACAAGCCUCUCAUUACUUUUUAUUUAGUUUAGAUGCACUAAAGGAGUUGAGAGAAAAGGCACCAUUAGUGUAGUGGACUAGUGAUAGAAUCGUGGGUACAUGACUCCACCGACUAGGACUCAAAUCCGGAUGUUCAUCUGUUUGUAUGUUUAUAUGACUUCAGUAACUUCAGUACCUGUUUGCAUGCCUGACGAAGGCUGCGGACGGAGGUUGUACCUUAAAUUCGUCUGAAAAAGAAAACUAGAGGAGUUGAAAAUGACUUGCUAACCCACAACGGUGGUACCUGCUGUGUAAAGACUCGUGACUUCUUCCGUCAAAACACACCCAAAAACAAGACUUGUGACUUCCGAGUCAGACAAUUAAGAUUUGGACGUUCAGACGGGCUGCGUUUCAUUUCAGCAAUCCUAAGGCCUGUCUCCAACGGGAGACUCUAAACCGUUCUCUAUCCUAUAUAUAGAGAAGAUUCUGUUCUCUGUAUGCUCCAGCAGCAUUCUCUAAACGAUUCUCUAAAAUAGAGAACGCUACAGAUUUCCUCUAUAUAUAGAGAUUCUCUCUUCUCUUCUCUAUUUUUUCUUUACGUUUUAAACACUGGAUUAAAUAAAAAUAAAAUAUGUCCAUAGCAUUUGAGGUAUGAUAAAUACGUACGUAUAAAAAUUUGGAAUAAAAUACGUUUCUAAUAUAGAGUUUAAUGUAUAGAGAACGAGAUUUAGAGAACGUUGUUAGAGAGAAAUGAGAUAUAGAGGAGACAAUCUUAUAGAGAAAUCUGUAAAUGAUGGAUAUACAGAACGAUACAAAGAACGACGGUUGGAGAUAGCCUAACCGACGGUACGGAUCUGCUUGCGGCUGACCUAGUACGUACCACCUGUACCUUUUAUGAACUCUAGCGCUGCUAGCUAGUCUUCUGCCCUUUUUCUGAUGGCACUCCACUCCUGCAGAUUUGGCAAUCCGGGAAAGGAACGCCAUCAUAAUUCCUGCAACGGCCAAAUCAGUACUAAUUAAUUACAGUAGUGACUAGCUAGUAGUGCGUUGGUUGAACGCAAAGGAUGCUAAUCCUCCAUCACAGGUCUCUUUCAGCCCAAAGCCGGCCCUUUAACUUCAUUUCCCCCCGUAACAAAAGUAGUAGUAUAAUCUACCAUGGGACACAAACGAUGCGUCCUUUUCCACUAUUGAUGAGAGCCAGGCAGCCGGCCGGCGAAGUCGCCGCCUGCCGCAUAAAGUGGCCGGCCGGCCUGGACUGGAUUCUUGCCGUAAUUACUGGGGUCAAACUGUGCCCCUCCGGUCACUUCCAAUGGCCGCACCAAAUUAAGGGAAUCUGCUGGUAACAGGGUGCAGAUGCAGACACUUCGUCCUCCUUUAGGCGUCUGGUUAGCCUUGCUGCAUCACGGCAUGCAGGUUCUUGGUAGCUUGCAGGUGUUCAACAAAGAUCACUGUACUAAACACAGGCGUCAGCAUAUAGGUUUUAGGUUCGUGGAGAAAAUGGAAAAUUCUCCUGAAAUCUACAAAAGGAAAAAAACAAUGUGCUGUAUCCAGUAGUUGAGAUGUUGAAAAGUUUUAUUUUUCGGGUUGCAUAACGAGAUAUACUUCAUUCGUUUCAAAAUGUAGAUCGUUUUUCUAAAGAUACGUACCUUUUUCUACACAUCUACAUGUACGUUAUGUAGAUAUAGAGAAAAAUUAUAUAUCUAAAUUUGAUAAAGUGAUCUAUAAUUUGAAACGGAGGUAACGGUGCAUAAAACGCAUAACUACGAGCUACCCCAAUUAACCAUUUCGUUUUGGGCGUGCCGAAACAGUUAGCCCGCCGGAAAGUAACAGGCCACGGUGGGGGCUCCAGGCAGCAUGUGAGAUGCGGACCAUGGCCCAUGGCGAAUGAGAACUCAGCCAGUGCCCGGCCCGGGCUGUCAACUUCCGACCGGGGCCUCCGCACUCAACUUGGGCCUAGCUGAGCUUUCAGGCGAUCCUUGUGAUUUGUGAAGCUAGGCCUUGUGCGCGGAAGCACCGCGGCACGGGCCUAUGCUUGCCGUGGCACGCGGGCCGAGCGGCUCGCGUUGUCCAGUUACUUACUUGAGUAAAUUAGUUUCUUGAUCCUAACAAAAAUUCGGUUUAGUUUCUUAACCUUUUUCGAUUGAACUGGCUUAUUUGAUCUAAAAAUAAAUUUUAUUUUAGUUCUUGGCCCUUGCUUAUUUGAUCUAAAAAUAAAUUUUAUUUAAGUUCUUGGCCCUUGCUUAUUUGAUCUAAAAAUAAAUUUUAUUUUAGUUCUUGGCACUUCCAUUAGUUUGACAAGUUAACGAUGUUAAAAGCAACGUGAAAUAACUCUUUUACCCCUGGCGUUAAAUGAAACGCUACAACAGCGUAUAGUAAAGUCGUACAAGAAUUUUAGGCUGCCUAUUAUCAUUAAUGAAAAAAUAGGUUAUAAUUUUUUCUACUAAAAUAAGUUAUAAUCUUUUCUUGGCGAUAAUAUGCAGCCUAAAAUGUUUGUAUGAUUUUAUUGUACGCUGUUGUAGUGUUCCAUUUGAUGCUAGGGGUAAAAGAGUUAUUUCACGUUGCUUUUAACAUUUUUAGCUUGUCAAACUAAUGGAAGGGCCAAGAAAAAAAUUCAUUUUCAGACCAAAUAAGAAGUUUAAUUGAAAAGGGAUCAAGAAACUAAGCCGAACUUUUAUUGGGGCCAAACUAAUUCACUCUUACUCUAUAGUAUGCAUAUGGCAUGUCGUCUCAACAACAAUAAAAAAAAGAUACGGAAUUCCUAACUGACACUCGAAUAAAAAUUUUGUUUCGUGUCUCAGUUGAUUUCUUCUGUUCUAAUCUUUUCUUCACCCGUGCAUCCUCUUCUGCGUCCCAGUUUUGAAGCUGACCGGCCUGCCCCCCACCACAUACCGAGGAUACUACGAGCCGUUUCGCUGGGUUUCAACCAGCUCCGACUCCAUUUAUGGUGUGUUUGGUUGGGGAGCGAGCUGGAGCGGAGCCGCUCCGCUCCCCUUUUCUGCACGUUUGUUUGGAAGCAACGAAGAGUGGAGUGGCUCCGGUGCGGAAUAUUCGCGUGAGAUGCGGAACGAGACCGCUCGCCCGAAACGACCGGACGCGAGCGCUCUCGUUUGCUGCCUCCUCCCCCCCCCCCCCCCCCGCUGGCGGCAUCCACGGCCGCUACCGAGGAGCCCAGGCGGCGCCGCCGCCCGCCCCGCCCCCCCCCCCCCCGGAAGGAGCCCAGGGCCCUCGCCGCCCCCCGCCGCGGACGGGAUCCAAGCGCCCAUGGCCGGAAGGAGCCCAGGCGGCCAGGCGCCCGCGGCCGCUCCCCCGCCGGAAGGAGCCCAGGGCCGCCGCCGCACCCCCCCCUCCCGCCGCGGACGGGAUCCAGGCGCCCGCGGCCGCUCCCCGCCCAGGCGGCCAGGCGCCGCCGGCCCCACCGCUCGCCGGCUACGUUGAAUGGCAUGGUUCUCCAACCAAACGCGGAACGGAAUGGUUCUGCUCCACCGCGCUCUCCAACCAAACAAAAAAUGAAGUGGUUCUGUUCCGCUUACCAAACGUAGAACGGAACGGUUCCAUUCUCAGAAAUUGGAAUGGAGCCGUUCCAUUUAAGUUGGCUCCCCAACCAAACGGACCCUUAAUGCAUGUACUGUAAAGCACGGUUUAUAUACCGUUUAUUGAAAUCCAUUUUCUCUCUUCUUACCCUUACUCUUACAGAAUCACAAGGGGCUAGUGGAGCCACAAAUUAUGGCUCCUCCGGAUCCAGCUUCUGUAAUGCUAUAGUACUUCUACACUAGUGGAGCAGCAGUCGGCUGAAGUCCAGCCAAACGGACCCUACGGUGGGGAGAGCCGGCCCAGUUAUUUUCAGCCUGGCACUUAGCCUUUUCUUCAGUAGCCUGGACCAUUUAACAGUCAAGUCAUGUUAAAAAAAAAGAAUACAAACAACAUGCAGGUUUACGUUCAUCGGAUCCAAAAAAAUUCGUUAUGUGACACUUCAACCCGAUGUUGCUUUUCUAUAGUUAAAUACUUGUCUCUACAGUGUGAUUUUUUUAUUUGAUGUAUUUAUAUAUACCAUAUAUAUAUAUAUUUUGGCUCAGAUCAAAUCGUACUUUUUUGUAUAUUUCCUCUUCUAGCAUUAACAUAUUUUUUAUUCGGCUGAUUCUAUUCCUUGUUUAUGUCAACUUUAAUAUUAAAGUUGAUUUUGUUUUGCAGUGUGACAUUUCUUUGGAUCAGACCAAAUUAAUGGAAAAACUUAUAAUGUUUUGUGAAUCCAUGGACCAUGUUAUAAACAGAUGCAGUACUCACGUACAUGCACGCGCACUCUCACUUCUCAUCCCUAUAAAUACACCACAUAAUCUGAUCCUUGUAAGCAUCUUCAAAAGAUUCAACGGACGUAUCGGGAGAUUGAAGAAGUUACCACAUUCACGUGCACUUCGCUGUCAAUAGGUACGCCACCACCCGCUAAAAGUAUAGCGUCAUUAAUUCUUAAAAUAAAUCAUUUAAAAUAUGAUUCAACUCAGAUGGAUAGGUUUCACCACAAUAAAUCUUGAUAGCUACUUAGGCUCAGUUUAUAAGUCCAAUGUAUGUUCCAAUACUUUCAAUUUUUAUUUUUGUAUAUUCUUUAUAACGUUUGGAAAGAAACUCCUCUGAUCUGUAUAUGACGAAUUUGUUGUCUAUCCAUGGGAGGCGUAUUUUUUUAAAAAAAUGAUUUGUAGCUAAAUUUUUAGCUCGUUUCCACCACGCAAAUCAGUAGAUAAAAUGGAGUGAUUUUUAUCUUCUCGUCACUCAAAUUUUUGUAGCUGCCAGUGACACGUGGCGUUGUUCUACUGGCUUCAAAAAUUGACUGACGGUAUUAUAUCUUUUUACUCGAUUGUUAGGGAGUCGUUCCCAGAAAGAUAUGUAUGGCAUGGCAUCUUGCUGCUUGGUGGAGGGUAAGAGGGAUGUGUAGCACUUUAUUAGCUGGCCAAAUGUAUGAUGACCAUGGCUGGCCCAUGGCGAAGGACAGCUAGUGGUCUAGGCGAGGGUGUCGAGCAACAACGGUUAUCCUGGUGGCAGGUUGUAGUGGUGGACACAAUGACGAGGAUGGGAAGGAGGACGGGAGAGGGGUUGUGUCACAACGACUGCUUCACGCUAUCUACUCUACAUUUCUUCAGCAAGCAGGAUUCCAUGCGGGGCUUGAGUAGAAUGGCAGCUAAAACUUUCCAUAAAACUUGUUCUGCGAGAAGCAGUUUAGUAUCUUCUACAGAUGCAAGCAGCCAGUCAAUCGGACGCACGUUUCGAGGGCUCCUGGCCUUGCGCGACUCUCGCUUUGUCCAGAUAAAUUGAAGUGCGAUUCCAUGCUUCCGUUCUGGGUCAACCCGAGUUUCGCUGCCCGUUUCCCGGGUGGUGCUUCGUGCUAGCUACUCCGUAGUUGCAUUGCUUCCGUUCAGUUUGCCGUGGACGAGAAAUUCUUGAACGACCAACUGAGCACGGGCCGCGCCGUGCAACUGUGCAAGUGCCAGCCUUAUCGAUCAGCACGACGGUCAGAGGAACACAAAAGGAUGGACGCCAAGGCAUAUGUCAUGCGUGAGGAAAAGGGAGGCAACCACUACUUAAAAAACAAUUUGCAGCAACAUCCCGAUUUUUUCGGAGACGGAUCAAAAUAUAAUCCGUUCUUACAAAAUGAGCGGGGUUACUGUAGCAGCAGACCCGCCUCUGGAAUUGCAUAUUUAGAGCCUCUGGAAUUGCAUAUUUAGAGGUGGGUGACACCAUCACCCGCCCCUGAAAAUAAGCCCCAUCUUUAGGGGCGGGUCAUGGCGCCACCCGCCCCUAAAGAUGAGAUUUCCAGGAUCAGGUGUCACUAUCCUCCGCCUCUAAAAAUGAGGCUCAUUUCCAGGGGCGGGUGACGCCCCCACCCGCCCCUACAAAUAUUUUUCACAUUGGUUACAAAAAUUCAAUUAAAUCAGAAAAAAUAGCAAACCACAUAAUGCUAUUGUGCCCUGUAGAACUAGAAAAAAAAUAUGCCAAGUAUAUUUCAGAAUAUAUAAUUCUUAAGAGCGUGAAAAUCAGUAAAUAUAACUUGAAUUGUAUGAGAUAGCAAGUGUUGGAGAAUUCUACAUUGUUGUUGCAACACUCUUAACCAUUCUUUACACUGAAAUAUAGUUAUCAUAUUUUUUUCUAGUUCUAUAGGUGACAAUAGCGUUAGGGUAAAAAUUUCACCUUUUUGCAUGUGUUUUGCUAUAUUUUUUAAAUUAAUUGAAUUUUUAGUAUAAAAUUGAAAAGAUUUCUAGGGGUAGGUGUGAAAUGAACCGGAUUCCCGAAUCGAGGAAUCCGACUCCCUGUAUCAUCGUGAUAGUCCCUGGAUCAAGCGCUAUCACAUACAGAACUCAUUUCAAGCAUGAUAUCACAGUCAUACUCACUAAGAGGUCAACCACGGGUUUAAUUAUUACAUAAAUCCAGAGGAUCUGUAGUACGGAAUUUAUUACAAGCCUUUCGGCUAAAUCGAACAAGCAGAAGGCGCAUAGCGGUAGCUAGGUCUUCGGGUGUCCUCCAUCUUCGGGAUCCACCUCCACAGGCGACUUGAGCGUAGCUCGGGCCUCAGUCGUACCAUCCGUCGUCGUUGGGGUCAAAUUCCGGAUCGGAUCCUGCAUCGUACCAGGCUAUCCCCAAAGAAUGGGAUAGGUUCACGUCACCAUCCGUAUGCAAGCUUUAUGUGGUCUAUACUACGGAUAUAACAGAAUUCAAGGGUAAAGCUGGGGGUUUCCCUAUGCAUGCAAUAUAAUAUAUAUAAGAAUACACAUCUCCUUUCAUUCCUGACUCGGGCCCUUCCGGCAUUCCGGACUCCCGGUCACACACACCUUCCAACACCACCAAGUCGAUGCGAGGACUCCCUCUCCUCGCAUCUCAACUGCCCCCUGACAGGACAAUAUUCUAGAGGGAGGUAGAGAUCAUGAGUAACACUAACUAAUAAGAGCAACAGAGGAGUAGGGAUGUCCAUAACCGAGGACGCGGCUAUACGUAUAGUUUUCACCCUGCAGGGGUUGUACACCUGGACCCACUCGAAUCGACACUAGACGGAGAUCAGCCGACUAGUAUACGAAACACCGGUCUACGAAACGGAAAUAGGAGCCACGGCACCAUCCGGCUUUCCCGGGUCUUGGGCGCAUCCUCCCGCGAGAGGUCGCCCCAGGACUGUGAAGCCUCCCAUGCGUCUCGGGGAACGUGAGGUCAGCACCUCCUUCCCCUGCACCGAUACUCGAUCCUCCUACCGGCUUGGUACCGCGCUUGCUAAGUCCGGACCGGGCCCACCCGCAUAAUGGGUAAGUGGUGUGCACGCUUACAAAGUCCCACAAGUCAUGGUUACUCUCACCCGGUCCUUAUCUGCCGGAGCGGGCAUCUUCGUCAAAGGCGUAUCCACCACGGUGGUCCGCAACCGCACCCAUAACGGGUGCCUCACACACCUCAACACGUAAACAAAACUGUACCCGCCACAGGUACUCCGUAGGGUGUGCCAAGAUACACACCCCAAGCCCUCGAUCCACGAUCGAGUUAGGUCGCCCACUCCCGGCUAAACCCUAAUCAUCAACUCCUAAUGGGAUCCACUUCACGCACGCCAAGACUAUCCAACCAUAUCCCACACAUACACAUUCAAGGGUUUACAAGGCAUUUCAUAUAAUAAACGAAUAAGAUAGGUUGACAAGGAGUAUGGUUCGUAAAGAGGCCAUGCAGGUUUAUCUCGAUAUACAUAUAUACACAUACAGCAAAAGCAUAUCUACAAGCAAAUGCCUAAUAGGGAUUCAAAUCGUAGAUGGGCGUGAACCUGGCGUCUCCUCGAAGUCUUCCUGAGCCUCCGGGUAGUCCUGGUCGUCGGUCAGCUCCUCGCGGACGGGUCCUAUUCGUAAAUACGAGUAAGAGUAGGGACCAAAGUGCAAAAGUUCAUAGAAAGGUUGCAAAUAAGAUUCAAAUCACCACAAUACCUAUUCUAACAGGUGGCUCAUGAUUUUAGAAGAAUUAUGAAACUGGUUUCAUAAUUUUCAGAGGUCCGGAUAAUUUAUUAUGAAUUUUCUAAGGAAAAACCUAUUUCUGAAAUUAAUAAAAGAUUUUCAGAAAAGAAGGCCUGGAAACAGGGACACGUGGCAGCACCAGGGCGUGCCACGUGGCAUGCUGAUGUCAGCAUGACGUCAGCAGAGGGGGCCCCGGGUGAUGACGUCAGCAGCGGGCCCUGCUGACGUCAGCGUUGACCGGUCAACGUUGACCGGUCAACGGUCAACGGUCAGGGCUGGGUCAGCGGUCAAGGGGCCCACUGGUCAGCCUCAGCACGAGGCUGACAGACGGGGCCCACGGGUCAGGUCAGAACAGGGAAAAGAAAAAGGGAGUUCGGUCUGGGUUGGUUUUGGGCCAAAAGGAAGUUGGGCCGGCUCGAGGCCCGGCUAAGCUCGGCUAGGCUCGGAUUCAACGCAGGCCGGUUCCUUCCUCCGUGGGCUGGGCCUUCUCUUUCCUUCCUCCUCUUCUCUUCUGGCUGGGCUGGCGCUUCACCUUCUCCUCCUCGCGGGCCGGCGGCGUCGUUUUCUUUCUUCUCACUGACAGGGCGGGCCCAGGCGUCAGCGUCCGCGGGAUCCGGUGUGGCGGCCCGGAUCCGGUGCAGCGGUGCAGGUGCGUGUGUGCGUGUGUGUGGCGCCCGAGGGCGCGUGCGGUGCGAGCUCCCGGAGGGUGCUCGGGGGAAUGCCCCAGUGACAUGGCCGCGACGCGAACGCGACGUCGCGGUCGCGUCGCGGGGGUGAUCGCGCACGGCAUGGCCGUGGCGUGGGUGUGGCGAGGCUGGGCCAAGGCAAUGGCAGCAGCACGGCUUGGGCCCGUGCUGGGGGUGCGCACGCACGCGCGCGGUGCCUGGCUGCCCAGGACCGCGGCGCGGCCGUGCCGUGCGCGGAGCACCGGCGACCCGGGCCCGCGGCACGACGCGGCGGCGAGGGGGCGACGGCGGCGGCGGGGACAAGGGCGGCGCGUCGGGCUCCUGCAGGAAACAAACGGCACGGCGGCCGGAGGGAAGGGAGUCCUAGGGUUUCCCUACAGAGGGUUCAUCGGCGGCGCUAAGCUCACGCCGGGAGCACGGGAAAAGAAGGGACGGCGGCGGUGAUCCUCACCGGAGGGGCUGAAGGGGAACGGGCUGGUGCGGUGGCGGGUCGAGGCCGGCGGGUCGUAGCCGUGCAGGGAGAUCCGCGGCGUCGAUGUCGUCGUACGGGUCGCCGGCUCGGUGAAGCUCCGGCGUGGCGUCGUCCUCCUCCUCACGCGGCUCUGGCGGUGUCGGUGGCGUCGUCCUCGGGCUCCUCCGCGCGCGGCUCUUCUCCUUCUCCUCCUCCGCUCCUCUCUCUUCUCCUCGGGCUACGGCGGCGGGAAGGAAGCUAGGGUUUCUAGGGUUUGGGCGAAGCGGCCUCGGGUUUAUAGGGGGGGCGCUAGGGUCCGGGGCGGCUGCGGCCGAGGGUCCUCGGCGGCCGGGCCGGGACGCGUGGCGCCCCUGCGGUGGCUGCGGCGCGGGGUAGGGUCUCGGGCUCGCGGCGCGGGCUGUCGGGAAAAGGGCGCGCGGCGGUUGCAUUGCCCUGUCGUGGAGCGGAGACAGGAGCGCGCGGGGGUGACGCAGGCGAGCGCGGGCGCGGGGAAAAAGGGGGCGGCCGUUUCGCUAUCCUGUCGCGAGGCGGGCGACGCGGCGGAGGCGAGCGGGAGCCGGGAGCGGGGUCGCGGGCGUCGGGAGGAAGGGGAAAGCUGACGGGUGGGUCCCGCCCGUCAGCUGCCCCGAGAGGAAAGGAGGCGGAUCGUCGCGCGGGCUGCGGAGAUGGGCUGGGCCGGCUUGCGCGCGUGAGAAAGAAGAGAGAAGGCAGAUGGGCUCUGGUCGCGUGGGUAAUGGGCUGGUGGCCCGGUAGGGUAUUUUAAAGAGUAAGGUUUGGAUUUGAAUUUGAUUGCCCUUUUUCAAAUUCAAAUCCCACACAAUUUAAUCCAACAAAUCCGAAAUUCGAAGCAAAUAAGAUGCAAUAACCGUUCAACCCAAGUCCAUUCACAAAAAAUUUUUGAAAUCCACAAAUUUUGUUAAACAAUUCCUAUAAUUUCUAACAUGGAAUGUUACAAGGUGACCCCCCACCCGCCCUUAGAAAUAAUUUGUAGUGGCGGAUGGGAGGGGUCACCACCCCUGAAAAUAUAUUUAUAGGGGUGGGUGGGGGGUCACUCGCACCUGGAAAUCCCUGCUUUAUAUAUACUGAACCGGCCGAGGACUUAGCAAAAUUUUCAUUUCGCGCGGACGAGGGUGUUACGCUGCCAAAAUUUUCGCUUCCCCGCCGGGCCUCCACUCCUCUCCGUUGCCUCGUCAUCGACCUCCCUCGGCCUACCGCCCACGCGCUUCCCUCGGCCCGCCGCCCGCGCGCCUCCCUCGACCCGCCACCCGCGCGCCUACCUCGGCCCACCGCCACGCACCUCUGGAUCCAGCCUGCCGCCGCGCGCCUCUAGAUCUGCGGCCCCCUCGGCGGGCGCCACUCCUGCACUCGUCGGCGGCCCAUCCCUCCCUCGCCAGCGCCCCUCUCCUCCCCUCCACGCCCUUCCUCGGCAGCAGGUGAGUUCUUGAUUUUUUCCUUUUGAAUUAGUUAACAAAUUACUUAGUAAAUUAGUUAAUGUAUAAGUGAAAAAAAUAUGAUUAUAUGUGGUUUGUAAUAUAUGAAAGUGAAUGUGACAUGUGAAUUUGUAGUGAAAUUUCCUUUUAUUUUGCCAUUAUAGUUAACUUUAUUUAGUGAAUGAGUAUUAUUCAUAUAAAUGAGGAAUAGUGAAUGAAAUUUUAAUUGAAUAUAUGAGGAAUAUGAGUGUAAUUAGUGAAUUUUCAUGUGGAUGCAUUGUCAUUUUGAAAAUGUGAGAUAGUGAAUUAGUGGAUGUGAAUUAUUAAGAAUGUGAAAUAGUGCUGUUUUGAGAGUGUGAAAUAGUGAAUUAUUGUUUCUUGAAUAGGCAUAUGGCAAGUCGUGGCUUUGGUCAUGGUAGAUUGGGUCGUGCUAGUGUCGGUCGUGGCAGGGGGUAUCAGGAUUUUCCUUUGCUCGAGGCUCGCGCUCUUGGCAUCACUUUCAGCAGAGUCACAGGACUAGACCGAUCUGAUAUUGUCAAGCAACCGUACCAGCUCCAGGAAUAGUAAGAUCCAUCUUUUUAUUUUAUUAAGAAUGUUUGAUCCUUAUCAAUGUUAUAUUACCUCUAAUGCAGCAGAUCGAUGUGUUUACAUGGCUUGCCGAGGUAGUAAAUUGCCUAAGUGAUACACCUCCUCAGGUGGAAACCAUGGAACGCCGAGAGUUCAAGAAACUAACAAUCUUUUUCGAGAUACCUGCAAAAUGAGAUCUAGGUACUAUGAUUCCAAUAAUUACUAAUGGUAAAGAAUCACCUAUUCAGAUGACUUAUGAAAGAAGAGCCAUGGAAGGUUGCCUUUUAGAACUUUAGAGGUAUGAUUAUCUAAUUCCAGACUCGUCAUGGUUCAAAAUCAGAGCGCUUCAACAAAAUGAACGUGAUAUUUUUUGUUUCUGUGAUAGGCUUGCAAAAGAAAAUUAAAAUGACAUGGUACGUGAGUCCUUGUUAAUUUAAGAAAAAGUAUAUAUAUUUAUACUUUAUUUAAUUGUGCGAAGCAGUUUAUAAUAUUUGCCUUACAUCUCAGGAUAUGUUUGGUAACACCUUCACGGCGAUAAAUUUGAAGAUUAUUUUAUGUGAAGCCAUGGACAAGUUGGGUUAUCAUUGGUACGAGUCCGGGAUAUCCCGUACUAGGGAAGGCUUGUACCAGACUUCUAUUGAAGUUCGAUAUACCUUGUUUCAUGCUGCGGAACCAAUAUUCACCAUCUAUGACAAAGCACUUUCUCGUAUAUGUGAAGCAAAGGAAAGUGUACUUAUCCGUGCUUUGUUUUUAUUGACGAAAGCCUGGGGUACAAGAUUGGCGAUGUUCACUAUGUUAAGUACCCCUUGCUUGCGAAUAAGAUCCGUUAGAUGAUGUAAUAUAUGCGUGCAAUUGAACAUUUGCACGUUAAAUGUAAUAUGUAUCAACUUAUUGAAUAUUUCAAUCGCAUACAUUUUAAAUAUUUAGAUAUUUUCCUUUCCAAACUCUUGUGGCCAUGUAGUGUGAUAUGCUUGUAUAUGACAGAUUCUGAAAAUUUAAAUUAAAAUCAAUGAAUUAUUUGACGGUUAGGGUAUCUUCAGGGACAAGUCAUGCCCUGAUCCGCCCUGGAAACCCAUUUUAAGGCGGGCCAUGGGCUCACCCGCUCCUGAAAACCGAUUUCCAGAGGCGGAUCAUAGGCUCACCCGUCCCUAGAAGGAAAUCGAAGAAAAUUAGUUUUCAGGGGCGGAUUUGCAAACAGCUAUUUUAGCUGCAACAAACAGUGGCGGAUACCGUACCUGUCCAUAGAAAUGGAUUUUUACCGGUCCCUAAAAAUAUUUUCCGCAGUAGUCACGUUCUCGAUCUCCUGCUUGCGUGCAGCACAUCAUUAUUGGCAAUUUGCAAAUGAUGGCAAAGAUGGAGGAGGACUAAAGAUGGUAACUGUACGCGCAAGUGUGCAAAUCAGUGGUAGAGUACUGCUGCACAGCACAGAACGUGCGACAAGGCCCGUUCCGCCGGGUGCCGAACGUCUACGACGCUACGCAUUUUCGGCUUAUCGCCGAUGGACUCCGCAUGGAUAACGAAAAUAAAAGCGCCUGCCACCGGAUCUCCAUUGCCCGAUCUUGAGUGCAAUUCCUUGGUACUGCAAUAGGGAUCUGCCGGCCCCCCAUUUCUUCCUCGCCAUUGCCUUCUCCCGUGUUCCAAAAUACUAGAAUUGAAUGCUCCGAUCAAUAAACAAUCCUGAUCGGGUACUGAUCCAAGUUGACGAGAUGCCGCCGAUAUAAUCAUAAAAUACAUGGUGGCCGAUGAGCCGAACAUGCACGCUCAAGGAUUGAGGGUCAGAUGUUUAAAGGCGUCGAUGAGAAAGUCAGCUGCUGCAUGCGCAGUUGUGUCUCGCCGCAUGGCCUGCACAGUGCACAGCGAGUUCUCCAUUCACACUUGCAUGUGGAAGUUGUAACUACCGUAGCACUUGGAGACAAUACACAAAACACAUGUGUAUCAGGCCAUCAAUCGAAACGUUUAGACAAAUAAUCUAUUUUUUAUAAAGACAAACGAGCUAGUUCAUGCCUAUACGUACAGUGAAUUUGUCUAAUUAGCCUAGCUAGAACAAAAGACCGGCCGAUUUGCUGCAUGAUUGCUUCCAAUGAUACGGAGAUUACUGUCUAGGUGUAUCCGAUCCACCUGCCGUUUGGUUUUCAGUUGCUUGUGCUCCAACGAAUAUGCUGAUUCUUUACUAGCCCAGCACUUCCAGAUGUGCCAAUCCAAUCGAUCUGCGUCAGUCAGUUGGAUCGGACAGAUUUCGGUUAGUUUUGCCAUACUUAAUUUUGCAUCCCGAUGCGUGCCGUGGUCAAGGUCAACUGCUCGCAGCACGGCGCUCCUAGCCUCCUCCUACUAUCAGUGUAGGGCCCACCUUCACCGAUUCGUGGUGAGAGCCGCGCGCGAGAUCGAUCAUCGGCUGGCGGGGCCCCGCCGCACCGGCGUACGGCAGGGGAGCCGCCGAGCGUACGAUCCUAAACAUGCAUGUGGGUAACUGCCAAGAAACGCAUUUAUUUUCUAAUGGCAGAGUGGCACGCGGACCGAGGAUUCCGUUUCCACCAUGAUUAGCUCGAAGGAUACGGUGGCCAUGUGACCCUCAACAUCUAAACACGGCAUGACCGAUGUGGCGACGACUACCACCGACGCCCAACUGCUGAAGCUCCUCUGCCUUCGCUUAGCUGCUUGCCCGCCUAUAAGAACACCGGCAGUCUCGUCCCUUCCCAUCACCAAACAGGCAGAACACGCAGCACAUCCUGACAUCCAACAAGUACAUACCAGCAGCUUAGUAGAAGCUGAGAUCGAUAUAUAUGAUGGCCGCCCAGGCAGCUGCUGCACUCGUUGCUGGGCUCCUCGCCGUGCUUGUCGUCGCGCAUGGCGUUCGAGCACAGCCGGCGAACGACACCUCCUCCGCCGUCCGCCAACUCCUCGGCUCCGGCGGCGGCUGGCUCCCGGCCAAGGCCACCUGGUACGGCGCGCCCAACGGAGCCGGCCCCGACGACAACGGUAUGUACACGCGUUGCUGUUGCUGUCGUGUUUACAAGCUGGUUUCGCAUGCAUGCCAUCCGAGCAAUGCCGUGGCUGACAUUGUGUUGUGCGUCCGGUUCUGCUUCUGCAGGUGGCGCGUGUGGGUUCAAGGGCACCAACCAGUACCCCUUCAUGUCCAUGACGUCGUGCGGCAACGAGCCCCUGUUCCAGGACGGCCAGGGCUGCGGUGCAUGCUACGAGGUAACCACUGUUAAAUUACCCGUCCACUUGUCCGGAGCAUUUAAUUCUGAUCAUUCAAAUGUACUACUAUACUGCACCAGAUUUGUAGUAUAUCUUUUCCUCGAAGUUGACAAUCUUGCAUCGUUCAGUACGAGUCCUUGAACUCGUGAGGUCAACCUCAACAAGCAUAACGCAUCUUUUCACGUUCUGCUUAAACUUCAGAUAAAGUGCACCAGUAAGGACAACCCCGCCUGCUCCGGCCAGCCCAAGAGGGUGAUGAUCACGGACAUGAACUACUACCCGGUGGCCAAGUACCACUUCGACCUCAGCGGCACGGCCUUCGGCGCCCUUGCAAUGCCGGGCCUCAACGACAGGCUGCGCCAUGCGGGCAUCAUCAACAUCCAGUUCAGGAGGGUACCCUGCGACAACCGGGGGCUCACCGUCAACUUCCACGUGGAGCAGGGCUCCAACCCCGUCUACCUAGCGGUGCUGGUCCAGUACGCAAACAAGGCGGGAACCGUGCUGCAGAUGGACCUCCUCGAGUCCGGCUCGAGCUACUGGACACCGAUGCGGCGCUCUUGGGGCUCCGUCUGGCGGCUGGACUCCAACCACCCGUUGCGGGCGCCCUUCUCGCUGCGCAUCCGUGGCGAAUCUGGCCAGACGUUGGUGGCCAACAACGUCAUCCCGGCAAACUGGAGACCCAACACCGACUACCGCUCCUACGUCCAGUUUAGCUAAGCGACCGAUCACUUCGUAAACAUAUCCACGGUUCGGUUGUUGAUUUAUUUGGUGUCGUGUGAUUGCAAAUUCUUUUUGCAAUGGGUUUGACGAUUUUCAGUGACAUGUUGUCUUUUGUGCGUGUGCACUUGGGUCGCGUGUGAAAUGGAGGAGGCAAAGUGUUUUAUUCAUGUAUGCUCUCCCGCCCACCGACGAAAUUGUGUACUACAAGUAGUAUGUACUUGAUGAAUAGAGUGAUACAAUGUGUAACCAUUUUGCGGGGUAUAUCUUGUCAAGGGAUUAUUAUUAACUACUUUGUCAAUCACAUAUUUCUGAUUUUUCUAGUCGAUGCGGAUUCAGGCCAAAACACCUGCAAUGUAUGAGUUUGUUAGAACACUUACAAAUCGCAUUGCAUUGUUUCGUAUUAGUAGAUGUACUACGACCCACGCCAGUUAGUGGUAGUGGGACGUCUAGUCACAUGUUUGGUUUGAGGACUUGCCUCAUGUCCUUAUGUAUCUUUGUUACUUUUAAACCCUUAUGUAUCUAAUGUUUUAUUUUCCAUCAACUCGAUCAAUGCAAUGUUUUUAAAACUACCCUUUUGAUCAUGUUAGACCGUAUGACAUGACAAAGUACUAUAUCUAAUUUAUUUGGCGUGACCAAAAGGUCCAAUAUUAAAAAUAUCAUCUCAGAUGGGCUAUGCAUACAAUAUUAGAUAAAGAGGGUUAAAAUAAAAACCGUUGCGCUCGUUCUGGACGGGAUAGUACAUCAUGAGUUGUUCUUAUGGACUUUGGUGCAAUGAUGAUUUCAAUCUCCAUAUUUAUAUUAAUCAUGUGCGUAUAAAGAACGGGGUGGUGAUAAAAAUCAACUAAGUUUUGUUCCCUGGACCAAAUAAAAAUGUAAGGAAUGAGACAAUGAUAAUUGCCUCAUUUCUUAAACCAAACACUACAUGAGUGAUGCAUGCAUGAAAGCUUCAGCCACUAUGGUGGAUACUACACUACAGGAAAAUAAAUUCACUAUUAAGCUGCACCUAUCGUCAACAUAUUACAUAUUAAUAAAAUAGUAAAUGAUCUUAAAGCAAGAUGCCGGAUAGGUACAGUGCCACCUCAUCCAAGGAGACGGCUCCGCUGGCGACUCAGGGGGCCCUUUGCGCCGUCGCCGCCAAGCAUCCGCCCUUCCCCCUCUUCUCCUCACCGUUGCUCGAGCGGGGGGCCGGAAGCCUGGCGCCCGCAAGGAGGGCGGCGCGGGGUGACUCGUGAGGGCAGCAUGUGCGUGCCGUGCGGACCAAGGCACUCUACUGCCUGACACCGGCGGGGCUCCUCUUGUGACCAAGUCACCGGAUCCACCGUCCCCAUGGCCGGAUCCGUCACCCCAUGGGUGGAUCUGUGGCCAUGGUUGGAGGCGGCGCGCGGACGGCGCUGGCUAGGCGUCGUGGUGGGAGCCGAGGUCGAGCUGGCAGGCGACAGCGGAAUGGCGGUCGGGGCCCUACGGGGGGCGACGAAGCGGGCGGUGGCGUGCUGAGCGUCAUGGCGGACGGCGGCUGCGUGCAGAUGUGCGCAGGCUAGUUGCGGGUGCGUGCUGGCAUGCGCCGGCCAGGCAACGAGACAGCGCUAGCUUGCGGCAGCUGCAUGCGCCGGCCCGGCCAUGGGGUUCACCUGCGGCAGCUCGCCGGCUCCAGAUCUGAAGGUCACGGGUCCGAGCUAGGCUUGGCCGAAUCUAGUGGUGCGAGGUCCGGGAUGCUGCGCGCGUGUGGCGGCAAGGUUGGAGAUCCGCGCGGGGAGUACAGUGGCAACGGGUGCAGGACACAAGGAGGCACGGCGGCAGCGCCGCCCCUAGUGGUCUGCGAUGACUGUGGUCGUUGUCGGGUUGGGUGCGUGCAGUAGCUUGGGUUGGGUUGCUCCGGGCGAAAGCCUUUUGCCGGCAGCGAUGGCAGCGGCGUCUUCGGGCAUCGUUCUUCCCUUUGGGGGCGUCAUCUUGGAACCCCACCCCCACUGCAAGGGGGCUUUCUGGGUGAAAGCCCUCUGUCCAAAUCCAAAUCCUGAACGAUCGACGGCGGGGCCACUAGCAUGGUGCCCUCCUUGGAGGUGUCGUUUCUAAAUACCCAACACAGUUUGUGGCAAUACCGGUGAUGUCGAUGGCCAUGGGAGACUGCAGUUGGUGGUGGUGGCUGGUGCAGGAGGGAGAGUUGACGGGGGUUGUCAAGCUCACGUGGUGGCGUUCGCAGUUGUGGUGGCUGCCAGAAGUUGCCGCAUGCUUGUUGGGUUGGCUGCUUGUAGCGGACCGCGGCGGCUGGCGCUGCUUAGCGGCUAUCAGUGCGGCGCGGGACUGCUUCGGAAGAUGGCGCUUGUGGCAACAACAACGUGGGAUGACCAAGCUUGCAGCGAAUUGCGGUGGGUGGCUCAGCUACGGUGGAUGUACUCCGAUGCGGUACAUCGUCGGAAGACGGUGCAAGCGACAUCCUUAGCUCUCUGCCAUGGUAGCGGCAGCCAUGCACAUGAGUUUAUCAAUGAGACAAAGUCUACCGGCGGUGGUGGCUUGGCGGUUUGAUGGGGAUCUUUGAAGUGGGGCGGCAUUGCACCAUUCUGAUGGCGACAAAAGGAACGGAUCCGUGACAUGGGGUGCUGAGGCGGUCGUAGCAAGACCCCCGCAUGCGGUGUUUCUUCGAGGCGACAAGAGCGAGGUGGAGUCCAAUGACGGAUGUGGUGAGGCCCCGCGCGUUGUGGUGUUAACUGCGAGGCAGCCUGCGACAGGUUUGGAUCUGGUGUUAUCACUCUGUCGGGUGGUUAGUGGUGUUGCAGUGGCACUGCGGCGUUGGAUCCGUAUGGUGGUGGCCUCCUUGGUGCAAUGCUAUCUAUUUCUCUUGGUUCCCUAUCGAUGCGGAGCUACGCGUGGAGGCAACGACGACUGCAUGAGUGUGAGACUAUUGGGAAGUGCCGCGAAAUUGGCUUGGCGCUGCUGCGAGCGUGUGUCGCAGCGCGUUUCUGCUGCCAUUUGAGUGGAGUGGUGCAGCCGCGUUGAUUUCCCAAUCGAACUGGCCGGUUUUGAGUUGAGUUGAGGGCUUGCCCAUGUUGAUGUCCCAAUCCAACCGGGCGAGUCUUGUUUUUUUUCUUUUUUUCUUUUCCUAACUAUGGCCUCCUAGGACCAUAGUUUUGUAUUUUUUUUCUGCUAUAUCAAUAGAAACUCGUACUGCCUGCUAUAUUAAUAGAAACUCAUACUGUCUUGUGCGGUUGGUUCGGAAAAAAAAAUGCCGGAUAGGUACAAGCCUAAUAGGACAAAUUGCUUCAUGUCAUGGAUGUGGUACUCCCUUCAUGUCCAUCAAUAUAAGCCACAAACUUUUUGAAAAAACAUUCUUUAAAAUAAGGUUUGAUAUUUAGUUUCUCUUGCAAUUUGUUGUUAACUUUUUAUUUGCAAUAAGAUCAACACCAUCUUAAAAUUCUUUGAAUAUUUCAAAGAAUCUUUGAUUCAAAGUUACUAUCUAAAUCAAAAUACGAUAGGUAGUUCUAAAACAACAGGGCACCUAGUGUGACCCAUUUGGGCUGAAAUCAGCAGCCUAGUAAAACCGAUGGUACCCCUUAUCUAUGUUUUUGGUUGGGUUGGAUUGGAUCGUACUUUGAUUUUGACUGGAUUUGAGUGAUGCGGGCUAAAUUUUUUUGUAGUUUGUUCUACCGUUAUCUAGGUCGUGGCCCGAUUCAUGAAUUUGCAGCUCAGUUUACUUGAUCCGUAACUUUUUAUGGUCAGUUAUGGAUUUUUGAAAAAAAAUUCUCCUCCAAUUCCUCCAAACUGAUAGAUUCAUUUUUUUUUCGAUAAGCUCUUCCUUUGAUUCCCAAAAAAAAUCAUUCCGGAUUGCAGUGAUUGGGGUUGAGGGGUGAGGAGAGAGCCCGAGAGCGGAGAGGUUCGCGUGCACCAGCAUAGGGCGCAGGUGAGACGGAAGGAUGUUGUGUUGUUUAGUUAACGGUGACAGAAUGGGGAUAACAAUUAGUGAGUAGUGAUAGCUUAAACUGCUGAUACAAUAGAGGUAAAAAAUAAUAAAAACAAAAUAAGCCUCUCUCCAGCCUCUUACAUUUACUUAGUUGCCUCCGUUCAUAAAGGAGAGAGGUGAGAAGUCUAAGUUUUUCCUUAAGCCAAACAUCUUUAACUCCGACCAGAAUUUAGAAAAAUGCAUCAACAUAUAUUAUAUAAAAUUUAAUUUAUUAAAAUCUACCAUAAACAUGUGUUACUAAUGCAUUUAUUUGAUAUUACUAAUAUAAAAUUUCUAUAGAGUUAGUCAAAGUCAGAGAACUUUAACUUAGAAUAAAACUAAAACCUUUGCAGGAGUACACACACAGGAGUGCACUCUUAGGGCAUUUUUAUAAGAUCCACUCACGCUCGACAAAAACCCAAAAAGGAUUCAUAUGCUCUGCAGUUUACAGAGACUUCUCCUUUCACAUUUGCACGUGGAAGCUGUAGCUGCAGAAGCACUUUAAAACAUAGACAUAUAUAUACACAUGCAUAUAUGAAACCAUCAAUCGAAAAUUUUAUGCAAAUAUUCGAUCUCUUAUCAAGUCUCAGAUGAAUUUAUACCGAUGCAUAGAGUGGAUUCGCCUACCCUAGAACGAUAGACCGAUCGAUAUGAUGCAUGAUUGCUUCCAACGAUACGGAGAUUAGUGGCUAGACGUAUCUUGAUCCAUACCUGCCUCCCGGUUUUCAGUUGCUUGUGCCCAGCACUUCAGAUGUCAAUCUAAUCUGAUCUACAGGUGGAUCGGAAAGAUUUCGGUUAGCUUGCCAUACUUAAUCUGCAUCCAGAUGCGUGCUCUAGUCAGGGUCAACCGUGAUCCCAGGGCCAGGCAGCACGGCAUCGCCACGAGUGGCCGUCCCUCACCGACUCGUGGUCCCGUCCAUCGUUGGAUCCCUACCCAACGGUUCACAUUCUCGGACGGUUUCUCGAGAGGAAGUUGGUGGUCCGCUGAUGGCUGCGCGCGAUCAGUUGGGAAUCACAUUGGCAGAAUGGCAGGCACCGCCGCACCGGCGUACGGUAGGAGAGCCGAGCGUACGACGGAUCCCCUAACAUGCACCAUGCAUGUGGGUAACUGCCAAGAACCAAUUUUAUUUUGUAUAAUGGCAGACUGGCUCGCGGACCGAGUACUCCAUUUCCACCAUGAUUAGCUCGAUGGGUACGGUGGCCAUGUGACCCUGCACCGCCAAACACGGCAACGUCCGAUGUGGCGACGACUACCGAUGCUGCCCAGCUGCUCGAUCAAACUCCUCUCUUUGCCCAGCCCAUCCAGCUGCUUAAUUGCCCGCCUAUAAGAACACCGGCAGCUAGCCUCGUUCCUUCCCAUCACCAGAGCACAACACAGAUCGAGCAAGUACAUUAGUACGGAGUAGUAGGCUAGUAGCUUACAAAGCUGAUCAGAUCGAUGGCAGCUGCCCUCGUUGUUGGGCUCCUCGCCGUGCUUGUCGCGCAUGGCGCCCGCGCGCAGCCAGCGAACCACACCUCCUCCGCCGUCCGCCAACUCCGCGGCUCCGGCGGCGGCUGGCUCCCGGCCAAGGCCACCUGGUACGGCGCGCCCAACGGCGCCGGCCCCGACGACAACGGUAUGUACACGCGUUGCUGUCGUGUUUACAAGCUGGUUUCGCAUGCAUGCCAUCCGAGCAAUGCCGUGGCUGACAUUGUGUUGUGCAUCCGGUUCUUCUUCUGCAGGUGGCGCGUGUGGGUUCAAGGGCACCAACCAGUACCCCUUCAUGUCCAUGACGUCGUGCGGCAACCAGCCCCUGUUCAAGGACGGCCAGGGCUGCGGCGCAUGCUACGAGGUAAUUACGGUUAAAUUACUCGUCCACUUUGUCCUGAUCAUUUAAUCCUGAUCGGUCAAACGUAUAAACCUAUUAGUAUAAACCAGAGUAGUAGGAGCAGCCAGGACUAGUAGAUUUUUUCCUCGAGGUUAACGACAUUGUUGAGUACUCCACAGACCCCACUAGGAGAGUAGUUGAAUUCGUGCGGUCAAACUCAACAUGCCUAGCGCAUCUUUUCACGUUCUGCUUAAACUUCAGGUAAAGUGCACCAGUAAGAACAACCCCGCCUGCUCCGGCCAGCCCAAGCGGGUGAUGAUCACGGACAUGAACUACUACCCGGUGGCCAAGUACCACUUCGACCUCAGCGGCACCGCGUUCGGCGCCCUGGCGAGGCCGGGCCUCAACGACAAGCUCCGCCACGCCGGCAUCAUCGACAUCCAGUUCCGGAGGGUGCCCUGCGACCACCGGGGGCUCACCAUCAACUUCCACGUGGAGCAGGGCUCCAACCCCGUCUACCUCGCGGUGCUGGUCGAGUACGCCAACAAGGCAGGGACCGUGCUGCAGAUGGACCUCCGCGAGUCCGGCUCGCGCUACUGGACCCCGAUGCGGCGCUCCUGGGGCUCCGUCUGGCGCCUGGACUCCAACCACCCGCUGAGGGCGCCCUUCUCGCUGCGCAUCCGCGGCGAGCCCCGCAAGCCGCUCGUGGCCUACAACGUCAUCCCGGCCAACUGGAGGCCCAACACCGACUACCGCUCCUACGUCCAGUUCAACUGAGCGCAUGACGAUGAUCAUUCUGUAGGCAUACAUUGCUGGUUCGGUUGUUGAUUUAUUUGUCUUUAAUUUGUGCGGGCACUUGGGAGGCGUGGGAAAUGGAGGAGGCAAAGUGUUUUAUACAUAUGUGCUCUCCCGCCCACCGCCCAAAGUGUGUGCAAGUACAACUGGUGUGCGUCCGAUUACUAGAGUGAUAUACUGUAGUGUGUAACCAAAUCACGAGGUUAUGCAUCGUCAAUGGAUUUAUUAAUAACUACUUUGCCGAUCACAUGUUUCUGAUUAUUCUACCAGAUGUGGAUCCGCUGCGCACUUGCAAUCUAUGAGCUUUUCAGAUCACAGUAGAAACUGCAUUGCAUUGUCUAUAUUUGUAGAGGUACUGUGACACAUGCUGGUUAGUGGUGUGGAACAUAUAUUCAAGUGUUUGGCUUGAGGACUAACCUCAUCUUCUUGUGUCUUUCUUUUUUAUCUUUUGCCCAAUCAUACCUAAUGAUUUAUUUUUAAUCUGCUCUAAGGUAAUAUUUUUAAAAGUAACACUUUUGGUCAUACUAGACCGCAUGACCCGACAAAAUACUCUAUGCUUGCUAGGGAAAUACUCUAGUUCAUCAGUUAAUUAGGAGACCAUGCACCCUUCGCCGUGCUUAGGAACAGAUGGAUGGAUCAGCCGCGUGCUUCGAUGUGUCAGCUGACGGAGAGCUGCGAGUAGGCAAGCUGCGGGUACGGCGACCGCGGCGGCAGGCUGCUGACUAACAAACAUGGUCCCGUUAGGUUAUUAUUACGAUUUUGGUGAUUAUGUGAUAAUAUGGUCAAUGGGAGUAAUAAGUUUGUGAGCUCAAGUUUGUAGGAUUUCUAGAUCUCAUGGAUGGAGUCCAAUCCAUAUACAAGAUCAUCCAAAUCGUAGUUAAGAUACCCAAGUUGCAGUGAAAAUGCAGAGACGAAUUGGACAAGGUGCAGCAUGAAUGAAUACAUGUGUCGGUUAAACCCAUGGCAUAAUAUUUGAACCGAACGGUGCAUUAGUGUUGGCAACGGCGAUCAGGUGCAGAAAAACUUAGUAGCACCGGUUGAACCGACGACGUGGAUAGUAUGCGUCCGUGUAAUGCCAAAUUGCUCUGGUGAUAUGCACAAAAGCUCCAGAAUAUUUUGGGCAAAAUGUGUUUCAGCAUCGGUUGAUCUGACGGUUAAAAAGAAGGCGUCGGUGGAGUUCAUGAGAAGCUACCCACACUCUAAAGAAGUUCUCUAAGUCACCCAAAACUCAUUGAUCACGUACUUAGGUUUUGCACAAGCUUUGAGAGUGUUAGGUUUAGCACAAGCUUUAAGAGUGUUAGGUUUAGCACAAGCUCUGAGAAUGUUAGGGUUAGGAUUAGCUCUAGAGAGUGAGAGAGCAGGACGUUGCUGCCUUGUGUGCUGGUUCUCAAGUGAACCACAAGUUGUAUCUCAGAGUGACGGCCCUUUGGAGUCUUGGUGGCUCGCCGGCAAGUCAUCGACUCUCCGGCUCAGUGUGGAGUGGUGAUGAUGGCUUUGUGCGUGGGACGUGAAGGCCCCAUUCCUUCAUGAAGAAGCUCAUUAGUGGAAACGACAUCGAGGUGACCGGGGAUUUGGCGAGAGCCUUGAUGGCUAAGCCUUAGUGGCGAGUUAAGAAGAGACCCGGAAGAUACUCGGUGACCGGAAAGCAAUACUCUUAGUGAGUGCUUCAACAACAUGCACUAGGGGUGGACUUGUGCCUACCGAUACCACGGGAUAAAUCUUCGUGUUGAGAGUUUGCUUCCCAUCAUCCCCUUCUUCUAAGCUUGUACAUUUCUUAUUGUAAUCUUGUGUGCCUUUAAUGUAGUAUCUUGCUAGAAUUGGCUAUAGGUUGUAAAACUCUUUAGGAUGAGGUUUUUACACUAGUUGAACUCUAGUUGCACAAAUAAAUAAUAUAUUUUUGCUAACUAGUUUGAGUCAUAGGUUAAGAUUUUAGAAUUGCCUAAUUCACCCCUCCUUCUUUUAGUCUACGAGCACCGAUUCCUUUCAUCCUCCUCCUCCCAGAAGAAGUCCGCGCCCCCGCUCGCCACCGUCGGCGCCAUGACCACGCCAUCCCAACCGCAACUAGCGGCGGCUUCCUGCACCCGCUCCCUCCUCACCUCCUUGAUGACCAUGCACUCGGUGCCCUGUUCUUGCAGCGCCCGCUCUGGCGACCUCGCUUUCUUGUUACCAGCGGCAGCGGCGGACGCUCUGGCGACCUCGCUUUCUUGUUACCAGCGGCAGCGGCGGCGGGAGAGAAAGGAGCGGCAGCAGGAGGCGGCAGCCGCCAUCGGGCGGCAGUGCCGACAGCGACCUCGUUGGGGAAGUUGAGGAUGGCCUUGGAGCUGCAGAGGCGGAACGCAGCGUGAUCGUAGGCACGAGCGGCCUCCACGGCGGUGUCGUAGGUGCCCAGCCACACGCUCACGCCCUCCUGCACUGGGUCCCAGAUCUCCGCCACGUACUUGCCCCACGGCCGCUGCUGCACACCACGGUACCGUCGAAAGUCGUCCUCCUCGGCUUCCGGGCAGUAGUCCUUAGAGCUGAUGACGUCAUUGUGGUCGUGGCGGUUGUCGAGGAGGUGGGCGCGGAUGAGGUCGAGGUGUUUGUGCGGCAACAACGCUUCUUUUUUAUCUUUUACCAAAUCAUACCUAAUGUUUUCUUUUGCGAAAAAUCCGGUUUACGCCCUCGAAUUGUCGCGGAAGAAUUAUCGCAGAAGUCCGAUUUUCAAUGUUCAACUACAAAACCGGAUAACAUAGACGUCCAACUGUCGAAACCGGGCAAAUUUGGCUCUUAGAGUGGUUUUCAAUGUAGUUUUAUAUUUUUUAAAAUUAAAAAAAUUCUAAUUAGAUCUAAAAAUAAAAACUAAUUCAUUUUAAGUCAGAAAAAUAUGAAACUAGUAUAAAAUUUUUUCUAAAAAUGUAACCUAUCUAUUAUAGAUCUAUUUGAAUCUGAUUUAUUCAAAAAUAAUAGGCCUAACUAUAAGCAACCAAAUACUAUGAAUAUGAAAAAAUUGGAUCUGAAUAACUGAUAGGUACAGUGCCAAUGGAUAUGUUACAUUUUUAGGAAACUUUUGGUACCUAUUUCGUAUUUUUAUAUUUAAAACGAAUUACUUAUAAUUUUUUAGUUCAAAAUUUGAAUAUUUUUAAUUUUGAUAAAAUGAAAACCACCUUCGAAACCACCCAAAGGGCCAAAUCCGUCCAGUUUUGAUAGUUGGAUGGCCUAUAUUAUCCGAUUUUGUAGUUGAAGGUUAAAAAUCGGAUUUUUGUGAUAGUUUCAAAGUGUAAACCAGACUUUUUCCUUUUAUUUUUAAUCUGCUCUAAGGAAAUAUUUUUAAAAUUAACACUUUUGGUCAUGCUAAGAUGCAAGACGUAACAAAAUACUCUACCUAAUGUUUUUGGCGUGACAAAGAAUACAGUUUUAAACAUAUUGUCCUAGACGGGUUAAAAAUAAAAAGAAUUGCUCUCAUUAUGGACGGAUAAUACAUCAUGAGUUGAUCUUAUGGAUUUUUGUUCUAUGAUAAUCUCAAUCUCCAUUUUAAUCAUGUGCGAGGAAUGGAGUGGUGAUAAACCAACUUAUUUCAUUCCUUAGACCAAAAUAAUGUACGUACACAUGAUGAUGGGGUGAUGGACCACCUCACUCUUUUAAACCAAACACUACAUAAGUGAUGCAUAAAGUCUUUAGCCAGUAUGGUGGAUACUCUACUGAAAUUUACUAUUAAGCUGCACAUAUGGUACCCGCAUUAAUUAUCAAAUUGAUAAAUGAUCUUCAGCAAGAGGCUGGGACAGGUACAAGGCCCAAUGGUACUCCCUUCAUGUCCAUCAAUAUAAGCCAUACUUUUAAAAUAAGGUUUGAUAUUUAGUUUCACUUGCAAUGUUUUGCUAUUUUCUAUAAUAUCGAAAUCAUCUUAAGAUUCUUUGAAUAUUAAUCUUUGAUCGAAAGUUCUUUCUCAAAUCAAAAUACGCCUUGUAGUUCCAUAAAACAAUAGGACAGCUAGCGUGGGCCGAAAUCGGCAGCCCAACAAACGGGUGGUACCCUUCAGCUUUGUUUUUGGGUUGAGUUGGGCCGUUCUUUGAUGUGGACUUAAUUUUUCUUACUGUGUUGUACCGUUAUCAGGGCCGUGCCCUGGUUCAUGAAUUUGCAGACUAAAUAAGGGGUAUCCUCCUCUCUCUCUCUCCAAAAAAAAAGAUAGCCAUCUAUCAUUCUAGCUUAGUAAAAAAAAGUUUAGGGUCUAUUUUGUUGAGCUGUGGCUGUGAAAAAAACUAUUGUGAGCUGUGAUCUACGAAAAAGCUGCUGUGAGAUGGGAGUUGUAAGAAAUAUAAAAGCUGUUUGGUUCAAACAACCGUGAAGCCGUGACUUCUGUACAAAAUAUCUAUAAUGCCCCUAUGUAUGCAAAAUGAUCGUAAAAGUCUGCAUUAUUCACUAAUUCACAUAUAAAUGAUCAUAUUUGAAAGUAUAAUAUAAUUAUUGUUAAGUUUUGCAUCCACCAUUAACAUAUGAUCCACAUAAGUAUAAAGAUAGUAGAACAAAAGAUAUAAAAAGAUAUAUGAUUCAUAUGGCCUCUUUAAUACUUUUUAAUACUUGGGAUUGGGUUGGUUGGAGGCGUCGAUGAUGCUUCAAUGCUUGUGGAGAUCUUCUCUGCUGCAGUUUCUAUCUUCGAACAAGUGUUCUUAUACAGUUUAUAAAAUGAGCUUUGCUCUUCCUUCUCCUCAAUAGCACUAGUGUAGUCUUUGCAUUCCUUUUUCUUGGUUUUGAAUUCUUCAAAGAAGACAACUUCACAUUCUCAUAAUCUAAAUUUUUUUGAAUCUCAGCCACAUCAUCACCACUUGAUUCAUCCGAGAAUAUAUCUCCAGGACAUGAUGCACUAGCACCGCUAACAUGUGUCUUAUCAAACAACAGGUGCAGAUCAUCUAGGUACUUCGGUUCUUAUUUCUUGAAUCUCACAUGUUUGCAUUUGAUGCCUUUGCUAGGAUCAUUGUAUCUCUAAAAAUAAAUGAUAAACUUGGCAAGUUAGAACAUAUAAGGAUGGAAAAAUGAAUGUAAAAAAUAAUGAACUUAAUUGAAAUACUUAUAGUUCAGUCCAUAAUCAUCGGAGCAUUCAACAGUUUGUUUUGUCUCAUUCGAACCGAGCUCACUGGCACAAUACUUGAACUCUAUAAACAAUAUAUAUUCUUUUUUCAUAUUGUCCAACUUGUUCUUCAGUUGUUUAUUUGUCUACUUCAGAGAAGUUUUUUCUUCAUAUUUAGCUCUAAGAUUUUGCCAACCAUCACUAGUGAGAAGACCCAUUGGCCUAUUCGCAGCUACUAUCUCUCCUUAUUAGCCAUUCUUGAAGCAAGGAAAAAAUAUUUUAUUCACAUUGCUCACUAAAAAUAAUUCUCAAUUCCAAAUAAUCUGAACAAUGAUCACACUAUUUUUGAAUGCAUCACUUCUAUAUGCAAAUAAACAGAACUGUAUCCCAAUAAACACCAAAGAGUGGCAGAAGCUUUUCUAGUAAAAUAAUAGGUAAUUGGUCCAUUUUCUCAGUAGCUCUGGAUAGUAUCGUAGUUUUUACUACAUUACUACAUUACUGGUUCAACUACUUUAAUGGACAGGCAAUAGGUUCAAAACCACAAUGUGAAAUUAGAGAGAGACAAUCUAAUUUUUUCAGAUAUGGAGAACUAAUCACAACUAGUAAAACAAAUCCUUUUUCACACAUGGAGAUAACAAUGAAGUAAAGCAAAGAAAAAAAUGGAAGGGAGAAGGAGACCAUACCUGCUGUUGGCGCUGGAAGAGGAGGCGGCGUUCCUGCGCAGGGGGGGGGGUUUGGGAGGAGCUGCGUGGGGGCGUUAAGAGAGGGGCGCUGGUCAGAGGGAGGCAAGGAGGCGAGCGCUGGUCGGAGGGAGAUGGAUUGUCGGGCGCUGGCCGGAGGUGGCGGGUCGCCGGGCGCUGGAGGGAAAUGGGUUGCUAUGCGCAGGAGCAGGGGGCGAGUCGCCGGACGCAGGCGGGAGACGGGUUGCCGAAGCGCCGCAGCUCCGGGGAUGGCGCAAACUCUAGCGUCGCCGCCGCGAGACCUGCCACGCACGUGCAGAGCGGCGCGAGUUUUUUUUCACGAGGAAAAACAACGGGAGAGGAGGGGAGGGGGAGAAAAAAAGAAACGAAACGGUAUGUUCAUAACCGGUGGCAUGGUGGGCAAUUUCGAGCAAAAACUACCCCCACGGUCACAAAAUGCAGGGGGGAGCUGCUGUGAAAAUUGUACCAUGAAAAAUCUGACUUUUUUCAAAGCACCUAGGAGAAAGUUUUCCCUUUGGUUGGUUUUUGGAUUUUUUGAAAAGCAAAAGCAGGUUGGAAGCCCAACAUCAUUUGAUGGUCAAUUAUGGAUUUUAAAAAUAAAAUGACCAAUAUUCAAGAAGCAUUUAUUCUACAAAGAGUUCUUUCUUCUGCCUUAGAAAAUCAUCACUUCUCGCUUCAAGCAAAUCAACCAAAUCAGCAUGAGAAAAGAUAGGUGAAAAGCUCUCAAUUCAAUUCAAACUUGUAUUUAGCUAGAUAGAGUAAUUUAUCAUAAACAAAGAUUAAGAGAUUCUAUGAUUAGCAGAGCUCAUGAACUAAAAUUUAAAAUAUGGUAAUCUAACAAUUUUCCUAGCUAUUUCACACUAUGCGCAAUACAAUAAUAGAUUAGCUGGAGAUGUUAUGAGGCUCAAAUUAUGUUCUAAUCCACAUUAAACAAAUUAGGGUAAAAUCGAGUUUACAACCUUUAACUAUCACAAAAGUCCAAUUUUCAACUUUCAACUAAAAGACCAAAUAAUAGUUGCCAUCCAACAGUUGAAACUGGGCAAAUUUGGCCCCUAGCAGGUUUUAAAGGUGGUUUUUCAUUAUGUGAAGAUUAAAAAAUAUAUUUAAUCUUAAAAAUUAUAAAAAUUAAUUUAAAUUAGAAAAAUACGGAACCAAUAUAAAUAUAUUUCUAAAAAUGAAGCCUAUCUAUUGGUACUCUGCUUGUCAAUUAUUUUGAUCCAAUUUAUUUCUAUUUUAAGUAUUUUUUGUUUAUAGUUAUGCUUUUUAUUUUUGUAAUAAAUAAGAUCCAAACAGAGCUCUACUAGAUAGGUUAAUUUUUAGAAAACUUUUGGUAUCAUUUCGUAUUUUCUAUAACUGGGUUAUUUCAAAAUUUUAAAACAAACUAUAUUUUUUCUAUUUUUAAAUAAAAAACCACCUUUGAGACUAGCCAAGGGGCUUAAUUUGCCUUGUGUCAAUAGUUGGACAAUCGUUGUUAUCCGAUUUCUUGUUGAGGGUUGAAAAUUGAACUAUUGUGCUAGUUUAAGGGUGAAAAUUGAAAUUUUUCCCAACAAAUUAACACACAUGUCCUAUAGCUGCCACUAGUUUAUCAUGAAAAAAUAGGAGUUGCUAACUACUCAACAAUAUAUUUUUUUCAUAUGGUAAAUCUUGACCAUCAAACUUGAUCUAACGACUUCCACCUCUCUUUCUCCUCCUGCAGCAAGUCUUCUCCACCCGACGCACUCUUUGCUUCCAACUAACUUGAUCAUGUUCCUCGCCAUGAGCUCACAUUGUCCCUCUUUCUCUAUUCAUUUCAUUUUGCCACUCCACCCUAACAAUGCCUUAACCACACCCACAUGUGAUUCCCUUAUGCGAAGUACACUACUUUCAAAGCCCUCUACUCUGCCGGCGUUCGUAUGGCCGAUAGUGAGAUUCAUCAUUUUUUAAAUGCUUGAAGCAUAUGAGGUGUGUAAUCAAUACAAUAUUGAUUCAAACAACACUAAUGUAGAGCGACAAACGUGCAGCCCUCAAAUUCAAGUUAGGAAAUAGAAAAACCUACGUGAGGUUGUUAAUCUCAAGAGUCCAAUAGAGGAUCAAACAAAACAACCACCUAGAAAAAUGUCAUCUAACGCUGAGACACAUAUGUUAGUUCUCUUUUUAUUUAAGUGAAUGCUAGAGCUCUUGAUGUAAUUUAGAUGAAAAUGAUAAGUCAUUCUGUUUCGCCACUAUUCCAUCUAAAUCCAGACUCAUAACUCAGUUGAUUAGUGGAAUAUGACUACUCGUAUUUUAUUUGACUAUUUAUUUAGCGACAGAAGAAGUGCACAUCAACAACAAGGUGCUUCCUAUCUCUCAAACGUGCUCAUAGCGUUACAAUAUUAGUACAAAUGUUCAUACGAGGUGAAUUUGUGUGUAUGAUGUGAGCAUCUUCUGAAUUGAAAAAAAGUUAAAAAUGAACUUAUGUUAUAAACACUCUCUGAUUUGUUUUUUGUCCAAUUUACAGAAAGAUAGGAAACAUAAAAGAUGAAAAAGUUCUUCAGCCAAACAACAAAACCCACCCAGAACCCCAUUUUUAAUCGAAAAGAAAAUUUUGUGUGUGUGUGGGGGGGGGAGGGGGAUCAACAACAGCCCACACGACUGAGUAGGAGUUCUUCCAGAUCCAGCCCUUGGCUCGCCGUACACCAAACCAGACCAGAUCUCAACGUGCUCCCUCUCAGAUCCCAAUUCCCAAAUGCCCACGCAGUCGUAGCUACACCCCGACCGGCCGACCCCGCGCGCUCGCUCGGAUCCAUGGGCGGGCUCAGGGCAGCGUCGCCGUCGGGCGCGGGUGCCGAAGCCGACGCGGGGGUGGGAUCGGGCCCCGAGGCGCCACGCCUGGCGAUGGCGUGCGUGCUGGCUUCCGAGGUCGCCACGGUGCUCGCCGUCAUGCGCCGCAACGUCCGCUGGGCGGGCGUCCGCUACGGCGGCGGCGACGGCGGCGCGGGCGACGACGAGCACCUCGACCACCCGCUUGUCGCGGGGCUCAAGGCCCUCCGCCGCCGCGCCGCCGCGUGGGGCCACGGCCGCUGGGCGGGCGUAGAGCCGCUCCUCUACCUCCGCCCCUUCCUUGACGUCGUCCGCUCCGACGAGACCGGGGCGCCCAUCACGGGCGCUGCGCUCUCGUCCCUGCACAAGAUCCUUACCCUCGACCUCGUUGGGCCCGGCGCGCCCGGCGUCGCCGAGGCCAUGGGCGCCGUCGUCGACGCCGUCACGGCCUGCCGCUUCGAGGUCACCGACCCGGCGUCCGAGGAGGCCGUCCUGGCACGAGUCCUGCAGGUGCUGCUCGCCUGCGUGCGCGGCCGCGCGGCGCCGGCGCUGGCCAACCGCCACGUCUGCGCGAUCGUCAGUACCUGCUUCCGCGUCGUGCAGCAGGCUGGGACCAAGGGGGAGCUGCUGCAGCGUGUCUCCCGCCAGACAAUGCAGGAGGUUAUCCGUUCUGUCUUCGCCCGUCUGCAGGACAUUGAUACCACCGUGUUUUCCGACGAGCAGGUAUGAUUCGAGCAUUGUUAUUGUCAUUACUAUGUUUGCUAUGCUCAUGAGCAUGGAAAAUGUUGCAAUACCAUUCCUCCCUCCACCUAACAACUUUACUUACUAUGCUUAUGUGCACUGGUCCUAACUCGGAUGUAUAAACAAGUGAAAUGAUUCUAGGAUUAUUUUAUCUUAAUAGUUUAACUAAUUGUUUUCAUCCUAGCAAUAUUACCACUUUGCACAUACUGAAAGUCUGUCAGACUGACACUAAGAUCCACUCUUGCCUUUGCCAAUCACCUGUAACUGUAAGAUAUGCGUCAUGUUAGUUGGAAACAAGCUUUGUUAGUAGAAACUUGGAAGGCUCAUAUGUUCCUAUACCACAUGAAGUGUAAUAAUGUACUGUUAGCAUUUCCUCCGCAGGCAAGUGGUUGCAAUAACCAAGGUUUGGGUGCUGAGGAGACGGAGAAUGGGAAGAGUGAUUUUGUGUGUUUGAACAGCUCUGGUGAUGAGGUGGGGGAUGGAUCUGGAGUUGUGCAAGACAAAGCCAUGAUGGAGCCAUUGGGAGUUCCUUGUAUGGUGGAGAUAUUGCAAUUCUUGUGCUCCCUCUUGAACAUAGCAGAAGACAUUGAUGUGAACCCAAAGAUGAAUCCAAUUGACUUUGAUGAGGAUGUACCACUCUUUGCUCUGGGGUUGAUUAAUUCAGCUAUUGAGUUGUCGGCUUCCUCUAUACACAGACAUAAAAAGCUGAUGGAUUUUGUACAGGAUGAAUUGUUCCGCAAUCUGAUGCAUUUUGGCUUGUCAAUGAGCCCCUUGAUCCUGUCGACAGUGUGCAGCAUUGUUUUCACUCUCUUUUACCAUCUGCGCCAUGAACUUAAGCUGCAAAUAGAGGCUUUCUUCUCAUGUGUGAUCCUAAGAUUAGCACAGAGUAGAUAUGGUGCAAGUUAUCAGCAGCAAGAAGUUGCCCUGGAGGCUCUAGUGGAUUUUUGCCGGCAAAAAGAGUUUAUGGCUGAGAUGUAUGCGAACAUGGAUUGUGAUUUGCAGUGCUCAAAUAUUUUUGAAGAGCUAGCUAACCUUCUGUCUAAGAGUGCAUUUCCUGUGAACAGUCCUUUGUCGGCCUUAAAUGUGCUUGCUUUGGAUGGUUUGGUUGCUGUCAUUCGGGCAAUGGCCGAGCGGAGUGAUGGUGCACCUCAACAUCAUGAGCAAACAGUGCCAGAAAUAAGUGAAUAUUUUCCUUUCUGGCAGUUGAAGUGUGAGAGCAGUAAUGAUCCUGAUCAGUGGGUUAAAUUUGUUCACCAGCAAAAAAGCAUCAAGAGAAAGCUUAUGGUUGGUGUUGAACAUUUCAAUAGGGAUAAAAAGAAGGGUUUUGAGUACCUGCAAGGUGUUCAUCUUUUGCCCAGAAAACUUGAUCCACACAAUGUUGCUCUAUUCUUCCGGUACACGCCUGGGUUGGACAAGAAUCUUCUUGGGGACUACCUGGGUAAUCACGAUGAGUUCUCUAUUAGGGUUCUUCAUGAAUUUGCUAGAACCUUUGACUUCAAGGAGAUGAAUUUGGAUGCUGCCCUAAGGCUAUUCUUGGAAACUUUCCGGCUGCCUGGUGAGUCGCAGAAAAUACAGAGAAUUCUUGAGGCCUUUUCUGAGCGAUAUUAUGAACAGUCACCCCAAAUGUUUGUCAACAGAGAUGCAGCUCUUGUGCUAUCAUAUUCUGUAAUCAUGCUCAAUACCGAUCAACAUAAUGUGAGGGUUAAGAAGAAAAUGACAGAGGAAGACUUUAUUAGAAACAAUCGCCGCAUAAAUGGAGGAAAUGAUCUUCCAAGGGAGUUCUUGUCGGAGCUUUAUUAUUCUAUUUGCCGUAAUGAAAUCAGAACCAUUCCUGAGCAAGGAGCUGGUUGUUCUGAGAUGUCUUUCAGUCGUUGGGUUGAUCUGAUGUGGAGGUCUAGGAGAACAUCAAUGUAUAUUGCCUGUGAUUCCUACCCUUUUCUUGAUCAUGAAAUGUUCUCUGUCAUGGCUGGACCGACAGUUGCUGCUAUUUCUGUGGUCUUUGACAAUGUUGAGCAUGAGGAAGUUCUUACAGGAUGCAUUGAUGGUUUUCUGUCGGUGGCGAAACUGGCUGCAUUCUAUCAUCAUGAUGAUGUGCUGAAUGAUCUUGUUGUGGCACUGUGCAAGUUCACCACUUUGAUGAGCAGUUCCUACAUUGACGAUCCUUUAACAGCUUUUGGGGAGGAUACCAAGGCUAGAAUGGCAACAGAGGCUGUUUUCACUAUAGCAACUACUUAUGGUGAUCAUGUACGCAGUGGGUGGAGGAACAUAGUAGAUUGCAUUUUAAGAUUGCAUAGGAUAGGCCUUCUUCCUGGUCGCCUCACUGGUGAUACAUCUGAUGAUCAGGAAUCCACUUCAGAUUCGUUGCCCAGCAAGCUUGCUUCUUCAUCUGCUCCUCCUCAAGUUUUGCCCAUUAGCACUCCUCGGAAAAGUUAUGGACUGAUGGGGAGGUUCAGCCAACUACUGUACUUAGAUGCUGAAGAACCAAUGUCCCAGCCAACUGAGGAGCAACUAGCUGCACAGAGGAAUGCUUCAGAGACUGUGAAGAAGUGCCAAAUAGGUACCAUCUUCACUGAGAGCAAAUUCUUGCAAGCUGAUUCGCUGUCAAAUCUGGCAAGAGCCCUCAUUCAGGCAGCAGGCCGACCUCAGAAGAUCACCAGCACACUUGAUGAUGAAGGCGUAUCUGUCUUCUGCUUAGAGCUUCUAAUUACUGUCACAUUAAACAACAGAGACAGGAUUGUUCUUUUGUGGCAGGAUGUUUAUGAGCACAUAACCCAUAUCGUCCAGUCCACAGUGAUGCCCUGCAAUCUAGUAGAGAAGGCUGUUUUUGGUCUCUUGCACAUCUGUCAGAGGUUGCUUCCUUAUAAGGCGAACCUGGUAGAUGAUUUACUAAGGUCAUUGCAGCUGAUUUUGAAACUUGAUGCCCGUGUAGCUGAUGCCUACUGUGAGAACAUUACCUUGGAAGUAACACGUCUUGUCAAGGCGAAUGCGACCCAUAUUAAAUCCCAGAUGGGCUGGAGAACUAUUAUUUCCUUGCUCUGCAUCACUGCGCGCCAUCCUGACGCUUCUGAUGCAGGGUUUGAAGCUCUGGUUUUUAUCAUGUCCGAGGGAGCACAUCUGUCACCUGCCAACUUCAUCCUCUCAGUGGAGGCCUCGAGGCAGUUUGCAGAAUCUCGGCUCGGGUCUGCUGAAAGAUCUAUCCAUGCUUUAAACCUAAUGGCAGAUUCUGUGAACUGCCUUACGCGGUGGUCACGAGAGGUUAGAGAAGCUGGUGGAGACGCAGACAGGAUAUUGGAAGGAAUUGCAGAGAUGUGGCUGCGGCUAGUGCAGGCUCUACGAAAGGUGUGCACGGAUCAAAGGGAAGAAGUGAGGAACCAUGCGUUGUUAUCGUUGCACAGAUGCUUAGUAGUUGAUGGAAUAUUAGUUUCAUCUUCAACAUGGUUGAUGGCAUUUGAUAUUGUUUUCCAGUUGCUUGAUGAAUUGUUGGAGAUUGCUCAGAGUUACUCACCAAAGGAUUUUAGAAACAUGGAAGUGUCUCUCUUGCAUGCUGUAAAACUGUUAUGCAAGGUGUUUUUGCAGUCACUUAAAGACCUCUCAGCGCAGGGCAGUUUUGGUAAGCUGUGGUUGGAAGUCCUUGACAUGAUAGAGAAGUUCAUGAAAGUCAAAGUGAGAGGGAGGAGGACUGAGAAGUUACAAGAGGCUAUCCCAGAGCUACUCAAGAACAUACUGAUGGUGAUGAAAGCGAGUGGGGUCCUGUCAAAGACAAGCACCGGUGAAAACAGUUUGUGGGAAGCAACAUGGCUGCAAGUUAACAAGAUUGCACCCUCACUACAAUCAGAAAUUUUUCCUGAUAAUGAGGUUGAAAGCACAACUGGUGAAGAAAACAAAUUGGAUACUCCAGCGCAAUCUGACCAAAGCGCUGAUCAAUAGGGUAUUACACAUUCUCCCAUACAAUCAAGUUAGUUGAGCUGCAGCUGGAUCUUUCAAGGCAGGAUUACCUUUCAAUUUUUUUGUUCCAAAGUUAUACACAAAUGCAUGGCAGUGCUGUCAGGGGACAUUAGGGAGAGUAAGCUGGUAUAUUGUAAUUUUCUUAGUUAUAUAUAUUAUUUUGUUACUGACAAGGUUGUUGCUUUUGGGCUUUAUUGUUGCAACUCCGAAGUUGUAUGAUAUGUAUAUCGUUGCACUGAUAUGUGUUAACCUUGGGGGAAUCGAUGAUUUUGGCUGUUUAUUAUUAUGAUCACUCUGCACCUUUGUACUGUGAAAGAUUGCUUAUAGCAGUAGAUCUGAGGGUUUUCCGUUGCUAUCAUCUGAUCUUCUAGAACUUUCAAUAUUGACGUGGUUUUUAGCUAUUGCAUACAAGUAAUUAUGCUGGUCUAUAUGAAUCUAUUCACCUGUGAAUGUGAAAAGGCUCGAUAGAGAUGCCCUUGUAUUCCUUUAGAGGCCAGGCAGCAAGAACAAGCAGCUGAGAGCAUGCAAGGCUUCGUUACCCCUACUUUAUUCUUGUUUCAUUUCUAAUCGUACUCAUGUUUAAUAUGCUCAAUAUAGGCAUGCUGCACUGUUGUUGAAAUAUGCAAGCAUGUUAUUAUUUUUUUUGUCCUUACUGAAAUUCUACUUAUUUGCAGAUUGAAAUUUCAGAGUGGUUAGACAGAACAAACAGAUCCAGUUUGCAAACUGAAGGAUAUAUCAGACCUUUUUGGGUUCAAUUUCCAGAAACUGGAAUAGUCUGUAUUGAAUUUGUAGAAAGUUUUGCAGAUCGGAAAUGUGGUUUUUAUUUAUUUAAGAUACGAAAAUUCAUCCUUUCGUAAGUGAAUUAGAAGUACUUUGUUUUGGUUCCUCAUGGUUCUGCAGAUUCAAGCUUGUUUACAUUCUUCGGAAUAUUAGAAUCCUGCCUUGACCCUGGAACAUGAAAAGAGAAAUGUGCAUGAUCUAAUUGCAAAGCUUUCUUUAGAUGUUCACCUAAAGGUAACAUCUGGCACAGUUUCAUGUAAACCUGCAGAUAUGUGCAUGACACAGCAAACUCCUUUCCUCAAAAAACGAAGAGGAACUAAAGUAGUUCUCUUAAAAAAAGAGAGGAACUACUAUGCUAAAUCAUUCUGGAUUGCUUAUUUGUUGCGGUCUGCUGAUAUGUGUUAUGAAUGCAUUCUUAGCACUCGGAAGAAACAAGAACUUGAAUGAGAUGUUGGUUUCGACAACAUUAUGCCUACAGUUUUUACUAUUGAUCCUAGAAAUACAUCUGCUGGUAAAGUUUUUAUUAGUUCAGUAUUUGAAGGGUGAAAGUUGUUCUUUGGUUCACUGUGGUUCAGUUGUGGGCGCAAUUUUCCGUGUCUAUGAAUUGAAUGACUAAUUACCUAUUUGUUGCAAUCUGAUUCAUGUGAAUCCUUAGGAAACAUAGAGCUUCUUAUCUCGAAGUAGCUUUGUUAAGCCAUAUAAGCUGGCAAAAUCAGAAACUUUUGUUGGCCAAGGAUGCAUCAAGGUACGUAUGUUACACAGACGUGCAAUUGAAUUUGACAUUCAACACACAUUCAAUCAUGCCUGCUUUCCUGUCAGGACACUGGAAGAUGCACAUACCUCUUUAUUCAGAAAAGUUAUUCAGUGAUGACUUAGCUGACAGUGAUGCUAAUUUUUCUGUUGGGCUCGCAUGUCAUGCGCCCAGAGAUUCUGACAAUGAAGUAUCAGAACCUGUGGUUAAAAAUUCAUUUUCUCAACCAGAUCCUUGCACCGUUAUAAUGAUAUUCCAUUUCACGUGCUAAUGUACAUAGUUACAUUACAAUUAUGAAACUGCUAUCAUAUAGUGACUAGCGCAUUAAGUUCAGCCUGACUGUAAUGUACAUCCAUGCAAUGCUACAAGCUUGCCUUGCUUUCUUGAUUGCCGUUUUAAUUCUUUGUAAGUUGGCUUGUUACUAAUAUUUCUGUAAAUCUAGUUUCAUGGACAGACACCAGUCAGUUUAUAGUUGCAUCUAUAUUAUACUGUGCCCAUGCACCAAUAUAUUAGUUGCUCCCUCAACAGAGACUACAACCGUGUUCGUAACUGCAUACUCUCUCUGGUUUGAAGCAGCUGGCUGUGAUGGAUGGGUAAUCAUCUGCACAUUUAGCGUUUGUGCUCUUCAGGUGCAAGCGACUGGUGCAUGCAUUGACCCUUUGGUUGGGUCACACGCUCUGUGUAGGUGAGCUCCCACUCCCUAGUCCCUAUGUAGGCAUUCACCUGGAUUUUGUUUGCAUGUUCUGGUUCCACUCCAUGUUAGCCCUGUUUUGUUUGCAGGUGCAGGGUCUGUCUUAUUGGUACCAGGACAGCAGAGCUCCUUUUCUGGAGGAAUUGCAUGCUGGGCAGUAUAGAAGCCUGUGAUGCCUCCCAUUUGUGAUUUAUGGGCGUGUUCCCAGUUCCCAGAACACGAUGAUUGAUGAAGUAAGCAAGCAUCUAUACAUCUCGAGAGUUGGCGGCGAUUGUAUCUCAGAAGGCAACACCGAAGAGCCUUACAAGUACAACGCUGGCAGAUUGAAAACCCAGCUGGGGAUGCAUUCUAGGUCAGCGACUUUAGUUUUCUUCCCACCCAGAACAAGUGAAACUUGCACCCCGGCUCCCAGCAGACAAUGAUGCGACGGAAGUGGAGAGGGUGUGGUCAAAAUCAGCAUACCGUCUAUGCAGUCUGGUUCUGGUGUGUCUUGGAGUGGAGCACGGCAUGCCCUGUCCUGCUUGGGAAUAACUUGGGAUGCGACGCUCAAUUUAGUGGCAGUUCAAUUCGUAAUUUCAGAAUCCACUUAUAUGUUUGUAUAUAAAAAGUGCGUGGUGAACCCAUGAACCUAUGCCCGUGCAGUAAAAUUAAGCGCAUGUGCUUGAGCUGCUAGCUCAAAAUUGGUGCUGUGCUUACACUAACUUCAACUCCGUAUUGCCUUGAAGGCAGAUGCUCUUGGUUGUUUCCUUGCAUUCCUUCCAGGAGUCCCUGAAGCCAUUUGACUUGCAGUAUGCGAUAGGGUCGUACCGCGGUUCUUGUACUAAGAUAAGCUGGGCUGCAACGAAGUGCAUGGUGAGAAAGGAUUCAAGGAGGCCAUGGCAUGUGACGUUUGCGUAAUCACGAGGCUAUUGCCUCGUCAUUGGAUUGACUUUGGGUACGCACUGCACGGUUGCGCCCAGCCACCCUCCCACCUUUACGUUGACUGGCGCGCGCGCGGCAGGCCGGCCGGCCACAUCUUUUGGCUGCGUCUGCAGCCGGGUCCCCGUGCCCCGUGCCCCGGCCUCGCGGUCGCGUGCGGCCGGGUGACUUGGGGGGCGUUUCGCUUGCGGGCGCGCGCACGCACGGCGGCACGGGCCGCACGCUUGCUGCGUUACGCCAGCCGCCGCCGCCGCGCCGCGCCUGCGGACAACGGUGAUCCUCCUCCGCGCCGCGACGCUAGCUACCAGGCUGCACGCGACAUCAUAAGCGGAACAGUUUCUUGCCACGGUGUAGGAUCGUGUGGGGAUCGUUUUAGCAGGACCCGAUUUGCAAGUCACCUGGAACAUUUCCAAUCCAAGAAUUUGAAGAGGCUGAAGAAAUGGUACUACAUGCAAUUAUUUUGCUGUAUACAUACUGUAGCCACCAUUAUUGCAUUGCGCAUUCUUUUAUUUUGGCCGGUAAACCACUGCGCAUUCUUUUUUUUUUCAAGACAAAAACACCACUGCGCAUUCUUAGUGGCCACUAGCUUAAGAUGGUCAGGGUCAGAUGUACAAGACGUCGACGAGAAGCCUGGCGCGCAGUCUUGUUUUCCGCGUCCGCAUGACAUGCAGUUUCACGGCGUCCCCUCGGUUCACACGACGUCUCCGUAAGUUCGUUGCACGUAACUACCGCCAUGGUUUGUGUGGCCAGCACAACCGUAAAGGAACAAUAAUACGGCUAUGGUGGUUGCUUCCCAUGACCCAAAGGUCGGGUGGAUAACGUCCAGGUCGUGGCAUCGACCUGCCGGCCGUCCGGUUUUCACUUGCUUCUGUCCGAUUUUUCCCUUUUCCUAGGCUUCGCAAGAAUGGGGUAUAUCAGAGAAGUGUCGAAUUCAGAUGCAACAAUACAAAUUUGUCCCUUUUUCCGAGAGAAACAACACUGCUAAGUAUACAAUCGUACUUCCUUUAUUAGAUAAUAAUAAAGAAACGCUCCGGACUCAGCACCGCAAGAUGCAUGUAGCCCUGAGAUAGAUUCCUGCUCUGCCAAUCAUCGGCAGACCGUCAUGGGUGUACGGUCCGAGCGUACUACACGUCCGUAGCAAGCCACAUAACCGCCACGAUCUGAUCGCAUUUUGUAGCGGCGGGGUCGCGAGCCGCGCACUCCAUUUCGCCCGGUGGCCAUGUGACCUUGCACCUCCCACACGGCACGUCCCCGUCUUGCUCGACGAGGCCGCCGGCGACUGACGAUCUUGAUGCUGAUUCGCCCAGCCCCCGGCUUUCGCCCCCUCCGCCUAUAAAUGCACCGGCGAUGUCGUCCAUCUCCGAUCCAUCAACCGAACGCAGGCACAACAUACGAGCACUGCUAAUCCCUGAGCUGGUAAUACGAUCGAGCUGAGAUGAUGCCAGCCGCCGUGAUCGUCUCCUCAUCCAAGGUGGCUGCUGCGGCACUCGCCGUCGCGCUGUUCGCCGUGCUUGCCUCGUACGCCGAGGCCGCGAAGCCCGGCGGCGGCUGGCUCCCCGCCAAGGCCACCUGGUACGGCGCGCCCAACGGUGCCGGCCCCGACGACAACGGUAUGCACGAGCAAAGCGUGCCCGGCCGCGCACCUGUCGUUUUUCCGCCGUCCCAAUGUCAAUGUGCGAGUGUCUGACGUGUCCUGUCUGCAGGCGGCGCGUGCGGGUUCAAGCACACCAACCAGUACCCCUACAUGUCCAUGACGUCGUGCGGGAACGAGCCCCUGUUCAAGGACGGCAAGGGCUGCGGCGCGUGCUACCAGGUACUACUGUGUGUAGAUAGGUCAAAGCACCGGGUGCGGCAGGCACGUCUUCUCACGCCCUGAUGUCCGAUUUUGAACCCCAGAUACGGUGCCUGAACAGCACCCACGACGCGUGCUCCGGCCGGGCGAAGCGCGUGAUCAUAACGGACAUGAACUACUACCCGGUGUCCAAGUACCACUUCGACCUCAGCGGCACAGCGUUCGGCGCCAUGGCCAAGACGGGGCUCAACGACAAGCUCCGGCACGCCGGCAUCCUGGACAUCCAGUUCCGGCGGGUGCCCUGCAACUACAAGGGCCUGACCGUCAACUUCCGCGUCCAGGUGGGGUCCAACCCCAACUACUUCGCCGUGCUGGUGCAGUACGCCGGCAAGGACGGCGCCGUGGUGCAGGUCGACCUCAUGGAGACCGACGGCGCCACGGGGCGGCCGACGGGGGCGUGGACGCCGAUGCGCGUGUCGUGGGGCGCCGUGUGGCGGCUGGACACCAGCCGCCCGCUGCGGGCGCCCUUCUCGCUGCGCAUCCGCAGCGACUCCGGCAAGACGCUGGUGGCCGACAACGUCAUCCCGGCGGACUGGAAGCCCAUGACCGACUACCCAUCCUCCGUCCAGUUCCCCUGAAACCGCAGCCGCAUGGUGCAAGCGAAUUAAUCGUCCCUGAUUGAAGCAUUGUUGUUCGUCAGAUACCCCGAUCCAUUGUUUAGUGUUGUCAUCGUAUAGUACGUACGUGUCUUGGGAGAUUUGGAGGAGGCAACGUGAUCUCCCCGCCCACGAUCGCAACUUUGAAAUAUACCAUGCUGUGUGUGUGUAAUGUAAUAGACAUACCAUAUACUACUGUACGUGUCAAGUUGGGAGUUCAAGAAAAAUAUUGUCAAGUUGGCAAACGCGCGUGCACACAUGAUGAUCCUCUCCUUCGCACGUGCAAUCAGCAUUCGUACGGUCGUACCCGUUACCGACUUCUUACUGGUCCACAUGCGCCGCCGGCCGUUCUCCUCCGCCGCCGCCGCCGGUCCGGCGGCGGGCGGCUCAUGGCGCCCGCUUCCCCUUCGUUAAAUAAAAGUUGCCGCUCGGCCGCCGGCCCGUACUGCGCUGCGCUUCCGGCGGCCUCCCCGGCCUGGCCUCGCGUCUCGUUUGCUCCGUGGGCCGUGGCGUCGUGCGGUGCGGGCGGCAUGGGCUACUUGCGCAUGAACGGGCGGCACAGCUGCGAACGCUGCACCUGCACGCGAGCAAUGCCGCGGCUACCGGGCGUCCGGGCUACGGGCGGCGGCACCCUCUGCUUGCGAUGUUACCAGCAGGUUGCACGCAUCACAAGCAGAGCAAUUGUGGCCGUAAUCAAAAGCGUAACGACGUAUCCAACAAUGACAAGUCUGCUAGCUACAAGAAAUCUACAUUAUACUUUUGCUUAGUACAUGGUUACGUGACAAAUUAGAGAGAUGAAAGCUACAUAGCUCCUCUCGUGUGGUUCUCUCUGUGUUACGGCGUUCUUUUCUUCUGUGUUUCCGCGUUCAUCGAUUGCAGACCGUUACAGUGAUUUUCUGAAAAAAAGUAAAGAAUGCUGGCUGACUUUAUCAAUUUGCAGGCCGCCAGCAUUUUUAUCAGUUCCAUGAUGCAACGCUGAAAUCAUCAAACUUGACAAGAUUCAGAUCUUUGGGUCUAUAGUGGACAAUAGUUGAUUGCGUGUAAAGUUCAUUGUGGCCCGAUUAAUUUAAGUGCAUUUAAAGGCAAAAAGAAAAUUUACAAACUUGAACGGUUCUUUUUUUUUUUGGUGAACCGAAAUGGAGAUUCACUAACUCAAAGAAAGGGUUACAGUCAGUCAUCACGCGCUAGGCGUGUUACAAAGUCAGGGGGAUGUGUCAGCCAUACAGCGGUCGACAUCUCUCUGAAAGCACUAAUAUUUUGUUUUAUUUUUGAAAAGCUUGCGGGAGCACCGCAGUGUCAUUUAAGAAGGAGAGAAGCAAAGUUCCGAGUUUUUACAGACUUGAUUUACAUAAAUAAAAAGAUCUCAAGCACUCUAGAAAGUAGAUUAAACAUUAAACAACGAUAACUCAGGUCUUCCGCAGGCCAAAGUCCUGCAAUGCGCCUCGGCUUUGCUCUCCUGGAAAACCUCCACAGGUGACAAGAUCUUGUUGUCAAAAACACGCUUGUUUCUCGCCUUCCAAAUAUUCCACGCACAAUAUAUCAUCAGAGCUGCCUUGAGUCGACAUUUUUUCUUAGGUAGAUUAGCUAAACCUUUCUCCCACCAAUUCAUCACUUCUAGUCCUUGUCCUGGUGCCUGAACCAACUGCUGCGUCCAGUUCUCCAUCUUGUCCCAUACUUGUCUAGCAAAAGUGCAGUGAAGUAUCAAAUGUGCAGUUGUCUCGGGUUCUUGAUUGCACAGGGGGCAGAUUGGGUUGCAGGGCCAGUGUCUAGCUAUCAUCUUGUCUGCAGUGAGUAUCUUACACUGAAUCAAGAGCCAUGCAAAGAAUUUGUGCUUCCCUUCUGCCUCUGCCUGCCAAAUAUGUUCUCCUCGGAACAAUCUGUAAGAGCCAAGAAACUGUGCAUUGUAAGCUGAUUUCGCUGUGUAAACCCCAUCUGUCGUCCAUCGCCAACAGAUACUAUCUUGCUCAUCAUUCAGUUGUACUUCUUGCACCAAAUCCCAAAGUUCCACAAAGCUGGACAUCUCACUAACUGAUUGCAUUCUCCAUAAUCCUCUAGUUCAAUUCUGAUUUUGAAGUUCCUCCUUCACCAUUUGUUUUUCCUCCAUGCCAACCUGAACAGCUCUGGAAAACGAUCCAUAGGUGCCUGCCCAUUCAUCCAAGUUGAUUGCCAGAAACUAGCCUUCUCACCAUUGCCAAGCGUGACCACCGUACUUGAAACAACUGCCUGUCAAUUGCAUCAACCGGUGGUUCAGUCCCUACCCAAUGGCGUUCUGGAGUUGUCCAUUGGUACCAAAGCCAUCGUAACCGCAGAGCCCUACUAAACAAAUCAAGAUCAAGGAUACCCAGUCCUCCAAACUUUUUUGGUCUCAUAGUUUUACCCCACUUCACUAGACAGUGUCCACCAUUUACCUCUGCCACACCUUUCCAGAGGAAACUUCUUCUGAGCUUAUCCAUUUUUUUCGCUGCCCAUUUUGGCAACUUGAAAACUUUCAAGAAAUAAGUAGGUAGAGAGGAAAGCACCGAGUUAACUAAUCGUAACCUCCCAGCCUUAUUCAGCAACCUUCCUUUCCAUGCAGCCAAUUUCCCCCCCAUCUUAUCUAUCAAAGGCUGUAUAUCGACCCUUCUGAUUGCCCUUGCAUGUAGUGGUAACCCCAAAUAUUUGCAAGGGAAGGAGCCAACAGGGCACUGAAACGCCUCCAUUAUAUGCUGCAGAUCAAGCCCCUCACAGCGUAUAGGAUAAACUGCACUUUUUUCAGUGUUGGUGACUAAGCCAGAAGCUCUUCCAAAAGCUGCCAAAAUGUUCUUUGCCACUUGCACUUCUCCCCCCACCGGAUUUAGAAAAAUUGCAGCAGCAUCUGCAAACAAACUUAUUCUAAUUUUUGCAUGUCUAUUGCAAAUAGGUGUCAGCAUGCCUUGCUCAGUAGCUUUGUUCAACAUCAGAUGCAUUGGUUCCAUGGCUAAAAUAAAAGGUAUAGGAGAUAAAGGAUCUCCUUGUCGCAGGCCCAACUUGUGUUUGAACCAUUUCCCUCUCACCCCAUUAAGAAGCACUGUUGAUGAUGAUUUCCCCAACAGAAUUGGCACCUAUGCUCUCCACCUAGCCCCAUAACCCAUCUGCUGCAACACCUCUUGUAAGUAGUCCCACCUGACAGUGUCGAACGCCUUUGCAAUGUCUUAGUUUAAGAAACAAAGUUGGCUUCCCUGCUCUGUGUAACUCCCUUAUCAGGUUUUGCGUGUACAAGAAGUUGUCGUGGAUACUCCUUUUUUUUAAUGAAGGCACUCUGUGCUCUAGACACCAAGCUGUCCAACUCAGCAGACAGUCUGCCAGCUAAAAUUUUAGAAAUUAGCUUUGUGAUGCUGUGAGAUAAGAUAAUGGGUCUAUAGUCUCCAACCAUGCUGGCAUCAUCGUUCUUUGGUAGAAGAACAAUAUGAGCAGUGUCUAGCAAAUUGAAAUGCUGGUCAUGUCUGGCAUAGUAGUUGAUAGCAGCUAGCACAUCUCCUUUAAUAGUUUCCCAACACGUUUUGUAGAACAGACCAAUGAAACCGUCCGGGCCAGGAGCCUUUUCUGAGGCCAAUUCUUGCACAACUGCCCUAACCUCCUCCUCUGUAAAUUCUUCCUCAAGUUGCUGCAGCUCUCUGCUAGGUAGUUGGAUCACAUCCCAAUCCACUGAAACUUCUCUAUUCUGCUGCAUCCCCAAUCUGUUACUAAAGUGCUGAAAAACGCAGUUUUCUUUUUUAUCAUGCGUGUGCAUAAUUCCUUCUGCCGUCUGAAGAUGUUUGAUGAAUUUUUUUCGUCGUCUUCCAUUUGCUUGCAAAUAAAACAGCUUACUGUUUGCCUUACUUGCUCUGAUGCUGACCAAACGUGAUUGUUGCCUUGCCCGAAGCUUUUCCACUGCUGCCAUCCCCAGAAACCGUGCUUUCAGAUCUCUUCGCAACUGAAUUUCAACUGUGUUCAACUGCCUGUGCUCCUGCACAACAUCUAAGAUGACAAUUAACUGUCUUGCUGCGCAGAACAGAAGUUUGUUGUUUCCCAGAGACUUUUUUGCCCAUUGCCGUAAUGCCUUUGCAGUUCUGGAAAAUUUGAUAUGCAGCCUUAGAAAGGGGUUGAAGACAUUGACUUCCUGCCCCCAAGCUUGCUGUACGACAUCAUGAUAUCCUGGAACUUUCGACCAGAAGGAUUCAAACCGAAAUCCCCUAUAAUUGCACACAACUGAUGCCCCCACUAGCAGUAAGGGACUGUGAUCAGACACUGUUGACGAAAGAGCAUGUAGCAUAGAGGCUGGUAACAUGAGAUCCCACUCAAUUGUGCAAAAAGCACGGUCAAUUCUGGUUUGCGUAGUGUCAUUGGACCAAGUGUACUUCCUUCCUUUGAGUCCUAGUUCCUUGAGCUCCAAAAAAUUGACAGUGUUUCUGAAUUCUCCCAUCAGACGCCGGUUCAGGUUAUCAUUACUCUUAUCCUCUGCCUGCAGGAUUAGGUUAAAGUCUCCAAUUGCUAGCCAUUUGUCCCCCACAACUGUCUUCACAUCUCGUAAUUCCCUUAGGAAAUCAAUCUUGUCCCGAUCUCCUUGUGGUCCAUAGACCGCAGUUAGCCACCAUACUGACUCACACUGCGAUGAAGCAACACACACCGUUACCGAAUGUUGUCGGUGUUCAGAAUGCACGAUGGUAAAGUAAUCCUCGUCGACUGCAAUUACUGCUCCUCCACGAGUGCCCUGAGCGGGUAGAAAGGCAAACUGCUUGCUGAACCGAACCCCCAGCGUUUCACUGAUGUCCGCUGCCUGAAUCACCUCCAUCUUUGUCUCUUGCAGUGCUGCUAUUGUACAUAUGUAGUCUUGGGCUAGAUCUUUCACCACCUUCCUUCUUGCCUUAUUGAGUUAUUGUUCAAACAUCUCACGUUCCAGUUUAGCAACAAACACUUCUGCUCACUCAUUGGGAAACCAAAAGAACACACACCAACAGCACCUCUCCAGCAUGGAAGAAGGCGCCAAAAGGGAGACUCUCCCCAAAACACAAAAACAAACACCACACCAGGUACAGGCCAUGUCCACCACGAACAUGGAAACACAAACACACACACACACACACACACACACACACACACACACACACACACACACACACACACACACACACACACAACGCGGGCCUCACCCGCUUAAGCAUCAGCAUGAAUUCCGAUGGCACUGAGGCUGUCAGUGCCCUCCACAAUCUGUAGCCCGAACAUGUCCCUGUAGUUUGUUGCAGAGUCAUCCUGCAUGGGCGCGACGAACUGGGUUCUGAACUUUUCCUCCUUUGCUGGUUCCAUCACCUCUUUUUCCUCCAACAGUCCGCAUUUCUUCAUAAGCAGUGCCGUUGCUUGCUGCUCCAUGGACAAGGCAGACUUGGGUUUGUUUGCUAGACGAGUGCUCCUUCUAUCUUUCUGCACGCUCGACUCCACCUCUUUGGCUUUCGUCGCCGGUGUCUGAAGAAGACUCUUCGCAAUUCUCUUCGUGUACAGCAAAUGUUCCUCCCCCCAAUAGCAUCAGCAACUUCCUCCGGCUGCUCCUGGGGAGCUACCGGCCCAUCGCUCACUGCUACUUGAUCCGGCCCAUCAUUGUGCGCAUUGGGAGGGAAAAGUUCCCUCGGCCCAGUAAGAUCGCGCACCACCGGCCCACUGGCUACGGACAGGCUCACAGACCCAUCCAACCAUUCAGCCACCUCAGCUCCGACCACAACGUGCCCUGCGCUGUUGUGAUCCACUUGCUCCCCAAGGGCUGCCCCCUCUGGCCCUCUGUGGGCCCUUGCUUUUGAAAAACUUCUGUUGACCCUUGUUGAGGAAGCAUCGGUCUCCCAUCUGCCUCGUCUCUCAUCGGGUCUCCCAUCUGCCUCGUCUCUGCAAGCACUAUGCAUGUGCCAAAUAAUGCAUGUACAACUCUAUUCUGAUCUCUAUUACAAUGUCUAAUCUCCACCUCACGAACUUGAACGAUUUGAAAACUGUCGAAAAAUUAAUUGUACUAAGUCAUAUGGAAUAAAGCAUCGACCUCGUUCACAAGAAUUUUAGAGGAUUUCUAACAUGAGAUUUCUCCCAUCUCACAUAACAAUUACAUGUGUCUAUCUCGAAUACCCGUGUUUUGUAUGAUUUCCAUCCAAACGGGUUGCUCUAUUUUUUUUAUCCAUAAUUCUGUUCAUUGCAUCUGCAUACCUACCAAAAUCCUGCGAUUUUUUCUACUAGGUAAAUAUGUCCGUGCGUUGCUACAGAAUGAGACUGUAUAAAUAUCAUGGAGUGGAUCAUGUAGUUAAUUUGUAGAGCUCUACAUGACCAAGUCGUGGAUAUAUGGCUGGUCUGAGUCAUAUACGGAUCAAGGUCCAUAUUAAUGAUAGAAGUUGAAUCAAACCAAAAAUUAAGAUAAAAACAUUACAUACUUUAAAAAUAGAUAAAAAUUACUAUGUUUUUGCCACUCCCAUGCUCCAAGGAGUCUCUAAUAGGUUAAUAGCAACCAAGGCCAGUAUCUAACACAGCAUAAAAAAAAGUCAGCUCAGAGUUGUGCCUCGCAUGAUCUAAGGCUAGUUCAUAUAGGCUUUUCAAUCACAUUUGCAGCAGCUGUACGUCGUUGUAACUACCGUAUCACAUUUCUUAAAUGGACAACCAUACGCGAACGGGCAUAUGUACCCGUAGACUAUUCCAAUAUAUAUGUUUAUUAUUAGGUCGGUAAACUUGGUACGUGGUGGCACAUCUUCUCUGUUAGUUCGUUGCACGCAUGUCGGACGGACACACCGAAUAACACGGCACCACGUCGAGUGCGAGGAUGAGCGCAAGACUAUCGGCAUGCUGAAUUUCUCAUCCCUUCUGCCGAGAGCUACUCACUCGCCUGCGGCCUGCCUAUAAAUUCCUCGGCCAUGUCGUCUCCUCCGACAAAAUCGAGCCAAAAGCAGAGGAGAUCAAGCUGGGAUCCAUGGCCGCUGUGAUGAUCUCCUUCAAGGCUAUUGCACUGGUGGCAGCACUCCUCCUCCCCGUUCUGGGCGCUCACGCCGAGCCGAGCUACAAUAACGUCACCUCCGCCCGCAGGGAGCUGUACUACUCCGCCGGCUCCACCCCCAGCAGCACCUGGCGGCCUGCCAGGGCCACCUGGUACGGUCGCCCCAACGGCGCCGGCCCUGACAACAACGGUAUGUGCCGGAGCUAAUGCUGCCUUGUUGUGCGUCUGAGACUGUCCUGGCGGUCGCGAUGCUGAUCGAUCGAUACGAUCUGCAGGUGGCGGGUGUGGGUACAGCAACACCAACCAGUACCCGUUCAACUCCAUGACGUCGUGCGGCAACCAGCCCCUGUUCUUGGACGGCAAGGGCUGCGGCGCAUGCUACCAGGUACGAGCAUGAGCAUGAGCAUUCUAAGCAAUGUCACAAUGCAUGAUAAUAUGCAUCGAUCUUCUUCACGUACGUUCUGAACUUCUGAUUGCUCUGCCUAUAUGCUUCAGAUAAGGUGCACCAGCAAGAACAACCCUGCCUGCUCCGGCGAGCCCAAGACGGUGAUCAUCACCGACGUGAACUACGACACCAAGGUCGCCCCCUACCACUUCGACCUCAGCGGCACGGCGUUCGGAGCCAUGGCCAGGCCCGGCUACAACGACAAGCUCCGCAGCGCCGGCAUCCUGGACAUCCAGUUCCGGCGGGUGCCCUGCAGCUACAGGGGCCUGCCGGUGAGGUUCCACGUGAUGGGCGGCUGCAACCCCUUCUACUUCGCGGUCAUCGUGUACUACGCCGGCAGCGACGGCGCCGUGGUGCAGGUGGAGCUGAAGGAGGCCAACUCCAACACGUGGCGGCCGCUCUACGAGUCCUGGGGCGCCGUCUGGAGGAUCGACCCCGGCCACCCGCUCAAGGCGCCCCUCUCGCUGCGCGUCCGCAGCGACUCCGGCAAGGUCCUCGUCGCUAACAACGUCAUCCCGGUCAACUGGAGGGGCAACGCCGACUACCGCACCAUUGCCCAGUUCCGCUGAACGCUCGCCGGCGGCAAUAGAUCACUCACAAUCAUCUGCUCGGCCGGUUCAUUACUUUUUGUAUCGUCGUCGAUCAAUCAUGUGAUUGCGAAUUUGCAGUGGAUUUUUCUUUACUGUCUUUGCGAGGUUUCUUGUGAGAUUAUUGUUGCUCCUACUUGCGAUUUGGAGAAUUAUUCUAGGUAAGUCUUGAGAAAAUUCUUUGUGCACCAUUGAAACCUAUAACAAUCCCUUCAUUGACAUCCAAAAUUAGAGGAUCCCUUCAUUGCCAUUAAUUCUAAUUUUCAUUCCCUUAUCUGUCAUUACCAUUACUUUUAGCACAAAUCACACCGUCACACCGUUAAAAUGUGAAUAAUUUUUUUCGUUAUCCCGAUUUUACCCCUCCAAUCUUUCUCUUUCCCCGAAUCACUCCAUUCCAAACCUAGCUCGAGCUGCUCGCGGACGUCGGAACUGGAGGCGCGCGCGAAUCCGGCGAGCAGGCGAGCGCGGCCCCGGUCGAGCAGGCACGCGCGGCCCCGGACGAGCAGCAGGCGUGCGCGGCCCGAGGCGGCGGCCAAGCAGGCGCGCGGCCGUGGACCCAUGCGCGCGGGCCCCGAGCGGUGCCUGAGUGGGCGAGCAGGCGCACGCGUGGCUCGGAAGAGCACCCGCCGUGCCCGCCCCUACCUAUUUUGCAGCGCCCCCGUGGCAGGCACCCCUCCCCUGUCAGCGCUAUUGCAUGUCCGGCUCCAGCUCGGUCCGUUCUUGCCUGCUCCCUAUGCGUGCAGCAGGAGAUGAGGGAUUAGAAAAAUGCUCCAAGGUUAGUAUUGUCUUUUGACCUUCCACUUAACAGCAGCUUGACUGCUCUCUAACGGUAACGGCAGAUAAGGGAAUGGAAAUUAGAAUUGAUGGCAAUAAAAAGAAUCCCUAAUUUUAGAUGGCAACAAAGGGUUUGUUAUAGGUUUCAAUGGCACAUUUCUAAUUUUCUCAUAAGUCUUUGCCUUACCAAUGUUUGACUUCUUAAUCAGUUGUUUUAGAUUAUUUUAGUAGAUGCAAAUAUGAAGCUGUAACUUGCACUUCACUGUCGCUUUUCCGAGCACUGCUGCGUGCUUAAACUGCAGUAUAUAUAGCUCCCUCAUGUUGCUCAACGUGGAAAAGCACAAAGGUUGACUAUGCCAAGUUCUCUGUUUUUCAAAUCAAUUUACAUUCAACGACAAAAUUGUAAAUUAAAGUAGAAUGAUUCAGUACAUAUUGGUCGAACUAAACUGUAAGUCUGUAAUGGUAAAGACUAAUCAAAUAUAAAAUGUAUGACCUGCCUUUAAACUAGUUCACCCGUGUUUUGUUUAGAUUCACGAGCUCCUAAAAUGCAAAUUGAGCCCAUAAAUUAUUUAGGUCAAUCAUUAGAGGACAAAAGGCCACGACCUAGUCCAGCUUCCUACUAGUUGAACCACGACAUCAGAUCAUAGGUGGGCUUGGCUUGUUGUGGGCUCAACACAUAUAUGCAAAUCCACCAACUUUUCCUUACUGGGUCCAAACUACAAAUUGCCGACCGCAAUCGGGUGCCAAAAUUCCCGCACAAACCCAUGUAGGAUCCAACGUGGCAGUCAUCCACCUAUGCGGCUGACUCGGGUGGGGUCCAUGUGGACAAUGACUCACUCAAUUACUAUAAAUUUUUUUUCCUAUGUAAGACUUUGGAAUAAGGGAUUGAAUUCUACCAAUUCAUUUGAAAUUCCUAUGAAAUACGCUCUUCCAUGGAUAAUUUGGAGAAAAAUAACCAUGAGGUCCAACCUCAUACUUUUUUCUUUUGUAUCUUAGGAUUCAUGUGUUAUUCCUGUGUAGCAUCCAAAUAUAUAUUUUGCAACUUUCCUAUGUUCUAGAUUCUUGUAGCAUUUCUGACGGGGUCAUGGGUAACAAGUACCCUAAAGAGCAGCCCUCAGGGGCCUAAGCGGAGAUUAGUAAGGUGCCGUCGGGUGGCCCAACCCGGUGGAGUGCUGAAUGCAACCGGUACAGGCCCAACAAUGAAAAAAAGACCCCCGGCCAAGAAGUAGCCGGGCGAAGGCCACGUGGCGCCUUCCUGACCCCUCGCCCCGCGGCGUGGCCGGGAGGGAUGAGCCGGCCUCGACAGGGAGCCUCCGGGGCAGGGACACCUGGGGAAGGCGCGGCGGGGACUUAACUCCCUAAGAUAUGAUGGGACAUGUGCGUAUCCCUCCCACAACAGCCGGGUCAGGGGCGCCGCCCACGAUCCGGAAGACCGAGGAGCGCCCCCGGUCAGCCAGACCAUCAUGAUGUCGUGAUCGGCGCUUACUCUAACCACGCACUGUUUUUCUAGAUAUGAACGAGGGAAAUGUAGCAGUGAAAGUUUUUAAUGAGCACAACUAGUUCUUAUUAUACACAUAGUGUAGCCUAGUCGCACAUUCCUAUUAAUAAAGAAUGAUCGUGAAGAACAUUGCAUGUAUUUUUUUUACAGAAAUGUGCUUUUACCUUUAAAUUUCAUAGGUAAUGAAAUGUUUUGUUUCAUUUUGGGGUGACAACAUGAAAGGGAGGAGGCCCAUGCCCCCUAUGGUAGACGCAGUCCAUAGGUGUGCACAAAUUUUACCAUAUAAAUUAAAUAUUAGUCUCCUCAAUAAUUUACACCUUUUAGAUGUUUAGUGGCUUCAGUUUCAUUAGCAUAACCUUUUAUUUCGGCGAUCUACCUCAAAAGUUUUCGGUAGAUUUUUUUGUGAUGUGAUGUGAUGUGACCUAAUCAUUAAGACCUUACCAAUAUAAUUCCUAAUAUAAUUAAAAAAUAUAAGUGUUGAAGAAUAGGAAAAUACUAAUCAUGCAUGAAACACUACAACCAAUGUAUUGUGUCAAAAUCAGCCGAAUUGCUAUAACACUAGUACAGAACACGGUAUUAGUUCCGGUUGGGAAUUGAACUCAAGACCUGCUGCCUCGUGUAUAGUUUCCUUAACACCCUAUCUACACAGUACAUGUGACUCUAGAUGGGAUGCUUUCAUUUUAAAUUGACCCGUGAAGAACCCUUUAGUCUCAUUUGGUAACCCCAACUGGGACUAAAGAGUCCUUUAGUUUCGGUUGGAGCCUCCAACCGGAACUAAAAGGUGACUCUUUAGUCCUGGUCGGUGUUACCAACCGGUACUAACUUUUAAUCCCGGUUGGUGUCACCAUCCGAGACUAAAGAGGGACUAUCAAGGAUAGAUCCCCAGUUACCCGCAAGGAAGCUAUCCGCAAUGAAAACGAAGUCGGACUCCUACUGGGAUUCCUCUGUGAUCCUAAUAGGACCCUACCCUGUAACUCUACUAGGACUCCUACCUUAUAACCGACUAGUAACCCACCUCUGGGAUAUAAGGAGGGCAGGGAUACCUAGAUCGGUAGAGCAGCCAAUAUGCAAUUCAAUACCCAAGCACAGGGUGCAAUAUACAAUACCCCUAAACAGGAUGUAGGACAUUGCGCUACUCUGGCGGACUGAAUGUGUGUCUUGUAUGCUCACUUUUACCUUCAAGUUUCAGAUUCGGCGAUCCCUCACCAAACAAUCUCCUACAUUAGGGAAUCUCUAGGUAGGCUGGUGGUAAAAAUACCAGCAGUUGACGCUCACCGUGGGGCAGAUCGUAGAGAUGAUCGCACAAGCCUGAGGGACCUCUUCAUCAAGAUUAUCCACUCCACGCAGGAUCAAUUCAUCGAGUUUGAGAUCGAAUCUUUGAGCGAACAACUACAUCAACCUCGACUACUCAGCUCGAAUCCAGCUCGCGCCGCACAAUUGACACACCAGCGACUGCUUCAACUACUCAUCUCGACUAGAAACUAGUCGAGGAUGGGCCUCACACCGUCGACAACAAGUCGGGGACAAAUUCUGACUAGUUGGCUUCAUCAACAACCGCCAUGGCUUCAUCGACAAUCAUCCACGAAUCAAGCUAAGUCACUUAUACCUUUUCCGACUUGUUCUUCACAGGACCGGCUACUAUUUUGGGUACGUCUCUCGACUGGAAUUACCCUCGGGGGCUACACCAUGAUGGAGUACUUCUAAGGUUUGUUGACUAACAACCCACACGCUUGGUAAAUUGAGUUCAUAGGGUGCCGCCCACAUGCUUGGUACACCAAGUUUUGUCAGCUCGCAGCGGUUACACCCUACGGACAUGCGCGCCGCAACACGCGCUCUCGCUGACUACUUUAUGCCAACGAGCAUUCUCUUUGUCGCAAUGCCGAUUUCUUAUUUUUGCAUUCGUUGUCUUCCCUUAACAGUCGCUAAUCUACUCGGGUAGCACAUGCCUUAAUCGUGAAAUCUCGGCUCUUCUAUCACACCUAACGCCUCUAUGCGUACACGGGAUAAAGAUCUUAUACACGCUAUGAGCAACAGCUAAAACGAGACCAGGUGCUUAAACAUAACAGGUGGACUACUCGGGAGAUUUACAUGGCCUAAACAAGAGCAUGGCACAACAAAUUUAUUUUUAUACUGAAUAAAUUUCUGUAUAUUUGCAUUAUGCUACAUAAUGUAUGCAUUGUCUUUUUUCAGAUUGAGCUACGGCAACAACUCUAAAGUUCACUCGGCACAUCUACGAUGGCUUCACUAGCUACCAGGCUCGGGGGCUGGGCACCAAUAACUAGUCGUGGUUUCUACGGCUCGCCUAGCUCGUAAGCUUGGGGGCUGGACGCUGCAAAACCACUCGGAUGAUGACUCAUGUGAAGACUGAAGGCGAAAAAGGUAACCCUAGGUACUGCAUGGUUAAAUAACCAGUGGCGGCCUAAGGGUCCUUUGGGAUAAGAUCUAAUUUAAGUGGUAUUUUAACCAUCAAUUCAUAUUCUACAAAAUUCUACAACGUGCAUGCCACGUUCUUUUGGAUCUUUUUUCCAAAUUUGGGAUAUGGAUUCAAGGAUCGGGGGCUACAGGAUACGUGUCAUCAGCGACUUGUUUUUCAAAUCUAUUUGGAAGACAAAUGAAAGAAGAUUCAAGACUAAUUGAACACUCAACCUGAUUCCUCGAUUCAACCUAAAGCUCGGGGGCUACUUCAUCGCACCCCAUAGAGAAGAUAAUUUUUGAAGACUUAAAAUAUACUUGGGCAAGAGCACCUCGCAACCUCAAAAUAGACAGGAAAGUACACGAGAAGAUACAUUCUAGACGAAGUUCAGAAGAACUCGAAGAUAACUUUAGAAGUACUUGGAAGCCUGCACUACUCGGCUACGAAGAGCUCGGGGCCUUGUCAAGGAUAAAUCCCCAGGUACUCGCAAGAAAGCUACCCGCAGGGAUCAUGCUACAACUACUUUGACUUUGCGAGGACGCUCGGUGACCCACCAAUGACUACUUCAGCUACUCGUCUCGACUAUAAAACUCUGGAGGGAUACCUCCAAGGUGGUAGAAUGUAGGUGGGGUAUCGCUGAGAUCAGGAGCUCCAAGCCCACCGAGGGAUACCACCGAGCUGUCGGUGUUUAACCUCCAAGCCCACCGAGGGAUAACCCUGGUAGAUUGUAGGUGGGGUAUCACUGAGAUCAAGAACUCCAAGGUGCAAGGAACAUGAAACUUUAGACAGGUUCUGGCUGCAGUAUGCGUAAUACCCUACGUCCUGUUUGAUGGUUUGUAUUGCCUUAGAUGUGGAUUGUUGGUUGAUGCUUUGGAGAGGGUCCCUGCCCGCCUUUAUAUAGUCUGGGGGACAGGGUUACAUGGAAAUUUUAGCCCAAUACUAUCUUAAGAGUCCUAUCCGAGUACUAUUCGAGUAGUUUCCUUCUGUUUCGACUAGUUCUACUCUUGUACGAGUAGAUACAAUUGGUGUAGGGUGCGGGCAAUGUCACAUCCCUUAUCCUAGAAUAUGUACGCCAUGUACACCGUCCCGUGGCCCCGAGUAGGACAAGCCCCCGAGCAAUUCAUAGUCAAGUACUGUAGGCUUCCGAGUAUUUCUAAAGGCAUCUUCGAGUUCUCCCGAACUCCGUCUUGAAGGUGUUUUUCGAGUAGUUCCUUGACUGCAUCGAGUCUGUGAGGUGCUCAUGCCCCGAGUCAUUCCUGAGCCUUAGGUUGAAUCAAAAGAUUAGGCUGAGGGUCAAAGUAGUCUUGAAUCUUCUACUCUUAUCUUUCAAAAAUUUAAAAAAUAAGCCGUCGAUGACACAUGCCCUAGAUAUGAAAAAAAGGACAAAGAGUCAUGCAGCCCCGGAACGUUGAAUCCAAAUCCCAAGAUAUGGAAAAAAGGACAAAGAGUCGUGGCAUGCAUUGUGUAAAAAAUUAAGAAUUUGAUUUGAUGGUUAAAAUAGGCAAAUUGGUUCAGAAAUUGGAAAAACCUCUUUUUUUGGAAUGAGAUCCCUAAAAAAUGGUUAAACAAAUAACUUCCCCAAAGUAACCCUAAAUUACCGCUCAAAACAAAUCUUAUCCUGAGAAAAUCUCUUCAGCUUCCGCAUAGUGAUACGCCGAGUUGUUUCCUGCGCCCAGCCCCGAGUAUGGGAGCCAGACGAGCUGUCAAAAAUAUGCUGAGUGCCCUGUUGCGCCCAGCCCCGAGCACAUGGGCUAGACGAGCUGCCAAAGGUACGUCGAGUGCCUUGUCGUGCCCAACCCCCGACCAUGGGAUCUAGAUGAGCCACUGAAGGUACGCCGAGUAGUGUAGGUACCGGCUGAGUCAGAGGAGAUAUGCCACAUGGUCGGUGGCGCUAGCCCCUGAGCCUAGGGGUCGGCCGAGUCGCCGCUAGCACGCCGAGUGGUCUGUGCCGAUGAAGUGAUGUCCAAGUAAGGCAGCUCUCGGGAGCAUACCUCACCGAGCAGCAUGAUCCACGUCCGAUCCCCUACAAGGUAAACAUAAAAAUAUAUUGUAACUUAUAUACAAGAUAUUUAGUCAGGAGCGUAUCCCGGCAUUGUAAAAUGCAUGUAAAAUUUUUCGCGUCUUGCUCUUCCUAGAUCACAUAAUUUCUCCGAGUAGGUAGCCUACAUAGCCGUAGCCCAUAGCGCAGGGAGCAUGGCCGCAUGCACGCGUAGGAACAUAGGCGUAAAGAAGAGUUGAGGUCUCACGGAUUAAAGCGUGUGCUACCCGGGUAUUUUAGUGACCAUUAAGAGAAACCUAGAGCAGUCGGCGCUGCGCGAAAAAAGAGAACACUCGUGGAGCGCAUAAUAUACACUCGUUAGGUGUAGUCCCGACUACAAGGCCGAAGUUGCAUGAGUAAUCGGGAACGCAAUUAUGGUGUGGCCGUGGAGGCGUAUGGUUAAUAUCUAGAGAUAUAAAAAAUAUUAAAGCAUGACUUAGCUUGAUUCGUGGGCGAUUUGUCGAUGAAGAUGUAGCGCUCGUUGAUGGAGCCGCGAUGGUUUGUUGAUGAAGCCUGACUAGUCAGAGUCGAUUCUGACUAGUUAUUGACAGUGUGAGGCCCGCUCCCGACUAGUUUUGAAGUCGAGACGAGUAGUCGAAGAAGUCGUCGGUGGGUCAGUGAGCGUCUUCGCGAAGUCGAAGUAGUUGUAGCAUGAUCCUUGCUUGUAGCUUCCAUGUAGUAGUCGGAGCAAUCGUCUCCGAUCUUGAGCAGGCGAUUCAAGUCCUCUUCCAAUGCGGAGAGGGUCUCAAAUCCCAUGGCCUUCUGGUAAACAGUGGCCGUGUUGCAUAGCUCGAACGGUAAUCAGGUACGUAGAUCCUUAGACCGAAUCAGAUCCGAUCUGAGGAGACCUGGUGCGGCACAAGUUGAAAUCGCAUUGAAAACAGACUCCUUCUCGAUCUCCUUGGCGAGAUCAGGGAGCAGCGUCUCGUCGAGGUUAUCAAUGAACUCGUCAAGACUGCUAUGUUGGCUUGCCACAGAUGCCUCCGGCUUUAGUCAUCGAUGAGGCGCCGGCGAAAGCUCCACGAGCCGAAGAUGAAAGUUUUGCCCUCGUCGAGCAUCGCUGGUGAAGUUGAAAGAUGGCAUCGAGUUCAUCGGUGGAUACUCGAUGAACACCCCUACCUAGCACACCAGCUAUCGAUGUUUAACCUCCAAGCCCACCGAGGGAUAACCGAGGUGGUAGACUGUAAGUGGGGUGUCGCCGAGACCAGAAACUCGAAGGUGCAAGGAACACGAAAGUUUAGACAGGUUUGGGCUGCAGUAUGCGUAAUACUCUACAUCCUGUGUGGUGAUUUGUAUUGCCUUAGAUGUGGAUUGUUGGUUGAUGCUUUGGAGGAGUUACUACCCGCCCUUAUAUAGUCUGGGGGGACAGGGUUACAUGAAAAUCCUAACCCGAUACUAGCUUAAGAGUCCUACCCGAGUACUACUCGGGUAGUUUUCUUCUGCUCCGACUAGUCUUUCUCUGGUACGAGUAGUUACAAUUGGUGUAGGGUGUGGGCCAUGUCCCAUCCCUUAUUCUAGAAUAUGUACGCCAUGUUUGCAGCCCCAUGGUUCCGGGUCUGACAGGGACUUUUAGUCCCCGUUGGUGGCUCCAACCGGGACUAAAGGUCCCCCGCCCCUAGCCGUUGGAUCCGGGACUAAUGCUUUCAUCAAUUCCAGGACCAACCCCAGCCGGGGCUAAAGAGGUGGAUGAAAGGUCUAAGGUGGUCAACCAACGCAUCUUUAUCAAGCCUUUCUACUCUCCCAAUCCUAGCUUUUUUUUAUGGUUCAAUCAACAAUUAUUUAAGUGAUGCAACAUUUUUUCACUAUGAUAGGUUCAUUCCAACAAAUUUCUUUUCUUCACUGUUUAUCUUACCAACUCACAACAUUUUCUUACUCAACAUUUCUGUUGUCUAGUCUCAACUGUUCAUGGUUCAGCACAACCUCUUCUUUUUUUAUAAAAAGUUAAUUCCAAGUAUUUUCCAUUUUCAACAAAUUUUCAGACUCAAUAUUUUUGUUCUGCUUUAUCUUCAACAUUUUACUAGCAACAUUAUUUGAGUGAUGCAACAUAUAUUUUUCACUAUAGAUUAUAGAAGGUUCAUUCCAACUAUUUUCCUUUCUUCAACAUUUUUUCUUGCCAUCUCGCAAUAUUUCUUUACUUAAAAUUUAUAUUGUUCGGUCCCAACUUUUUGGUUCAGCCAAACUUUUUCUUUCUAAUAAAUAGUUCAUUCCAAGUAUUUUCCAUUUUCAACAAUUUGGCUUAUUGAACUUGCUAACUUUAUAUUCUUUUAUUCUACAUACUAAAGUAUUCGUUUAUUAAAUAUUUUAUUAUUUAUUUGCCAUUCAACCAACAAUCUUUUUAGCCAUGCCACACUUCUUCAACAAUUUUCUUACCACGCUGACCUAACAUUCUUCUCUGUACAUUAUAUGUUUCUUCGAGAUAUUCUUACUCAACAGUUUUUACUUGUCCAGUCCCAUCCUUUUCUUUUAUCAUUCGGAUAACAGUUCUUUUACUGAUGCAACAUUUUCUCCCAUACAAAAUGUUGAUUCGGUAUGUUCCCCCUUUUUCCUACAUUAUGUUGUCCAUCAUUAUUUUUGAAAUUCUAGUUCAGCAUUUUAAGCUAAGUUUUCAUUUGUAAAUAUACUAAGUUUAGUUAACCAAUAAAAUACUAGGGAAAUUCAAGUCAGAUAUGGAAAUAUAUAACAACUUAUAUAUUGAUCCAUGCUUUACAUAGAUGGCAAGUUAUUACACAUUUAUUCAUUAUUUUGCUAUUUUCAGGAAUAUGGAAGGUCCUUGACCAUCCGAAAAGAAAAUAAUGGGCUCAUUCCAAAAAAUUGGAUGACUUUUUAAUGAAUAAAAUUAACCUCUUGAUCUGUCAUAACUGUCCAUUUGCAUCUUCGUACUAUUACCAGCACAACUCUAAUAAUGGAUGGCAUGUAGUGACAAAAUUGAUAUGGGGAGUAUAUGAUGUGAUGAGAAGAAUUUGUUGAUGUAAUAUUGCAACAUGUUCAUUUAGCACUUUUUUGCAUCAACAAAUAAAUAAGACUUGCUUUUACAAUGGAAAAUAUGGCAUUUUGGCUACUGGCUUUGAGCACCCCAGCAUAAAUUGCUAAUUCUCGAUUGCAAACAAUUGAUGAGCCCACCAGGCAACAUAGAAAAAGGAAUCUGGCUGUCAAAGAAGAAUAAGUUAAAGAGUUCGGCAGCCUGCAGACUCAUUCACGAGAAGCCUAAAAGAAACAUAAAGGGCCCAACAAAAGAAGCCUGAGUGGGAAGGAAAGAAACGAGCCCACGAAAAAAAAGAAGCCUGCGACGGAUGAAUUUAAAAAGCCCGCACCAACUCGCAUUCGUCCCAAAAUAAAUACAACUCUCGCUUUCCGAGAAGUCAAACAACUCUUGUCUUUUUCGGAUGGAGGAAGUAGUAGUUUUGAUGCAAUGGAAGAGGUCGACCACUAGACAAUAGGAAGCCUCAAAUCAGCUAUGCCAAGGUUUAAAUGGAAAGAUACAAUGAAAUUUAUCGAUUUUAAUAAUUAAAUUUAGGGAGUUGCUGCCUAUCAUCCUAAUGAUUUCAUAUCUAGUUAUUAAUCACUUUUUUAUCCAAUAGAAUCUAGACACAUCAUCAAUAAAACAAAUAUGGAAAAGUGAUUGAUAACCACUAAUAUCACUCAAAAACACAAGGUAGGACACCAAUGGAAAACCAAGUGAUAAAAAAAGGAAAUUACUAAGAUUUCCUCAAACACGAGAAACAGAAAAUAGAGAACCACAUCUCCCAUGUUAUCCUGCCUGCACUCCGAACAACCCUUCUCCACACUCCACGAGCGAGUACACAACUAGGCGCUUGGCAGUGAAGAAGCUAUGAAAGGCAAUCGUUGGGAAACACCCUGCCAAAGGCAAAGUAAAGAUUGAACAAAAAUGCAAGGCUGGCAGAAUUAGAAGAAUAUCGAGCAGAAAAAAAGGUACUCACCUAUGAAAAACUUGAUCUCUUUGUAAUGAAUUUUCUUAAGAAACAUAUCUGAGCAAAAGGAGAUAUCCAGAUUUUCCACUUCAUCCAGCGUACAUCUCUGUGUUUUUGAUAUGCAAGCACUAAGAACUCUGAAAAUGAAAACUAACUAAAAAUGAAUUGGCAUACAGGGCUAGAACUAUCAUAUAGUAGUAGUGGCUUGUUUCUUGAAACAAAAAUUUCAAAAUAGAAAAUUAGAAUUGAAAUAUACAUUGGUUAACUGAACCAAUUUUGUGUUGAUCUAUUAACGGUCUGGUUCUUGAGUUGGCAGUCCAUGAUUUGUUAGUGACGAAACACACAUGAGAAAAAAUAAAAAGGAUGAGAAUAGUACGCUCACGUAUAUAUUGAUGGAAAAAAAUAAAAGUUUCAGUUUUAAAUUAAUCCGAAGAUAAAUCAUGACCAUGACGAAAAUUGCGUAAAGAAAACGAACAUAUGUAAACUUGCUGAUCAAGUGAUUUAAGAUAAAACAUUGCAGCAGUAAGAUCAACCCUAACCAGAUCAUACUAGGUAUGAAAGACAUAGUUAGGGACAGAAAACCGUACGUCUCUAGACGCACCGGAAUAACCGGGUAAAGAAGACGACGGCGACGAUCAGCACCUCCGCGCGCUUGACGACGCCGAGUCGCGCCCCACUAACGAGGAGGAAGACAAGCCGUGGCGACAAGGAUGUAGAGGAUGGUGAUGUGGAAGCGUUCGAGCAGUCACGCAGAGCGCUUCCCAAAAAUCUUAUUCGCCCUCUCCCGGUGCAGGAUCGCUGAGGACGAGGUUCCGGAGACCUGCUCUCCCGAUCGCCGGUGCACGCCGACGAACGGGAUGAAGUAGCGUACGCGGCGGCGCAGCAGGCAGGUCGAGGCGUGUUGUGCGUCUUCUGUUGUGUUCUGUUUCUAGCCGGCACCCGUGCGUAUUUAUAGAAAGGAACCGCUAGGGUUUUUAGCAUCCCAAAAACCAAGUCGAUUACGAGUCCCAAAAAUUCCGCGUGUGUAAUCCGUAAUAGAUUCAAAGUGGCAAAACAAAUCUGCAAAAGGAAGCCGCGUUCCCGCAACAAUUGGACCGGAUUUUGGUGGACCAUUCACGCGCACGUUGCGUGCGCGCGCCCUUCGCCUGGCGAGGCGAGGCGAGCGAGCGCGCGCGUGUGUUCUUCCUUCUUCCUCUCACCCACACUUGUAAGAGCAUGGAGUGCAUCCAACUAUUUAAGUUGGAUUUUCUCCACCUCCACUAGCAAGGUGGGACUAACUUGUUGCCAUGCACCUUUACACUAAUGGGCCUUUGAGAUUUUAUUGGAAUUAUUUGAAUUUAUAUGGUGAGCCUUUAGGGCCCAAAUAUUCCAAUAAUCCCCCACCAGAUCUCAAAGUCUCAUCAUGACUUUGCCUCAACCCACUGUUGUUUGAUAUACCAUUAUUUCAAUGGAGACUGUUAAGUUGAACUUCCAUCUAGAACAGCAAGUUACACUCAUUCACAACUUGAACAAUGGACUAAGCCUUGAAUUGCAAGUUUUGUACGUGUGAGUUUCACUUACAGUCAAACUGAUACUUGACCUCCAGUAGGCGACUUCGCGGUUGGAGCAUAUAGGUCAUACUCUCUUAUCUCUUCAUGAGCUUAAUAGAGAUCAUCUGAAUCUCACAGACUGCGACCGUCCAACAGUCGGGCUCGUAUAGGUGUAUUCUUUCAAGAACAUUCUGCAAGAUAACGUCUUUGCUAAUUAAAGCUAACAGAAUACAUUAAGGCCAAUGCCAACCUGCCAUGUAGUAAUCGAGAGUAUUGCAUCAUUCUCGAGUGAGUUAAAAGGUUACUCUCAUGCUAACCUCUAGCUUGUUCUUCCCUAAUCCUAAUUCACAGGAUCUCCGAUCAUAUAGGUUGGGUUACCACUAGGGAAUAGCUUAUACGGGUCUCAAACCCAUCUCCUUAGAUGCAUUGACUAUCACAUUGCGUGACAGCCCCUUGGUGAACGGAUCAGCCAGAUUUUUCUCAGUGUGGACAUAACCCACAGUAAUAACUCCGGAGUUUCUCAUUUUUCUGACUGAUUUUAACCAUCUCUUGAUAUGUCUUGAAGACUUUAUAUUAUCUUUUGAACUGUCUACCUUGACAAUCACCGUUUGAUUGUCACAGUCCAUCAAGAGCUCACGAAGCCAAUCGGCUUCCACUGUAGCUGUAUCUAGUGCUGUUAGUUCUGCCUCCAUAGUAGACCUCGUCAGGAUAUCUGUUUGCAUGAUCUCUAUGAAAUAGCAGCACCGCCAAGAGUGAAAAUGAAUCCACUAGUGGCAUACAACUCAUCUAGAUCCGAUAUCCAAUUAGCAUCACUGUAUCCUUCUAGUACUGCAGGAAAGCCGGAAUAAUGAAUCCCGUAUUCUAUAGUACCCACCAAGUAGCGCAUUAUGCGCUCAAGCGCACGCCAAUGAUCAUCUCCCAGAUUACUAGUAAACCGGCUCAACUUGUUUACAGCAAAAGAGAUGUCAGGCCUUAUUGCACUCGCAAGAUACAUGAGUGAGCCAAUCAUCUAUGAAUGUCUCAAUUGGUCUCUGCCAAUUCUUCUGUUCUUUCAAAGGAUCAAGCUCGGAUCAUAAGGAGUUGGAGUAGAUUUUCUAUCCUUAUAGCCAAAGCGAUUCAACAUUUUCUCCAUAUAAUGGGAUUGCCAAAGAGUAAUCCUAUUCUCUUCCUUGGUCAGCUUGAUGUUAAGAAUAACAUCAGCCUCACCAAGAUCUUUCAUCUCAAAGUUUUAACACAAGAAUGUCUUGACCUCAUUGAUUACAUCAAGACUAGUGCCAAAGAUCAGUAUGUCAUCGACAUACAAACACAAUAUAACUCCUUGGCCCUCACCAUAGCGGUAAUACACACAUCGAUCAGCCUUAUUGACACUAAAGCAUGCUGAUAUGAGUGUCAAGUUGAAUUUCUCAUGCCAUUGCUUAGGUGCUUGCUUCAGGCCAUACAAAGAUUUAUACAACUUGCACACCUUGUCCUCAUGACCCUCUACUACAAACCCAUCAGGCUAUGUCAUGUAGAUUUCAUCUUCCAGCUCUCCGUUGAGGAAAGAUGUCUUAGCAUCCAUCAGGCAGCCAGGGAGAGUAGAACACGAAUAGUGGUCAAUCUCGCAACAGGUGAGUAAGUAUCAAGGAAAUCUUCGCCUUCUUUCUAGGUGUAACCCUUAGCCACAAGAUGAGCCUUGCACUUAUCAAUAGUACCAUCAGGCUUAAGCUUCUUCUUGAACACCCACUUGCAACUCACAAGUUUGCAACCAUAUGGUCUUUCGACCAGCUCUCAAGUUCCAUUGGAGAGAAUGAAGUCCAUCUCGCUACGGACAGCUUCUUUCCAAUCAUCCGCAUCAGGAGAUGAGAAUGCCUCAGUGAUUAUUUUGGGAGAAUCAUCUAUGAGAUAAACAGUGAAAUCAUCAAGAAAAGACUUUGCAGUCUUUUGCCUUUUGCUCCUCCUAGGAGCAUCACUGUGAAUCUCCUCAUGAUUUGAUUCAAGUGUGUAUUCAUCAUGCUCAGAAAAUUUAACAGAUUCAGGAGUUGUAUUCAUUGUUUCAUUCAGAGGUAAUAAAGAUAUAACAUGCAAGUCUUUCAUAGGAAAAAUAUUCUUAAAAAAAGUAGCAUCACGAGACUCGAAUAGUGAAUUUACAUGCAUAUCAGGCACCUCAGAUUUAACUACUAGAAAUCUAUAAGCAAUGUUAAGAUGUGCAUAACCCAAAAAGAUACAAUCCACAGUUUUAGAUCCCAACUUGUGCUUCUUGUUGAUUGGCAUAUUCACCUUGGCCAAAUAACCCCAUGUGCGCAAGUAAGAGAGUGAAGGUCUUCUCCCAAUCCACUCCUCGUAAGGAGUCUUUUCCUUAUUCUUUAUGGGAACUUUAUUCAGGAUAUGACAUGCAGCCAAUACUGUCUCCCCACACCAUGCCUUAGAUAAUCCAGCGGUGUUUAAUAUGGCGUUAACCAAGUCAGACAAUGUGCGAUUCUUCCUUUCAGCAAUCCUGUUUGAUUGGUGUGAAUAGGGAGGCGUCCUUUCAUGAAUAAUGCCGUGUUCCGCACAGAAUAAGUCAAAAUCGUUAGAGAAAUAUUCACCUACUCGAUCGGACCUAAGUCGUCUGAUCUUUUUCUCAAGUUGGGUUUCUACUUCAGCCUUAUAGAUUUUAAAGCAGUUAAGAGUCUCAUCUUUCGUUUUCAACAAGUACAUAUAGUAAAAUCUAGUUGCAUCGUCAAUCAAGGUCAUGAAAUAUCUUUUUCCACUUUCUGUUAACACGCCAUUUAUCUCAUAGAUAUCUGAAUGGACGAGUUCUAGAGGUGCCAAAUGUCUCUCCUCUGCCACCUUGUGAGGUUUUCGAGGUUGCUUAGAUUGCACACAACUAUAACACUUAGAACCUUUGAGUAUAGAAAAAUUUGGAAUUAAACUCAUGGUGGAAAGUCGAAACAUAGAGCCAAAAUUCAGAUGACAUAAACGCGAGUGUCAAACAGAUGCAUCGCUCUCAUUUAUACCAUCAGAAAUUAAGUUCGCGGACUUAUUACAAUAAUCUGUAACUGAAAAAUGGAACAAGCCUCCGCACUCAUAGACUUUACCGAUAAAUUGUCCACACUUAGACACGGCAAAUUUAUUGAACUCAAUCACUACUUUAAACCAUCCCUACACAAAAGGGAGCCACUAACUAGAUUCUUGCCGAUAGUAGGGACAUGCUGCACGUUUUUCAGCUGCACGAUCUUUCCCAAGUAAGCUUCAGAUCGACCGUGCCAACACCACGAACAGUAGCAUGCAACCCAUUGCACAUAAUCAUGGUAGAAUCCCGAGCAGUCUGGUAAGAAGAAAAUAAGGUAGCAUCAGAACGCACAUGAACAUUUGCACCAGUAUCAAGCCACCAACUAAUACAUUGAAAUACUGAAAAAAUGAAGGUAAAGAAUUAUACCCACUGAUUUUUACUCCAGCCAUGGUGACCGUGUUCGCAGUCUUCUGCUCAGGUGAAGGCUUUCUUUCUUUGCGGUGUGGACCCUUCUUUGCCCAAUGAUCGGUAGAUCCACACACAAAACAGCCUUUACCUUCCUUGAAUUUCUUUUUCUUGAAAGUAGUGGUAGGCUGCCACUUGGUCUUCUUUCCCUUGUCCCUGCCUUUGCCGUGAGACUUUUGCACCAUGUUGGCACUAGUCUGGCCUUCAGCAGCCUUAGAUCGCCCAUCCUUGGCCCAAGCUUUUACCUCAACAUCAAGGGAUGCUAUUAGAUCAGACACUGAUAUCUCCAUCCUUUUAUGUUUGAGAGUAGUGGCGAAAUCCCUCCAUGAAGGAGGCAAUUUGGCAAUGAUGCCACCAGCGACAAACUUGUCGGGUAGGUUGAUCUUGAGGUGCUUAAGCUCCUUGGCCAUGCACUGUAUCUCAUGAGCCUGCUCGACUACAGAUUUUCUAUCGGUCAUCUUGUAGUCAUGGUACUGCUCCAUGAUGUACAACUCAGCGCCAGCAUCUGUGCCGUCAUAGUCAGCCUCCAGGGCGUCCCAUAACUUUUUAGCAUCUGUGUGAUGGAGGUACACAUCCUGUAGAUGAUCUACGAGUGUACCGAUCACAGCGCCCACAAAAAGUGUGUUGGCCUCAGUAAAAGCCUUCUCCUGCUCAGGAGUAAGAGGCCCCUCAGGUUUGCCCUUGGACACCCACAGCACGUUCAUGGCAGAGAGCCACAGAAUCACUCUCGUUUGCCAUCUCUUAAAGUGCUCGCCAGAGAACUUCUCGGGGCUCAGAGCAUCAACAAAUUCAGCCAUGAAACUGAAAUUCCUAUAAUAAGAUUUUUGGAUUGAUGGAAAAAAAUAAGAGUUUCAGUUUUAAAUUAAUCCGAAGAUAAAUCAUGACCAUGAUGAAAAUUGCGUACAGAAAAUGAACAUAUGUAAACAUGCUGAUCAAGUGAUUUAAGAUAAAAUAUUGCAACAGCAAGAUCAACCCUAACCAGAUCAUACUAGGUAUGAAAGAUAUAGCUAGGGACAGAAAACCGUACGUCUCUGGGCUCACCGGAAUAACCGGGUAAAGAAGACGACGGUGACGAUCAGCACCUCCGCGCGCUUGAUGACGCCAAGUCACGCCCCACUAACGAGGAGGAAGACGAGCCGUGGCGAUGAGGACGUAGAGGACGGCGAUGUGGAAGCGUUCGAGCAGUCGCGCAAAGCGCUUCCCAAAAACCUUAUUCGCACUUUCCUGGUACAGGAUCGCUGAGGAUGAGGUUCCGGAGACCUGCUCUCCCGAUCACCAGUGCACACAGACGAACGGGAUGAAGUAGCGUACAUGGCGGUGCAGCAGGCAGGUCGAGGCGUGUUGUGCGUGCGGCGGAGACGGGCGGUGUGGGGAGGGUGGCGAUCUAGACGGGAGGUCGUCUUGCGGAGCCUCCGCCGCCGGCGUUCCUCCGCCUCCCCUCGCCGCCUCCCACGCUCCUACAAAUCUUACGCAUCGGGUGGCGAAGCAGCUGGAGGACUUGGUGCCUGGGUCUUCGCAACCCGACGUCGGCGGCGGGGCGGGGGUACGGCGACGAAGAAGAAAGGUUGCAUGGGCCGCCGAUAGAGACGAAGCCGCGCGACGCGUCGAGAAGCUGGCCGAGGGACGGCCCGUGCUUGCGCCUUUUCACCCUAGAUGCCGGAUCCGACGACAGAGAGAAUUUUAGGUGACGUGGCCCAAUGAAAUCGCCCGGUUUGAGCCUAGGAUUCGUGUUUUGAGAAGAUUACAUGCAUUCUGCGGAGAAAGAAGAGAGAACCAAGAGGUAUGGGCCAACAAGUUGGGCCAGCUUAGCAUUAUAUGGAUCGAAUGAGAGAGAGAGGCCCACUAGACCAACCAAAAUCGCCAAUCACGGCGUUUGCACCGCGCGCGUGGGGAUCCCGCGCCAAAACGCUGGGCCAAGGCAAGGAACAAGACUGGAAGUUGCGUCUUCGGCCAUGAGCAGGGCGUGAUGGCGUGAAGCACCAGAAAUAUUUAGAAAGCAAAGCUAUUAAUAACUAAGCACAAGACCAGCAGCGAAAUGGUACGUGCUGUGUUUUGGACGCUUCCCGCAGAUGCAUGAUUGUUUGCUAUGAGAAUAUGAGAUCAAGUGCGUGCGCUGCUAACCACAUGCCGAAGUAGGAGCACUAUGUUGUCUCUAAUUCACCGGUGAGCACAAACUCCAUCUUGCAUAUUGCUGAAGCUAGCACAAGUGUGAUGUAUGCUUGGAGUUUGCAGCCUACUGUAGCUUACAGGAGUAAAUUUUAACCAAAUGUGAUAGCUUAAUUGAUCAAUACAAUUUGUUCUUCUAUGAAAAGCAAGAAAAAACCUGGUUCUUGUAUAUUAUCGUUAUCAUAUUAUAAUUGAAAAAGUUCAAUUUACUCCCUUCAAGUAUAGCCAAAGUAUGAAUAAACCCUUAAACUAUAACUUGGUUUAAUUUACCUCCUAAACUAUACUAUUUAGUUCAUUUUAUCCUAUAAUACAAUUUGCCUUUUUUUCUCCAUACACAAGUUGAGUUCUAAUUUUAAAUUUUGCAGGGUAGUAGUGGCCAUCACAAUGCACUUAAAAGAAUGUUAUAAUUUUUUCAUCGUUAUUUUUCAUAUAAUUUUGAACUCCAAUGAUUAAUUUAUUAUUAAAUAGCCUACCUAUCAAAAAAAUUAUGACGUAUUUUUUCUAACAUGUGUUAUGAUGUGUACUAUCAUCUUGUAAAGUUUUUACUUAAAAUUGCAUCUAUGCAUGGAGAAAUGAAAAAGACAAAGGGCGUGAUUGGUUACCUGGUUAUAGCCCAACCAGGUUCGCGCGAUGCGGGCUCCCGACGAUUGGUUACCUGGUUGGGCCUCCGAACCAGGCUCGCGCGAUGCAUACCUCCCCUCCCACCCAGGUCCCCGCGAUGCAGAAAUGAAACCCGUUUUCCCCGAACCUGGUGGCGGCGAUGCGAGGGCGGGCGGGCCGAGGCAGGCGGCGGUGGUCGCGGGUGUCCAGGCGCGCGCUCCCGCCAUGGGCUAGGGUUACCGCUCCCCCCCUUUCGCGCCAUUUCCAUCCUCGCGCCAUUUCCAUCCUCGCGCGUUCGCGCGUGCGGCAAGGGCUAGGGUUUGUGCGCCGUUCGCCUCCGCUAUAAGACACCCCCGACGCCGCCCCCGCGCGCUGCCAUUUCCGCCGCUUGAGCUCCAGGUGAAUCUCUCUGCUCUCAUCCUCUUCUCUCCCUAUGGUUGCCGAGAUCUGACUUGUUUCCUCCCUAUCCUCUCUGUAGCUGUGAUUGCUGGGCGAAUCUCUGUUCGUCGAGGCAAGUAUUCCCCCCUCAAUCGCCGAGAUGUGGCGUUCCCUCUUCGAUCUAUCCCCCCCCCCUCUGUAUCUAUCUUCCCCUCUCCUUCCUUCGAUUUGUGUAAGCUAAUCCCUGUUUUGGUUGCAGCAUCGCAGAUCUGUGCUCCCUGUCUUCCCCCUUUCGAUCUGUGUGUGUGCUCUCUGCCUGGUUGCUGCAAGGUGUCUGGUACCCCUUCCUCUGCAACUGUGAUUCUUUGUGCUAGCUACUUAUCUGAGCUAUGUGCAUGUGGCCGUGAUGUUUAGUUCUAUAUGCUUGUUUACUUUUGCUACAUAUCUGAGUUAUGUGCUUGUGGAUGUGAUGUUUAAUGCUAUAUGCUUGUUUCCUAUUGCUUCUUAUCUGAGCUAUGUCCCUGUGGCUGUGAUGUUUAGAGGUAUAUGCUUCUUUGCUACUACUUAACUGAGUUAUCUAUUGUGGCUAUCUUGUUUACUGUUACUUAUCUGAGCUCUAUUCCCUUUGAGUCUUGCCUAUGAUGACUUUGGGUUUGAUUAUUUACAGUCCUAUUUAACUGAGCUAUGUGCUAUGUGUCUGUGAUGUUUAGUGCAUAAACUGAGCCGUGUGCCCUUGCCUAUGAUGCCUAUGAUGAUGAGUGCUUUAGCUGAGCAGUGUGCUGUUGUCUAUGAUGUAGAGUUACUAUACUGUGCUAAGUGUUGUUACAUGUUAUUUGCUUAUAGAUGGAUAAUGGAGAAAUGAGGCGCAAGCUUAUCAUUCAGGCUGCUGCUUUAGUAGCUGCCAUUCAUGCAUUCAUGUUUAGUCGGUUCUUGUGUGGCCAACAGUCUCGCCCUAGUAUUAGUUAUGCACCUCUUAGUGCCAUGGACGAGGAGAGGAGGAGGAACUUGAACUUGAUUUAUAACUGCAAUGAUGUGGAGUGUGUAAACAUGCUUCGCAUGAGAAGAGCACCAUUUUUUCAGCUUUGUAACCUGCUUAGAGAGAGACACCUACUUAGGGAUAGCCUACAUAGUUGUGUAGAAGAACAAGUUGCAAUGUUUCUCCAUGUUGUGGGACAUAACCAGCGAUUUAGAGUCAUCCACCAAAAUUGGAGAAGGUCUGUAGAGACUGUUAGCAGAUAUUUUAAAGAGGUUUUGUAUGCAAUUGGGGAACUAAGAGAAGAGAUGAUUAAGCCUCCCACCAAUGCUACUCCACUUAAGAUCAGGAACAGCCAUAGGUGGUAUCCAUAUUUUAAGGUAUAUAACAUAUUUAUUUACAUAUAACAAAUCAAUGGUUGUUAUCUCAACUAAUCCAAACAACAACUGAGUUUGUAGGACUGUAUUGGGGCAAUAGAUGGCACCCAUAUCCUGGCUAAGGUGCCACAAAGAAUUCAAGCUGCAUUUAGGGGAAGAAAACAUCAAACAACUCAAAAUGUACUUGCUGCAGUUGAUUUCGAUUUAAAGUUCACCUAUGUCCUAGCUGGCUGGGAGGGGUCUGCACAUGAUGCCACCAUCCUUGCUGAUGCUCUAGAGAGGCAGGAUGGGUUAGUUGUCCCACAAGGUAUAAUAUGAAGUCAUAUUAAUUAAAAUGACACAACUAAUACAAUAGUACUAAUACUUAUAUUAUUUUUAGGUAAAUUCUAUCUAGUUGAUGCUGGUUAUGCAUGCCGCCCUGGAUUUCUUCCUCCCUUCAGAGGCACUAGGUACCAUCUCAAUGAAUAUGGUGGUAGAAACUAUCCAACCAAUGCAAGCGAAUUGUUCAACCUCAAGCAUUCAAGCUUAAGAGUCACAGUUGAGAGGGCUUUUGGGGCAAUAAAAAAUAGGUUUAGGAUCCUGGACAACAAACCCUUUCACCCCUUCAAGACACAAGUGAAAUUGGUGCUAGCAUGCUGCAUUUUACAUAAUUGGAUCCUGAACUAUGGUGUAGAUGAAGUGGUUCCCCUUGAGGAGGCUUGGGCUCCUAAUAGCAUUGGUUCCAAUGUUGGUGGUGUUCAAGUAGAAGAUAAUAGUGACUGGGCAUCUAUUAGGGAUGAAAUAGCUAAUCUCAUGUGGGCUAACAGGGGGCACUGUCAUAUAUGAAGACAUGGAUUUGUGUUGUAUGUGUACUGUAAUAACACUGCUAUGGUGUUUAUUAUUUGUAUCUUUUCUGAGGCAAUGGCACAUUGCUAUAAUGUUGUUUGUACUUUGUUCUGAGGCAAUGGCACACUGCCAUGAUGUUUCAUUUUUACUUGUUUUGAGGCAAUGGCACACUGCUAUGGUGUUUCUUUUUUACUUGUUCUGAGGCAAUUAGCACACUGCUAUGAUGUUGUUUCUUUUUACUUGUUCUGAGGUAAUUGGCAGACUGUUGUGAUGUCUUUUUUCUGUACAUCUUCUAAGCCACAUGCAGACUACUAUGAUGCUGGUUUUUUUACAUGAUUCUAGCCACAGGGACACUGCUGUGAUGUUUAUACAUGAUUUUGUAUAUGAUCUGAGCCACAUGCACACUGCUAUGAUGUUGUUUUUUACAAUAACUGAGGCAAUAUAUAUAUGCUAUGAUGUUGUUUUGUUUAUAAUAACUGAGGCAAUAGAAAUAUGCUAUGAUGUUGUUUUGUUUAUAAUAACUGAGGCAAUAGAUAUAUGCUAUGAUGUUGUUUUGUUUAUAAUAACUGAGGCAAUAGAUAUAUGCUAUGAUGUUUGUCUUAUAUACUGUUGUCAAAUAUUGGUACUAGGGCAUGGAUGUUCAAGAGGAAAGAGAGUUUAUGGAGCUGUAUGGUAGCUAUUCCAAUGCCCUAGUUGUUGCUAAUUCUGCUCCUAAUCCUUCUGGUGGUCCUGCCCCUCCUCCUGCUGUUGUUGCCCCUGCUGUUGCUGCUGUUGCCCCUCCUCCUCGUGCUGCCCCUCGAGCCAGGCAGCAAAGGAAUUCUAUGAGGUGGACUAGUGUCACAUCCUCCUUUAUCUUGCGCCGGUUCUGUGAACUCAUUUCCACUGGGGUUAGAACAGAUAAGGGGUUCAAGGAGGUUCACUUGAACAAAGUUGCUAGGGACCUUCAGGAGUUCACAGGGAACAAUGUAACCUCUACUCAAGUGUAUAACCACUUGCGCACAUGGAGGAAAAAAUGGAUGAAAGUGACCAAGCUGAGAGAGCUUAGUGGAGCUUUAUGGGAUGAGGAGACCUUCAUGAUUUCCUUGGAGGAUGAGCACUAUAAUGGUCAUGUAAAGGUGUUAGCCAUAGUGCAUAUCAUUUUCACCUUCUUCUCUUAAAUAUUAGCUAAUUUCUAAAAUUGCAUUGCAUUUUAGGCUCACCCUGAAGAUGCUGACCUUCUGAACAAGCCAAUAGAGAACUACCAGCAAAUGGAGAUCAUAUUUGACAAUGGCUGUGCCACAGGCAAGUUUGCCAUGGGUUCUAGCCAGCCUUUGGGUUCUCCAUCUGACUGGGCUGAGAGUUCUCAAAAAAUUGAUGAGCCUGCCAAAGAGUUUGAGGAGGUAGCUAAGCAGGAUGCUGGGGGCAGUAGCAGCAAGCACCAGGAGGCUAGUAGCAAGCAGCAAGAGCCUAAUGGCAGUGGAGUGGGCAGCAAGAGGAAGAGGGCAAUGCUCUCUGAUGAGGAUAUCACUGUCCUGUCUGGGAUGACAACUGCUGUGAACAAUGUGGCUGAUGCUAUCAGAGAAACAAAGACUGAAGUUGUCCCUGCUGACCUCUACUCUGCUGUGAUGUUUGUCCCUGGCUUCACUGAUGAAGCUCUGAUUGUGGCCUACUCCCAUCUGGCAGACAACAAUGCUCUUGGGGCUGCAUACCUGCUAAUGUCUGAUGCUCAUCGUGUGCUGUGGCUGAGGACCUUCUUAGCUAAGCACUACUACAACAACAACAACUAGUAUCUGAUAGUUUUCUUAUUGCUGGUUGAUCCUUUGUCCAGUAGGACCUCCUUUUGCUAACCUAUUUUGUGCAGAGGUACUAACCCUGCAUUCUUUUGUGCAGCUGGUCACAUCUUUCCAUUUCUUCUAUGUGGUUGAUGUGAUCCUGCUAUAACUAGAUAGAGACUCAUAUAUAUAGUAACAAGUCUCUAUCCUCUUACUAUGAUGUAGUGAAUGUAUUGGAUCAACCACUUUGAUGUUGGAGUCUAAUCUGAGCAUAUAUCUAUUGCCAAUGAUGUAUUGUUAUUCGAGUUAUGCUAUUGUAUUGAACUAUACCUAAACUGAGCAUCUAUCUAUUGCCAAUGAUGUUAUUAUUUUGUUGAUGCUACACAUUCUGAGGUGUAUAGCUAUUGCCAAUGAUGUUCUAUGAUGUACUUCAUACUUCUUUUCUUCUAUUUUCCUAUCUGUCACCUGCUAAUUGAUUCAUUCUUUGUCAUGUGAGGUUGCUGGAUCCUCACUCUCAACUGAGGCUGAUGGCAUCUGCUAUGAUGAUGAGUUUGCUAUUUUUGUUGCCCUACUAUGUAAAGGCAUGCUCUACUCUUGUGCUUACUUAUCUGUUGAUUGAAUCCUCACUGUAAAUUGAGGCUGAUGGCAUAAUGCUAUGAUGAUGGAUGCUUUUCUGUUGUGUUCUCUUGUCUUCACCCGUGGUCUGUUGUGUUUUGCUGGACAAUGCUUCUAUAUGUGGUCUGAUUGGUUACCUGGUUACUCAAUUUCACAGUUCCUAUUCCUAUUGAUUUUAACUCAAUAUGUUUAAGUCUGAGCACAUGCCAUCAGCCAAUGAUGCUUCUUUUAUACAUAUUGCUCCCCAGUGUGUGUAAUGGACAUUUUUUUUACUAAAUUUCUCAGAUUCAGCUUGUCAUUAAUUAACUGAUUUGGGCACCUAGUUAUUUCUUCUCAGUUAUUGUUGAUUUUAACUGAAUAUAACUAAGACCCAGCAUAUGCCAUCAGCCAAUGAUGCCUCUGUGAUACAAAUUGCUUCCAGUGUGUGUGCGCUAUGGUGGUAACCUCACCACUGCCUGAUUGUGAUCAUGGUGUUCAACCUUGUGUGCUUCGGGUGCUGGUAACCUCACCAUCACCUGGUUCUGGUGAUGGGAUUUACGUGCGAUGCAGGCAACCAAUCACCGUUCUUGCAUCUAGUUUUUUGAAUCUGGGAUGCAACCAGGUAACCAAUCAUCGUCUCUGCUCAUCCAGUUCGGUGGGAACCAGGCAACCAAUCAACCCAGGUUGCAUGCCUUAAACCUGGUUGAAAGGAACCUGGUUCCUUGGUGCCACCCAGGCUAGUGGCAACCAGGUAACCAAUCACGCCCAAAUUAUAUUAAGGGGUAAUUUGAACCAAAGGGUAUAGUUUGGGUGGUAAAAUGAACCAAACGAUAGUUUAGGGGAUUAACCAAACUUUGGCUAUAGUUGAAGGGAGUGAUUUGGACUUUUUCCUAUUAUAAUUAAGGGAAAAGUCCGGUUUACAACUCAAAUUAUCGCAAAAAUCCGAUUUUCAACCUUCAACUACAAAACCGGAUAACAUAAGCCAUCCAACUAUCAAAAAUAUGCAAAAUUGUCCCUUUGGGUGGUUUCAAAGAUGGUUUUCCAUUUUGUGAAAAUUAAAAAUAUAUAAUUUUAAACUAAAAAAUCAUAAGUAAUUCAUUUUAAACAUAAAAAAUGAAAUGGAUAUCAAAAACUUUCUAAAAAUGUAACUUAUCUAUUAACACUCUACUUGUCGGUUAUUCGGAUCCAAUUUUUUUAUGUUCAUAGUACUUGGUUGCUUGUAGUUAUGCCUAUUAUUUUUGAAUAAAUAAGUUUCAAAUAGAGAAAUAAUAGAUAUUUUACAUUUUUAGAAAAAUUUUGAUACUAGUUUCAUAUUUUUCUAAUUUAAAAUGGAUUAGUUUUGAUUUUUUUAGAUCUAAUUAGAAUUUUUUAAAUUUUUCUAAAAUAUAAAACCACCUUUGAAACCACCUAAAGAGCCAAAUUUGCACGGUUUCGAUAGUUGGAUGGCAUAUGUCACUUGAUUUUGUAGUUGAAGGUUGAAAAUCAGACUUUUGUGAUAGUUCGAGGGUGUAAACCGAACUUUUCCCUAUAAUUAAACAACUUAGUUGAAAACUCGAAAUGCACUAUAUACCUUGUUGGGGAUAUGCCUUUGGAAGCCAAAGGCUAGGAAUCCCCAUAUGUUUAAAAGAGGCUAAAUCAGAGGGUUAUGGACUUAUUUCCAAACUUCUAGGGUCUAUUUAUAAAGAUUGAUGACCUUUUUAUAAUAUCUAACCCCACUAAUGGACUAAACAUAAACAGACACUCCUCCUAAAGCCUGGGGCUUGGGGAAGAGGACUCUUGACCAUUUGUUCAUUUGCUCCCUUGUUCUCUCUUCCUUAUCUCUCUCCUAUUCGAUCGAGGUCCCAACCCCAACAUACCUAGCAUUGAUGUAUGAGUAUAACCAAAAGAAAAGCAUGUCACUUUCGCCUAACCUUGAAUUUCAUCUCGGCUGUAUCCUAACUUAUAGUAUUUAUUUUAUUUGUUUGUGUUGUACUGCCACCACAUUGCUUUGUUUCAUAUAGAUUUUGUUCUCCAUGCAUCCAUUCUCAUUUUUGCUAUGCUACUCCGCCUAAAUAACAUGGAAGGCACCAUUCAGUGUCGCCUCCCUAAUGCUGUGAUCUUGAGCUCCCCAUUUCAAGCGAUGUGCAGCAACAAUAUCUUGUUGUACGGUUUCACUUCCAUUUCCAGCUCUAUAGAUACUCACCGGCAAUCCUUGCCAAUGCCAGAGUUUUGGUUCCACCCUCAACAAUCUAUGAGCUAGAUGUUGCUCUAUCGUCCAGCUGAGUUCGCGAUCUCGAGCUAAGAGGCGGAGGCCUAAGCCUAGUGUAUGCGUGUAGCAAUGCAUAUCCUCCCAUACCAAUUCUUGUCUUCAUCGAUGCUAGUGGUCAUGUUGAAGACAAUAAGGGCAAAAGAGAGACGGAAAAUUAUAAGAACCCGCUAUUUAUGUGCCAUAUAUUUAAGAGGGUUGGUUCAAGAUAUAAAUUGUUAGUGCCAAAGCAUUUAUAGUGUGGUAGCUAAUUUUUUUUUCUCCAUGACAUUAAACAGCAUGAUUUUGUCCACGGGACAUCAUUUUGUUUGAAGUUGAUCCUAAGACACUGCAAAAUCGUGGUUUUGUUGGUCGAACACCAGAGGAGGGGCAAGACCAUUAUGCUCAGUUACACACAUCUUUAAAAUAUCUACAUACAUAAUAUAAUUAAAAUACUAUUAUAUUUGUAAACUGGUAUAUGGUAUUGUUUGGAAGAAGAAACCUCUAUCUUCUACCGACUAAAAACUCAAAACCCUUGAACUCUGACACAGCAGACCCUAUAGCAUCGCACUAUACCACCUGAUUUGGCGCAUCAUCACUACCCCAAGUAGGACUGCACCCCUCACACAAGCCAGCCGCCACCGUUACCUAGGCUAGGUAUUUUAACCAUCCCUGAAAUUCAUUUCCACCAAGAGUCGAACCCUAACACUAGAGGUGCUACUCAAGAAUCACCGAGUCACAGCCUCUAAGCUAUGAACCCGUUUGCAUAUAAUAUAAUCUAUAUCAUGAAAUUAGGCAAAAUGAUGGAAUGCUCUACUCCCCACUGCCCUUACGUGUAGUUUUUUCAUGCUUUGUAUGGAGAUUUUGUAAAAUGAAGAUAAGGACAUGAUGGUUUUUCCUUCCUCCUAUAGCCUACUAAUGAAAAGCAUGAUUUCGCUAUGUCCUCAGGCUAAUUUCCAACAAUCAGGCUAAUUUCCAACAAUCAGUGUCCUAUAGGCAAAGCAAUAUUCUUUUUGUGUACUGGACAUAAAUAUGCCCAAAUCAAACUAUGAUUUCAAAUAUGGACUUACUCCUGGGAUUGGAUUGACAUCCACGAUCCAAUCAGCGAUGUCCAACUAAAAUCCUACUGAUAUAACGUUCGCACCCAGCCCAAUCCUAAAUAUAUUAACUACUAUCCAAUCCAGUCCAAUCCACCACCACCAAAAUCCAUAUCCAUCCAACCGGUGUCCAUCCUAAAUAUAUAUACUAAUAGAAGUAUGUUGAGCGGCCUAGCUUGCUUCCGCUAUCAGCUUUUCAAACAAGCAAGGUCCACAGGCAGCCAAAGUGAAAGGUGUUCCAAGUUAUUAAAAAGUACUUCUAACCUACACAAGUGACUGGUAUUCUAGACCAUUAUAAAGGAAAAUAGUUUAGCAACAUCUCAGUACAAAAUACCCUCUCAUGGUAGACAUGUCCAGAAUAGUGCAUAGCAUAAGAAAUGCCAUGAGGCCAAAGAAUCUCUCAAGAAUACAAGCCAAACAUAAAUCAGUUAUAGAUUGAGCUAAACCUAACUAAAGAAGAAUAGCCUCUAAUCAUAAAUUAAACUUGUAGGUGGCAUAGACCAUUUCUGUCCACUUGCUAGGCUAAAAACCCAAGAAUGUUCUGCCAGGCUGAAUCCAAAACUUGCAAAAUCUUGAAAAGGAGCGGUAACUCAUCACUUAAUCCAUCACUAUCCCUGCACCAAAUUACAUGGAUGAGACUUAUAGAUUGAUAAUAAACAAAUACUUAUUAUUUAGAGAAUACUCAUCACAUGGAUAACAACCUAUCUAAAGAAGUAAACAUUAAGAAACGCAAGCAUUUUUUAUCAAACUCCAUUACUCAAGCUCCAGAAAUAUUUAGCUAGAUGGACUAGUAUUAAAUAGUACAAACACCAAAACACCAAAAUAGAUAACUAGUAUUCUUCAGAGUACUAAUCAAGAACAAGAGUAACAGUACAUGCAACUAAAAUGGUCCAGAUAUGACACAAAAAUUAGAUGACUAGUAUUCUUCAGAGUACUAACAAGCACUAUGUUUUCAAGACCUAUCAUUAACCAAGAGAAUAGCAACUGAAAUUCAAAUUUGCACAAGAAAAUAUGUUACCAUCGUCAUCUUCAUCAUCUAAAGAGUACCCUUUAAGCAAAUCUUUUGCAUAUAUUAGUGCUUCCACCGUCUCUGAACUUAGAGAACUACGGUAUUUGUUAAUUACCAUGCCUGCAGUACUGAAUAUUGAUUCAGAGGCAACAGUUAAUAAUGGAAUAGCCAAAAAGUCAGGAGCCAUCUUUGCAAAUACAGGAUAUUGAUCCUGGUUUCUUUUCCACCAUUUUAGCACGUCAAAUUCUUCACUCUCCCUUAAAGGAACCAAUGAAUCAUCUAGAUAAGUAUCAGGUUCCGACCUUCUUGAGCGAUGAGGUCUGUUUCUCUGCUUGAACAAAGCAAAUUCCAGCCCUAGCUUAUGUUUUCCAGACACCAAAGACAACGUACUUGCAGAACCACUGACUUCAGGAGAUGAUGAAAUGUUACUUUGGAACUCCUUUGCUGCAUGUUUUCGUAAUGAGAAUAAUAUGCUUUAAACCAGAUAAGAGCAUAGUUUGCUUUUCUAUCAGCUACUUCCUCUCCAUACAUUCUCAUGAGACGGUACUUCAAAAAGGUUAAUUUGUACCGUGGGUCCAGCAAAGAUGCUACCAAAAGGAUUUUGCUAGGUUCAACCCAGUAUUUAUCAAACUUUGACUUCAUAUCAUUACACAACACCUUCAAAAAAUUAUCACUUCUAUUUUUUUAUCAAGAAGCAGUUCCCUUAUCCCCCAAACCUCUUCAACAUACCUGUGAGCACUUGGAGUUUUAUCUAGAGUUUUUUGUCAUUAGAUGUGGCAUAUGUCAAAAGGCAUAUGUGUCCAAAGAGUUUCUCUUAGCUUUUUCACAGCUCUAUCAUUAGAUGUGGCAUUAUCUAGAGUAAAAGAAAAUGCUUUAUUGGACAGAUCCCACUCAUAAAGGCAGUCCAUUAUAGUACUAUGUAUUGCAGCCGCAUUAUGUAGGUGAGGAACUUGCUUAAAGUUGAUUGUAUGGUGGUGCAGAUUAAAAUCUCCAUCUAUAUAAUGUACAGUCAAAUAAAUAUAUCCAAGAUUUUGGACAGACGUCCACAUAUCCGAAGUGAAGCUAACACAAGAAUCUAUAUUGGAAAAACCACUAGCAAUCUUUUUUCUCUCUUCUCAAUACACUAACAUGCAAUCAUUCUUGAGUGUCUGCCUGUGUUGUCGGUCGAAACCCACCAGCGAGCAGCGACAGGCAACACGAGAAGUCGGGAGGCUUCCGGGACUGCUGGUGGGUCCCGGUCCCUCGGUCAACGGCCCAGAAGUCCGGCACACGCUCUGACUUGGUGAAGUGUUAGGCGUGCCACCUGACCUAUACCUGAUCACGAAGGUGUAGAAGUCGUUCAUCAGCUAUUUGCUGCAUGCGCAGCCAUAUCAAACAUUAGUCCGAGCUGUGAUCGGCUCUUACAACGACCCCGAGAUCAGCUAAAGAAGCCGAUGGAGUCACUGUACUAGGUCGGACCUUCGGGUACCUUCCAGAAUCGGCUACAAGAAAUCGAUUGCCACGUUGAACAGAUUGGAUCUAUUAACAUGUGAACUUUUGUACGAAUCCGAUAGAAAAGAUAAAAGCAUGCUCUGUAAUUGCCAAGCUAAUCCAAUUUGCGACGGUAAAAGCUUUCACCGCAUAACCGGAACAUCCUAUGCGUGGUUAAGCCUAACAAACAUGAAAGGUAACAAUACGCUAACCCGAAGAGAGGCCUAAAAACCAACUAACAAGUCGAUUCCCGGAACAAUCCCUCGUCAGGUUACCAUAAGGCACCAAACAUGCAACCGGAACAUUUAACCUGUUUGAAGGUCCUAAUCAUAUGGAUAUUAAACCAAUUCCUUGUAACACAAAGAACUACCAUAACAGAUUAGAUCUACUAAGCAAUAACAGAGCAAGGCGCUGCCCUUGCACCUGAGAUCACGUACAAGAGCAGCUGAACGAUUACGAACAGCAAGCAAAACAUGGAUUUACUAUUCAAAACCAAUGCAACAUCAUAAUCGUUUAAGAUAACUAGUGUUACUCGCCAUAAAAAACGCUUCAAUACGAGAAACACAAGAAUAAACAGAUAAAAGCAACGCUGCUCCGACCAUGCGGAACAUGAUCGGAGCAGCAUGUUGAUUACCUGGAAAGAGCCCUUGGGAAAGGGGUGGCGAUGCGCCGAGAGUUUGUUGUGAAUGAUUGAUUUAUUUAUUGAAUCUCACGAUACAUAUUUAUAGUCCGGAGACUUAAUAUUUUCUGCCUAACCCUAGCUGAUUAUGAUACAAUCUCUAACUUACUAUAUUUAAACUAUCCUUAGAUACACGGCCAUCCUGACUCUUGACACGUUCGCACAGAAGCCGAUUUGCAGACUAUUACCAUGCUUUCCUUCAGCCCAUGAUGCUCUCGGCCCAUCACUUGGCCCAGUCAAAUUAUGACGAUAACACAUGCCCCUUGGUUUUGGCAAUGAUAAUUCCGAAACCAUCGCCUCUUCGACUUCUCAGACUUGUGCACGCACAUACCGCUCCCAAUGCCAUUGGACGCGGCCCUUCGACUUCCAAGGCCUGUACACGCGCGCUGCCUUCCAAUACAAUCAGACGCGACCCUUCAACUUCUCUCUCAGGAAUCGCGAUAACACCGCUUCGCCUUCCAUCUCCGCCUUUAUAAACUGUCAUUGGCGGAUUUAUUUCUAUCCAUCUCCCCGUGCAUUAGCCACACCAGCACACUCUGCAUCCCCUGACAAUGGCUUCCUCUUCCUCUAUCUCUUCCAAUUCCCCUUCGUCUUCCAUAAUCUCCAUCACUUCUCCUGACUCUGAAACCUCCAGGGAGGCGACGCCGGAGUUCGAUCCAAUGGCUUCGUAUGAAGCUCUCGCUCCUCUGCAUUGGGAUGCAGAGGAGUGGGAUUUCAGCACUUGGUCAGAGGACGAUGAGCCCCUGACCGACGAUGAGGACCUCCAGAUUCUCCUUCAUGGGGAUCUGGACGAAGGCGGCGACGAAGAUUCCUAGGAUGAUGAUUUCUUCUCUUUCUCAGAAAAAGAUGCCAAGGACACUUCCACCGACGACGACUCAGCAGCAAGAGGAUUUCUGCAUGGUGGAUUGUCGACUUCAGAAGACGACGGGGACGCCAGCGACGACACUAGCGAUGAUGGUGACAGCAGCAACAGCACCGGCGGCGACGAUGGCAGCAGCGACGAUGACACCAGCGCGUCCCCCCCGUACAAACGCCGCAAGACCUUAGGGACUCACUGGUGGUAGUUCAUAGGGUCUUCCACCGUUAUGCGCAUAGCCGGUAGAUCGGCUUCUUUUGUAAUAAUUUCUUGUAAAUGAACCCUCUUGUUUCAGCGAGCCAGUGUUUAAAAAUCUAACCUUCUAAAGUCCGAUGGCAUCGCAUCGGCCUCUUUCCUUGAACUGCCCGAUCCAAUCUCAAACUUUUCUUUAUUCCGGAUCAAAAUUCCCAAGAACUCGAGUAGCCUUCAAAUGAUCUUGUCAAUAACAAGAGUACUCCGCAGUCGACUUCUUUGCUUGUUGUUAAAUCUCGAUCCCCAAUCAGGUCGAAAAAUAUGAGUACCCAGGAAACCCCGCAAACAAGUCGAACCUGUUCUUUUAAGAUCAAGAGACACCUGCAAUCAACCUCUCUGCUUUUAUCGAAACCCAGGAUUUGCAAGGGCCAAUUAUUGCUCCUAGAGUCGAUGGUUUAACAUCGACUGUUCAACCUUCAGCUCUGUGCAUGGACCGGCGCUGCUUUUUCUUUACAGAUCUGGCAUGCUCAUCUCAUUCCACCUUACAGCCUGAUGCAUUGCACCGGCUUCCAAAGUACCCGAUAGAUGCUGACCUGCAGGUCUAGUAUACCACGAGGUACCCGAUCAGAUCAACUCGAUGUACCGCAAAGUACUCGAUUAUAUCUUGCAGCCCAAGGUGUCAUAUCGGCUUUCCUCGCAAACACCCUGGUUGUAUUGGUCCAUAACCUGAUGCCUUACAUCGGCUUCAUUACUCAUCUUCCCACAUGCUCGGGAAAUAUUUCUUGAGAUGCUGACCAUUGACAGCCACCGAAAAUUUAACCCCAUCCAAUUCUUCGAGCAUGUAUGCAUUCCCUGGCAGAGCUUGAUCAACUCUAUAAGGCUCGUGCCAAUUCGGAGACCAUUUACCAUAUGUCGCAUCCUUAGUCCCUAAUGGUAACACCGCUUCCCACACUAAAUCCCCAACUUGGAAUUCCUUCGGUUUAACCUUCUUGUUGUACACGCGGGCUACCUUGGCCUUAUUUUCCUUGAUCUUUUCCAGCAACCAAAGCCUGAGUUCUGUAAUGUCUUCCACAUUGUCGCUCAUUAGUGCUGCAUAUUCUUCAGCAGUCAACACAAUCUGAAACUCUAUCCGACUUGAACCGGCCGUAAUUUCCCAUGGCAAUACGGCCUCCUGCCCAUAUACUAAAUGAUAUGGUGAAGUUCUUGUUGCCCCAUGGCAUGAAACACGAUAAGCCCAUAACGCUUCUGAUAAUACUUCACGCCAACGCCGUGGAUAUUCAUCAAUCUUCCUUUUGAUCAACUUGAUCAGGCUCUGAUUAGACGCUUCGGCUUGUCCGUUUGCUUGAGCGUAGUAUGGAGAUGACCUGAUUAAUUUGAUUCCCAUGUCGGCAGCAAACUUUUUGAAUUCAUCAAAUAUAAACACCGACCCUCCAUCUGUUGUAAUAGUCUGAGGAAUCUCAAACCUAUGAAUAACGUGUUCUUUGAUGAAAUUGAUGACGUCCCUCGACGUUACUGACUUCAUAGGAACAGCCUCUACCCAUUUUGUAAAAUAAUCUGUGAUGGCCAAAAUAAACUGAUGGCCUUUACUCGAUGGAGGAUUAAUCUUACCAAUCAUGUCCAUGCCCCAGCCCCUGAAUGGCCAAGGUUUGAUGAUAGGGUUCAUUGCUGACGCUGGUACUAUUUGUAUCUUUCCAAACCUCUGACAGGCCUGGCAUCCUUUAUAAUACUUGAAGCAAUCUUCCAUCAUAUCAGGCCAAUAAUAUCACGAGCGCUUGAUCAACCACUUCAUCUUGUGGGCUGAUUGAUGAGUACCACACGUAUCUUCAUGGACUUCAUGUAAAAGCCUAUUGGACUUAAUCGGCCCCAAGUAGUAGCCUCUCCAGAGUCCUGUAGAACAAGUCGUCCCAUAUCAGGACUUGCUUCAUGGCUCUGUAACGUAUCUUCUUAGGUGCCCCCCGAGCCAGAUCCUUCAAGUAAUUGAAGAUAUCGGCUCUCCAAUCCCCCUGAUCCAGCAGGUUUAUUGCUCCAUCCGCCGCGUCCUUGUAACCGGAAGCCAUCUGGUAAGAUUAUUGGCCUCAGAAUUUUGUACUCUUGGUAUCCAGUAGAAAUUUAUAUAUCUGAACUAGGCCAUUAGCUCCUGGCAUUGUCUCCAUAAGGGGAACAACAACUCGCUCUCACAUCGGUAUGUCUCCGUGAGCUGAGAGAUGACCAGUUUUGAAUCCCCGAAAACUUCUACUGCUUCUGCUCCAGCUUCGAGGAGUAACUCCAUACCUUUGUGCACCGCUUCAUACUCGGCUAGAUUAUUGGUGCCAGGUGUUGGCAAUCUGAUUGAAAAGGAACAUGUUGCCCCCCGAGGCGAGACGAGUAAGAUACCUAUGCCAGAACCAUCUCCACAGACCGACCCAUCAAAAUAUAUUGCCCAUGCGCGGAUGGAAAGCGCCGCUAUGCCUGAGCUGGUCCACUCUGCAACGAGGUCGGCCAGCGCCUGCCCUUUGACUGCUUUCGCAGGCUGGUACCGGAUAUCAAAUUCUGACAGAGCGAGCAUCCAUUUACCGAGUCGGCCUUUCAACACCGGGGUCGACAACAAAUGCUUGAUAACAUCUGAUUUGCAGAUGACAAUUGUCUCGGCAGAAAGCAGGAUGUGGCGGAGCUUCGUACAGGUAAAGAAUAGACAAAGGUAUAGUUUCUCAAUUUCAGGGUACCUUAUCUCUGCAUCUAGCAUCCUCCUGCUGAGAUAAAAAAAACUCUCUUCUUGCCAUCCUGCACUUGUAUGAUGACCGAAGCAAUGGAAGUAUCACCCACUGAUAGAUAAAUAUAGAAUGGCUUACCCUGCUGGGGUGGGACUAACACAGGCGGUUUGGAUAAAUAUUCUUUGAUUUCUUCAAACGCCUGUUGUUGCUCUGCCCCCUAGCGGAACUCGUCAUUGGCUUUAAGUUUCACCAACUCCAUGAAUGGCUCGAUUCUUCCUGACAGAUUGGAAAUGAAUCUCCUAACAAAAUUUAUCUUACCAGUGAGUUGUUGGAGCUCCUUCUUUGUAGUAGGUGGCACCAUCAUUUUUACAGCUUCUUGACUUUUUAGGCCGAUCUCAAUUCCUCGUUCAUGAACCAGAAAACCCAGAAACUGACCGGCUGAUACACCAAAAGCACACUUCUUUGGAUUCAUUCUAAGCCCGAACUUCCUAGUUCGUUCCAAAACUCGUUGUAGAUCUCUUAAAUGUCCCUCAGCCGAUGCAGAUUUCACCACCACGUCAUCAAUAUAGAUCUCCACCAGCUUGCUGAUCAAAUCAUGAAACAUAUAGUUCAUGGCCCGUUGAUACGUAGCACCAGCAUUUUUGAGCCCAAAAGUCAUGACCACAUACACAAAUAAUCCCACUGCACCUGAUACUCUGAAUGCAGUCUUAUGAAUAUCUUCUGGAGCUAUAAAAAUCUGGUUAUAACCAGCAUUGCCAUCCAUAAAACUCAACAUCUUAUGACCAGCAGCCGCAUUAAUCAAUGUUUCCGCAACUGGCAUCGGAUACUCAUCUUUUGGUGUGGCUCUGUUAAGAUCUCUGAAGUCUACACAGACUCUCCAUCGGCCGUCCUUCUUCUGUACAGGCACAAUACUGAAAAUCCAUUCAGCAUACCUGCAUGGCCUGAUGAAGCUUGCUGCCAUCAUCUUUUCGAGUUCUUUCUUGACUUCUUCUAGGACUUCGGCCUUCAUUUGCCGUGCUCGUUGCUGGAACGGCCAAAAUCCUGGCUUAAGAGGGAGUCGAUGCUCAACAAUACUUCUAUCCAACCCAGGCAUCUCUGUGUAAUCCCAGGCAAAACAGUCCAUAAAUUCUCUCAGCAGUAUUAUCAUCGCCUCUCGCAACUCUGGAUUUAACUUUUUGUUGAUAAAUGUUGGCCGUGGCUUAUCCCCAGGACCAAUAUCGACUUCUUCCAGCUCGUCAGUAGAUGUAAACCCGUAUCCUAGCUUCCCUUCAUCCAUCAAGUCGAUACUGCAAAUAAACAAAGAAUAUGAAGCAGAAGGAUUUGGCCGAUCGCAGGGAUCGGCCGACUUGUUCUUUGCAUUAAUGUGUAUUAUUUUACAAUCACAUGGCCGGCUGCUCGAGCAGGCCUCUUUGCGAUCAUUAUAACAAUGUAACAUGGAUGACAAAAACAACUUGAUUCUAUUUUUUGGAGGCCGAUCGCGGGGAUCGGCCUUUCCUGUUACUUUCCCAUCUACUCCAUAAGGCCAGUGGAUAAGACCAGCCUCACCCUGUUUUUUGUAGCUUCCACGCGGUCGCAGCCCUCCAAGCUAAUCCCUGAGAUCGGUUCCUGGUCCUCCGCGUCCCAGACACUCAUGGCAGCAUGUGAAACUUCAACAGAGUCGUCCGCGUGGACCACUUCUACUUCAUCUCCGUCCCAUUGAAUCAGACACUGGUGCAUUGUAGAAGGGAUACAGCAAUUGGCAUGGAUCCAAUCUCUCCCAAGCAGAACGGUGUAUGAGCCCUUGCUGUUGACCACAAAAAACGACGUAGGGACGGUUUUACCUCCUACCGUCAGAUCCACGCUGAGGACUCCUUGCGCCUCUGAAGUUUGUCCGUUGAAGUCACUUAGCGUGAUGUUGGUUUUGAUCAAGUCCCCAACAGAAUGCCCCAACUUGCACGGCACUGAAUACAGCAUUAUAUUAACCGCUGCUCCUGUAUCGACUAGCAUCCUGCUGACAGGCUGGCCGUUUAUGUACCCCUUGAGAUAUAAUGCCUUCAGGUGCCUGUAAUUCUUUUCUCGGGGCUUCUCGAAAAUGACUGGUCGUGGCCCCAAGUCAAGCUGAGCCACUGGCACCUCCUCAUGUCCUGGUGCAUGAAACUCUGCAGAGAGAACAAACACCAUGUGUGCAUCAGCCGAUGUCUUCACAUUGGCUUUCGACUUCUUGGGUCGCCAUACCUUCUUGGAAGAACUCUCUGCUUUUCGAGGGUUGUGGACCUUUUCCGCCAAAUCUGGCCGCACUUUCCUUAAUGUUUCCAAGUAUUGGACCUCGGCUUCUUCCAGGUUGCACAGCCGCUGUACCCUCCGCUUCUAGGACCGGUUGAGCCCAUCAGGACACCAGCGUGGUCGGUGAUACUUGUCCUCCUCAUCUUCUGAAUUUCCCACUGUAUGUGUCAACUUGUCUUGUUCAUGGCGGGGUUGCCCUGGUCCCAAAUGCUGAAAAACUGAAGCACUUCUUGUUCUGAGAAUUGCACUCUAGGCAAUCUUCAAGGUUGGGUAGUCUCUUCAUACCAGAAUCCCAACAGUAUUUGAAGAACGGGCAAUGCCAAUGAUCUCGUGCAUCCUCUCACUUCCUGAGGCGUUUCCCAGUGCAUCGCUCGUACUCUUCUUCUUCAGUUUCACGUUGGAGAUGCUGUUGAUACUGAUACUGGUAUUUUCUCAGAAGAUGAGAAGAAACCGGUCGUUGAUUCCGGACAUGCCUGACCUGUUGUUCGGUGAUAUAGUCUCUUUCUUCUUUUUGGGGCCGAUCGCGGGAAUCGGCCUCUUGCCUCCUUGUAUGCUGACGUGAUGCAUGUCCUGCCAUGUUAAUACCGAGCGUGAAAUCCAACUGACGACGCGUUGACCGGUCGUACCCUUCCACCAUGUUUACAUUCGGGAAUAGUUGAGUAUCGACCUUCAUGGCGUACUAUCCCAAGAUUAAUCGGCCUUACUCAAUGGCCGAUUGUAUCUGCCGCCGGAGUUCUUUGCAGUCAUUGGUACCGUGAGUGAAAGAGUUAUGCCACUUGCAGUAUGAUCUCCCCUGGAGCUCCUGAGCUGUUGGGAUCUUGAAACCUUCAGGGAACUUCAAUUGCUUUUCCUUCAAGAGUAAGUUGAAUAUUUGUUCGACUUUGCUUACAUCAAAAUCAAAAUCUUUCAGAGGGCCCUGUUGUUUCACCCACUUGCAGGGCACAGGCUUUGCCCCCCGUGCCCAUUCCACAACUGCAAUCUCUUGGUCAUCCUCAGAGUCUUCGGAGUCUUCAGCAUCAACCAUUACUACUUGACGUUUAAACUUGUCUUGGUAUAAUUCUAAGUGACGUUGCUCGUAUACUGUCAUUUUCUACACCAAAUGAGCCAAAGAGUUGAACUCCAACUGCAAAACCAAAUCUCUGAUCGGCUUUACCAAUCCCAAAGUUGCCAAUUCAACUGCCUCCUUCUCUGAAAUUCGAAUUGAGUAGCAUCAAUUCUUGACUUCCCUGAAAAGCUGUAUGUACUCCGCCACUGUUUCUCCCCGUUUCUGGCGGACCUGUGCCAAAUCAGCAAUCCCAGCUUCUGCAGCUUCUGAGUGAUAUUGUAUAUGGAACUGUUCCUCUAGCUGCUUCCAGGUGCGGAUAGAAUCAGGGUCCAAUGAUGUGUACCAUCCAAAAGCCGGCCCUGUGAGAGACUGCGAGAAGAACCUUACUCGCAAUGGAUCCGACAUCGAAAUCAUCCCCAGCUGCGCUAGAUAUCGGCUCACGUGUUCUAUGGAGCUGGAUCCUUCUGCUCCGCUGAAUUUGGUGAACUCAGGUAGCCGAUACUUGGGUGGCAGAGGAAUUAGGUCGUAGUCGCUUGGAUACGGCUUGGUGUAGCCGAUCGCUCGCCUUCUUGGGAGAAUGCCAAAUUGAUCUCUCAAAAUGGCACUAAUUUGAUCCACUGUAUGAACUCCUAGGGCCGAGUGCGUUCCUUCAUGACUUGGCCCUGUUGCAUAGGUAGCCAGCCAUGCCUGUUUAUCGGCAUCUACUGCAAAUGUUCCUCCAGUUGCUCUCUGCAUGGGUUGCGCCGGGUUACCACCAUCUGGUAUAUAUGCGCAAACAUAUCCAUGCGGAACCUCCUUGGGGGGUUCGUUGAAGAACUGGUGAUCAGCAGGGUCACCUCCCACCUUGUAUAUGACAUAUGCUGCAGAAUUAUGUUGCUCUGGGGCUGCAAAUGCAUACGGCACUAGUGGUCUGGAUUGAGAAGGCAACUCCCCUUUGUGACUCCCUAAAGCAGGUCCUAUUGGAGAGUACUGGUGUUUCAUAAUUUCCUGCACCACGCGCACCGCGACGCGCUCGAGGGUGUUCACCAAACUCUCAGAAUGCCGAUGUAAUGAGUGAGCCACCAUGUAGUUGACUUCCUGGCGGAGAGCUCGCGUACGUUCUUCCGUAGGGGUAGAUAGAUCCACUUCGUCGAGUGCCCCUUCAGAUGAAAAUCCCUUCCAUCUAAUGCCGUGGUGACGAGUUCUUUCAAACGAGCCGAUGAGAUCGGCUUCAAAAGCAGCUUUUAUUUCAUUAUACCUCUGCUUGUGAUCAUCGGACAACUCCUCAAAAGUAAUCGGGUUCUCGUCCGGCAUCUUGACAACAGAAGUCGAUGAAGCCGAAAAAGAUAAUGCAGCCGACUAUAGUCGAUGUAGUCGAAGUAGUCACUGGAGUAGUCGAUGUGACCGGUGAAGUCGAUGAAGUAGUCGAUGAGUCCCACCAGGCGUGCCAGAAUGUGUUGUCGGUCGAAACCCACCGGCGAGCAGCGACAGGCAACACGAGGAGCCGGGAGGCUUCCGGGACUGCUGGUGGGUCCCGGUCCCUCGGUCAACGGCCCAGAAGUCCAGCACACGCCCUGGCUUGGUGAAGUGUUAGGCAUGCCACCUAACCUAUACCUGAACAGGAAGGUGUAGAAGUCAUUCGUCAGCUAUUUUCUGCAUGCACAGCCAUAUCAAACAUUAGUCCGAGCCGUGAUCAGCUCUUACAACGACCCUGAGAUCAGCUAAAGAAGCUGAUGGAGUCAUUGUACUAGGUCGGACCUUCGGGUACCUUCCAGAAUCGGCUACAAGAAACCGAUUGCCACAUUGAACAGAUCGGAUCUAUUAACAUGUGAACGUUUUGUAUGAAUCCGAUAGAAAAGAUAAAAGCAUGCUCUGUAAUUGCCAAGCUAAUACAAUCUGCGAUGGUAAAAGCUUUCACCGCAUAACCGGAACAUCCUAUGCGUGGUUAAGCCUAAUGAACAUGAAAGGUAACAAUACGCUAACCCGAAGAGAGGCCUAAAAACCAACUAACAAGUCGAUUCCCAGAACAAUCCCUCGUCAGGUUACCAUAAGGCACCAAACAUGCAACCGGAACAUUUAAUCCGUUUGAAGGGCCUAAUCAUACGGAUGUUAAAUCAAUUCCUUAUAACACAAAGAACUAGUAUAACAGAUUAGAUUUACUAAGCAAUAACAGAGCAAGGCGCUGCCCUUGCACCUGAGAUCACGUACAAGAGCAGCUGAACGAUUACGAGCAGCAAGCAAAACAUGGAUUUACUAUUCAAAACCAAUGCAACAUCAUAAUCGUUUAAGAUAACUAGUGUUACUCGCCAUCAAAAACGCUUCAGUACGAGAAACACAAGGAUAAACAGAUAAAAGCAACGCUGCUUCGACCAUACGGAACAUGAUCGGAGCAGCAUGUCGAUUACCUGGAAAGAGCCCUUGGGAAAGGGGUGGCAAUGCGCCGAGAGUUUGUUGUGAAUGAUUGAUUUAUUUAUUGAAUCUCACGAUACAUAUUUAUAGUCCGGAGACUUGAUCUUUUCUAACUAACCCUAACUGAUUACGAUACAAUCUCUAACUUACUAUAUUUAAACUAUCCUUAGAUACACCGCCAUCCUGGCCCUUGACACGUUCGCACAGAAGCCGAUUUGCAGACUGUUACCAUGCUUUCCUUCAGCCCAUGAUGCUCUCGGCCCAUCCCUUGGCCCAGUCAAAUUAUGGCGAUAACAGCCUGCCAUGGACUUCAAGGCUUGGAUGGGCUGAUCUCAUCAUUCUCUUAAAAAAACCAUUUGAUAUCUUUCUAAAGGCAACAUUGGCAGUGAUCCAAAACUUAGUCAUAAAAUCUCUCACUAACUUAGGAUCCAGUACAAAAUUGCAAACAUCCACACUAGACACACUUUUUGGAAAAAUAGAAUUACGAUCAAGAUCUGGAGGAAGUUCUUUGCAGGAUGAUCUAAUAUGAUUCUAUAGGUGAGAUAUUCCAAUACCUUUGUGAUAAGCAAAUUUUGACCCGCAAUGAAUGCAUAUUGCCUUUCCUUCACUAGGCAACUCUUCAAAAUACUGCCAAACUGCAGAUCUCUUCCUACUGCGAUUGGAAUUUUAUGCAACUUCACCAGCACUUUCGGGAAGUAAUGCCACACUUUCGUUAUUAGACAUCCUCUCAGUUGACAUGUUCAUAAAACAACACAAAAAGUUCUAUCAUUUAAGCACUGAUCAUUUUUUAUGAAAGAGGCAAAGAGCUAUGGAGAAUAAUACUUGUAACAAUAUUUAGCCUUGUCCGUGCAGCUAUAAGAAGAUUGAGUUGUCACUGUACACAUUGAUCAUAUGUACUUCUAAAAAUCUAAAGGAACUAAUAACAGAACUUUAUACAUAUAUAAUUUACAAGUAACCCAAAGGAACGAGUAAAAGAUAUUGAAAGAGGGAAAUAAUCUAUCAAGAUAAGAAAGUAUUUCGACAUAAUUUUUAUUUUUCAGGCUAUGCUACUCAUCAAUAUAGGGAACGGGUAUAAUUUUUUAGUAGAGCAGUAUUGCAAUCCUAUCAAUACAAUGAAUAGGUACAAUUUGGCUUUCUCAUAUUACUUACAAUCCUAAAAUUACGCAUCAUGUAGUACCUAUUGGAUAAGGAAUCUGUGCACAACCAACAAACAAUGCAUACAUACAGAUCAAUAGGUGCUAUAAUUAACAAAAAAAUUGGUCAGUAGGGCUAGAGAAUUGAGAUGGCGUUGGGCAUGGAUACCUGAAUGGUGAUGCUAAGGUGCUUCAAAUCGAGGCCAAGGAUGCAAACUUUCAGAUCAAGGCUAUUAGGCUAUCAAGAACGGGGUUGUGGGUGCCGGCGACAGGCCCUUGCAUCAACAGCAUGGGCGCGCCGAUUGAAUUUGACGGACGUCGCACUGGAGCAGUGACAGCAUGGGGGAUGAGAUCGUGCGACGUGGUGGCACCGUUGAGGAAGCGCGGCGCCGACGAGGGCUAGCCCCCCACGGCGGCGAUGGGCACGGGGUGGAGCGAGGCCGGAGUGGAGCGAAAGGGAACGACCGUGGGGAACAGUGGCAAAGGAAAAGAGGAGCGAGGCUAGAGUCUGGAGCCAAGGCUGGAGGUGCUCUGCGUGGCGAGGGCAGGCGAGAGGCGCGGCGGCCGAGAGAGAGACACACGGCGGCGGCGGGAGAGAGAGAGACGGCAAUAGGGAGAGAGAAGAUGGUGGUGAGGGAUUCCUGAAUAGCGCUCCCCUCCUCAAGUCCAAUAAGGUUUGGAUUAUCCUCUAUUUUUUAUCCAAUAGAAUCCAAUCCUAUUUUCUGGAUAGCAAAUGGAUGUCUAUAUCCAACUAGAUCCAAAUUCAAUACAGUCCAUUUGCCAAAAUCCAAUUGGAUUUGGAUUUAGCCCAAUCCACUUCCAAGAAUGAAACAAGAUCCCCCCAAUGUAAACUUUCAUUUUACUAUUUUAUAGACUAGCUAUAGUAUUUAAUUGUGAGAUAUGUGAUUGGGCGUAACUGUAUGAAAUGAAACUCUAUAGCCUCCAAUGCAAGUUUCAACAAAUUUCAUAGUCUUGGAACCAGUGUAAACACAGUUUCAUCCUAAUGAAACUCCUUCCCUCCUGUUUCUUCAUAAUUACCUUGCCAUAUCAUCGCAAAUGCUGAUGUGACACUGUAUUUAAUGCGCAUGAAACCUCUAUAAAACUUGCACUUGGAUUAGCCUAAGUGCAUGAGUUCGUAUCAUAUGUGUACAUAUGCACAGACCUCUCCAAUAUAUUCCUGUGCAUCUCAUAUUUAAUUUUCUCUGAAAAUUUACACUAGUUAAAUUCACAAAAUGCACAUAUAUGUGUCGUGCACUAGAUGUGGCUUGUGCUGUAGUGCGCCAGAUACCUACCCCUUGAGACUUACUAGUGCACAAAGUACAGACUUACAGUAUCUAGCUGCAUAGUUAAAGUGACUACGACGUAUCUUAAAGAUGUUCAAUUUAAUUUUCUUGGCAUCCGUCAGAAGCCAAAGUCAGUACAGUCGUGUUUCCCAAGUCCUAGAAUAUGAUUGAAGUCAGUGUUGACUUCCUCAUCGUGUUCACUUUAGAAGCUACUGCCUAGUAACUACCAUAUAGGAGUACUAUACUAGUACCGGUGUGUGGAAUUGCAGUAGCAGAGUCCCACUGUUCUGCCCCUUCAGAAAUGGGAACGAGUUCAGACUGGCCGGUAGGCCGACAGGCUUCAUCAUCCUUUCGUCUAAAAACUAGUUGGCGGAUGCACAUACCUGUCAUCUGCAUAGACACUGCAUCGGAUCAACAAAUUCAGUUUAAAAUGAUGCUAAGGUUAUCCAUGCAUCGUACGUAACUCGCCUGCAGCUCUGUAGUCUGUACUGGCUCCCGCCGUCCCCCCUCCCAAUCCAACUUCAAACGAGCUCGACGCCAAGGGCAUUUCGAUCUGAACUAGAUUAUUUGCGCGAAUUAUUUGCAGGUAACAUGCCCAUAACUGCCAAGAUGCGAUUGCAAUUGUAUAAUGGUCUGCGCCCGCGAACCGACACCUUCCCUUCCUCCAUGAUUCGCGCGGUGGCCAUGUGACGCGACGGACCUCGCGACGAUGAGCCAGCCUCAGGCCUAUAGCUCCCUCCAACGCGGGCCAGGCGCACGUCGGGUGCAGCGACCAUCGACGACGCCGCGGCCGGCCGAUUGGUAGUUCCAUCGCCACCACUUUCCUGUCCUGUCCCGCCUAUAAAUACCCCCCGGCAAUGUCCUCCGCCUCACACCAUCCCAGCACAAACCAGACAGCAGCAGGUGGUGGUGCCAAGCAGCAGCUAGCUAGCUAGCUGUUCAUACAUACAGCCUAGCUGAAGCUCCUCCUUCCUGGCUGCUGCAAGCAUGGCCGCCGCGCUCUUCUCCUUCAGGGCCGCCGCGCUCGCCGCGCUCCUCCUCGCCGUGAUCGCCGCCUGCGGCGCCCGCGCCCAGCAGCAGCCCACCAACGCCUCCGACUCCCAGGAGAGAUCCUUGCUGUCCUACAGCGGCGGCUGGAUCCCGGCCAAGGCCACCUGGUACGGCGCGCCCACCGGCGCCGGCCCCGACGACAACGGUAAGGACGAACCCCCGCGUGCCAAGAUGCCUCUCCGUUUGUCCUGUGCAAAUUGCAAUGCGGCUCACCCCCAUGCCAUUGCCUGAUUGCCAUGCCUUGGUUCUUAAUCUUGCCAGGCGGCGCGUGCGGCUUCAAGCACACCAACCAGUACCCCUUCUCCUCCAUGACGUCCUGCGGCAACGAGCCCAUCUUCAAGGACGGCAAGGGCUGCGGCUCCUGCUACCAGGUACUACUGCGUACUGACCACCACGGCGCCCACCGAACAUGCCAGAUUAGCACAGUUGGUGCUGGCGCCCAGUCAUUUUAUUUGGUUGGUCAAAUUAAAGACGCCAGCAUGUAGCGUCCGUAGCUAGCGAGCGCCCCACAGAUUGCUCAUCUUGAUGAUGGGCAGCUAGGAGGAACGUGCAUCCGUUGACCCUGUCGCGCCUGGCUUUUACAGAUUCGGUGCCUUAAGAGCAACCACCCCGCCUGCUCCGGCGUGCCGCAGACUGUGGUCAUCACCGACAUGAACUACUACCCGGUGGCCAAGUACCACUUCGACCUCAGCGGCACGGCGUUCGGCUCCAUGGCCAACUACGGCCUCAACGACAAGCUCCGCCACGCCGGGAUCAUCGACAUGCAGUUCAGGAGGUCCGCCGCCUGCACCACCACCACCACCAUUUCUGACGCGCAUUUCACUCCUCGAUCUCUCGUUUUGUGAAAAUUAACCCGCCGAUCUCUCUCGGCCGUUGUCUC
rnacentral:lncRNA from 1 species